rnacentral:lncRNA from 1 species
UCCGAUCUUCUUCUCCUUGCCUCUCUAAUGAUUUUUAAUGAUAAUUCCCUUGCCGCCUUUCUAUGUGGUGCACGCCUCUCUUUUAUACUGCAAACUAGGGUAAACAAAAGUCCCUAGGUGUGCAUGAGUUAAAUUAAGAAACAUGCAAAUCGCGAUUCUACAGUUGACCCGCGCCUAAGUUUUCUCCCGCAUUGCUCCCAAAUUGCUACAACACUAGUUGCCUAAGUUUUCUCCCGCAUUGCUCCCAAAUUGCUACAACACUAGUUGCUUUAACAUCUGCUACAAUACGGCAUUAUUCCCAAUUGUGCUUUACUUCUUUUAUGGACAUUUUCUUUCCUCCUCUUGCUCAUCCAUUGUCUCACCAUCCCCUCAUGAAUUAAGACUUUCUGAAAACCUACAAUUAAGCUUCUGUUUUUAGCACAAAUUACUUUGAUUCAAAUAAAACUUAUUAAGACUCAAAUAAAAUGAAUGUUUAUGCAAAAUGUAACCAAAAUGUAAUAAAAACAUUUGAUUUGUUCUCUAAGUGAUCUUGAUUUAAGUCUAGAAUUGAUGUAAUAACUCUCAUUUCCUAGAGUUAUCACCUAUCUUGCCUAUUUAUUAUAUUGAAUGGAUUAUGAUAAAUGGAUAGUAGCUUGAAUUUGUGAAAGUGUACUUGUAUGUUUACAUUAUUGAAUUAUCAUUGUGUAUAACAUUGAGUGCUUUAUCAUGAUGCAUGGUUAUAUAUAUAUGAUGAUAGUUUGUCAACUCAUCAUGAUAGAUUUGUUUGAUUUUAAUGAUUAUGUAAUGCCUAAGCAUGAUAAAUAAGUGAUAUGCUUUAAUUCUCAAUCUUUGAAUGCUUACAUAUUUCAUGAUUGUGUGAUGUAUAUGCAUGAUAGAUGAGUUAUAUGUUAUUUAUUGUAUUAGAAGUGAUCAUGGUGGAGAAUUUUAAAAAUCAUGCAUUUGAGAAUUUUUAUAAUGAUUUUAGCAUUGAGCAUCAAUUUUCAUCACCUAAGACUCCACAACAAAAUGGAGUUGUAGAGAGAAAGAAUAUAUCUAUUCAAAAAUGGCUAGGACAAUAUUGAUUAGAUCUCAUCUCAAUAAAACUCUCUAUGAGCUUUGGAAAGAUAGAAAACUCAACAUUGGUUAUUUCAAAGUUUUUGAAUGCAAAUGUUUUAUUUUGAACUCAAAAGAUAGUCUUGGCAAAUUUGAUCCAAAAUUUGAUGUUGGUAUUUUUUUUUGGCUAUUCAAACACAAGCAAAGCUUAUAGAAUGUAUAACAAAAGAACUUUGGUUGUGGAAGAAUUAUUUUUGAUGAGUCUAAUUAUUCCUCUACAGAGAAAGUUGUUGUUGAUGAUGAUGUAGAUGAAAAGCUACAAAAAGAUUCAUCAAAUGAUAGCCAAAAGAAUGCACCACUUGAAAAUCAAGAGGAGCAACAUGAAGAAACAAAUGUGGAGUAAAAUAAAGGUACUUCUCAAACACUCCCCAAAGAAUAGAGGUAUGUUUCUUCUCACCCUAAAGACUUAAUUUUGGAAGAUCCAUCACAAUGUGUAAUUACUAUAUCAUCACUUAAAAUAUAUGUAAGCAUUUAUAAUAAUGAAUUUGAUCACUUGUUCUUUAGCUCAUAAUGAUGGCUUAUCUUAAUAGCUAUGUUGAUUUUGAUGAUCUAUAUAUUGUCAUUAUUCUACUUAUGUUUUGCUUAAGUUUUGAUGUUAAAGAUUAUGCUUUAAUGAUUCCAUUGUAUUUGAUGAAAUUUGAUCCUAUGGAAUCUAUGAUUGGUGAAUGGAUAUAUAUCUAUAUAUAUAUAUUUGUGCUUUCUUGACGCAUUAUUAAAUAUGCAUUAUUUGCUUUAAAUGAUAUCAAAAGGGGGAGAAAUACAUGAUCAUUAAGAUCUUGGCGCAUAUAAGAUUUUUUAAGUUAUAUUGAAAUGUGACAUUAGAUCUUUGAUGAGUUUAAUUGUCUUGAUUUCUAAAAUGUGUUAGUAAUUAUCGAGCUUGGAUAUUUGAUAAUAUAUUCUUAUAACUAUUGCAUGCUAAUUUGGUAAACAAAUCAAAACCACUUUGCGAAGAAUAAUUUUCAAAAAUUCGGCAUGAACUUGGGAUGAUGAAAUUUAUUAAUAUCUCUAAUCAUGUUAUUAAUACUAUUAAAAUUGAUUUCUUGAUGAUUUUGAUGAUUGAUGAUUAUGUGUGUUGCUUGAUAAAUUGAUGGAGUUGUUGGUUUGUUAUAAUUGUUUAAGCUUAUAUGGAAGUAUUUUUAAUUAUGUUGUGUAUUUGAGUAUUUGUUCAUUUUUAAGGAAAGACUCUACCGAAAUUUUUGCUCGCACAAAAUGAGUAAUAUCUUCAUCGAAUUAUUUUUUAUGAUCUUGUUUCGAUUGCAUCUAUCUAUCCUUUCUUUUUUAAAAUGAGGGGGGAGAUAAAUAUGAUAUGUUUUUGGAUAAAAUCAUUUUGGUUCAAAUUUUAAAUUGGCCAUAUAUUUAGGGGGAGCGUAUAAUAUGAUUUUGGAUAAUAUACAUUUUGAACUUUUUGUUGUCCAAAGGGGGAGACAAAAUAAUAUAUUAGUUCGAUGUUGUCAAAAUGAGGAGAAUAAUAUGCACUUUGAGUAUUCUUUUGAUGAUUGAUAUUUGAUUAUGGUAAUGAUUAAUGAUAUUUUGGUGUGAUGAUUUGUGUAUGGAGUUGGCUUGCAUCAUGAUUUAUAAUAAUUUAGGAGUAAUAUUACUAAACUUGUAUUUGAGGUGAUGCUUGUUGUUAAGGGGAGAUUCUAUCAAAAUUUUUACUCGAACAACAUGGGUAACAAAUUUGCUACUCUUAUUCUUUUCCUUUAAGUUUUCUUUUUGAUGAUAAAGGGAGAGAAGAAUACAUGUUUUUAAAUUUAUAAAAAAAUUUGCUACUCUUUUUCUUUGCCAAUUAAGUUUUCUUUUUUAUGAUGAAGGGGGAGAAAAAUGCAUGUAUUUAAAUUUGUUAAUUUAGCUAAUUGGCAAAUUGUAAGAGAAGAUUAUAUUUAGGGGGAGCAAUUUUUGGAAUCAUUCUUCAAAUAAAUGAAAUGUUUGUCAUCAUCAAAAAGGGGGAGAUUGUUAACAUAUAUGUUUCUAUAAUGUUGAUUUUGAUGAUAACAAACAAGAUUAAGAAUGAUUAAUCUUUUAAGCUCAAAUUAUUUUUUAUACAUUUUAAAUAAAUCAUUAUUUUCACAUUAUAAAUGUUUUAUAAUUAAUGGAAAAAUGAUUUUAUGAAAUUAGUUGUUUUCAAGUUUAUGAUUUAAUUGAAAGAGUUUUGAAAACUUUGAAAUCAACAAGUAUUGCUUGAAAUUUUGGAGAAGGACUUAUUUGAAAAAUUUUAUAGCCUUUUGGGUCAUAUCAUAAUUUUAGAAAGUUUUAGGAAUAGCAACCAUUAUUUAGAGAUUCUGAAAUUGGACCUAUUUACAAAAUAAUAUAACUUUUUGGGCCAUAAUACAGUUUUAUAAAGUCUUGGGGUCAAACCGGAUGUGACAAAUGGCUAGCCGGAUGUGACAAACGACUAGCCGGAUUUUGGGCAGUAAGCUUCUGGAAUGAAAGCGGCUAACCGGAUUUCAAAAGUGGCUAACCGGAUAUGAAAAGCAGCAUGCCGGAUAUUCUGAAAUUAAAUUUUUACUGUAACGGUAACAUAAAAGCGGCUAACUGGAUUCCAUAAACGGUAAGCCGGUUAUCACCAAAAUGUGCAUAACGGUUAGUUUUUUAGUUCAAACUAUAUAAACUCAAUUCCAUUUCAUUUUUGGUAAUCUUGGCAAGCAUAAACAAGUGCACACAACAUAUGUUGAGCUUCAAUUUCGUAAAUCAUCAUAGAUUAAGUUUUCAUUGAGCUAUCAUUUGUAUAUCCACUCUAAAAGAGAGUUGUUUGUUGUAAUUUUUAUUUCUCAUCAAAUUGUGAGUGUACAAGUGUGAGAAUCACUUUGGGUGAAGAGAUUGGGGAGAUAAUCUCUUGAUUGUAAAGGUCCAUUGACAUCUUGGAAGUCAAUUGUAAAACUUGAAGCCUUGGGAGGCUUGGUUAGUGAAAUCCUCAAGCCAGGUGAGCUUGGAGGCGUGGACGUAGGCAGGGAUUGCCGAACCACGUAAAAUCAUUGUGUUUGUUUUCUCUUCCCUUACUCUUUUAUUAUUGUGGUUUAUUGAAUUUAUUGUUUUCGAUUCCAUUAAGACAUUAGAUUGAAUUGAUGUGUGGUUUGCUUAGCUUAAUUUUUAAAAUUCCAAUUCACCCCCCACUCUUGGGUUGCCUAGUUAGUAUUUCAGAUAUCCUUUAAUGACAUGAUACUCAUACGAGUAAUAUGCUCAUGAAACAUUUUAAGUGGCAAUCCCUGAGUAAGAUGCUCAUUGAAAUCAGAGUGUGAAUAAACCAAAACUUUAUUUCUGCAGAAAAUAACCUUAGAUAUCUAUAAACUGAAAUAACUGAAAAAUGUCUAUAUUAUAAGAGUAUCUAAAAUCACAAAUUCCCACUAAAACUGGAUAUCCUUCAAUAACAUGAUACUCAUACGAGAAAUAUGCUCAUGAAACAUCUUCGAGUAUCAUGCUCAUGAAACAUCUUAGGUGGCAAUCCCUAAGUAAUAUGCUCAUUAAAAUCAGAGUGUGAAUAAAUCAAAACUUUAUUUCAGCAGAAAAAUAGCCUUAAAUAACCAUAAACUGAAAAAAUUUAUAUAUUAUAAGAGUACCUAAAAUCACAAACUCUCACUAAAACUGGAUAUCCUUUAAUGACACGAUACCCAUACGAGUAAUAUGCUCAUGAAACAUUUUAGGUGGCAAUCCCUGAGUAAGCGGAUCCACAAUCAUGGAGUUUGUACUAAUGUACUAUAUAGACAAUUGUGCACUUUUAACUCUUUUUUUGAUAACUAAGAACUUGAUGUCUAUAUACUUCAACUUCAUUGAGUUCCUGUUAUCAUUAAAAAUACAACAUUACUGACUUAUUGUCUAUCAAAACCACUUACUAUACGCAACCCUGUGACAAAAUUCCGUAGCCAUAUUCCGUGAUUGGAUGCCCGAUAACAUGCUAUGAACUCUGUUGGCAUCGUAAAAGAGGCUAUAAGAGAUUGUUCGGCACUCUUCCAAGAAACAACACAUCCAGCUAGUAGAUAUAUUUAACACGAAGUAGAUCUCAUACUAUCUUGGUGUCUCACAAAAUUGAAAUCUAUAUACCCAAUGAUCUUAGGCUAGUCUGAUUUUUGAUAUAUGAGUUCUCUAUAAGUACCGCAAUACUCGUUUGGUUGCUUUCGAAUGGUCUACUCCUAGAUUACUUAAAUACCUACCCAACAUCCUAGUAACGUAUGCAAUAUCUGGUCGCGUACAAACCUAAGCAUACAUCAGACUUCCUACUACUGACGCAUAAGGAAUUUUCUGCAUUUCGUUCUUUUCAAAAUUAUUCUUAAGGCACUGAUUAAGACUAAACCUGUCUUCCUUAGCCACAGUGGCAUCACCUAGUUUAUAAUCUUGCAUGCUAUAUCUCUUGAGAAUCGUUUCAAUAUAUCUCUUUUGUAAUAAUCUAAGAAUACCCAAGGGGCGAUCCCAAGGUAUCUAUAUGCCUAAUACAAAAUAGGCAUCCUUAGACCUUUCAUUUCAAAAUUUUUAGUAAUAAUAAAAUACAAAAAUUGAUUGACUACUGUUGGAAUCUCUUGUUACGAAUGAUUUUAAUUACUUUGGCAUAGAUAAGACAUUGAAAAUAUGAGAUGGACAUAAUAUCUAGAUAGCUGUCUCCUUAUUUCUAGUAUUCAAGGGCCAAGUAAACCAUAGAAACAUUUUUCCAAUAAAUCUAUAAAUUUAUUUAUAUUGAUAUGUUUCUAUCCUAAACCUUCUACAACAAAUUUGACUCAAGCAAACCCAACUUCCCUCCCCACACCCACAGGUCAAAGGUUAUAGCAUAUCAGUUUUGGGUCUUUUUCGCCAUACCCUCUCGGCCUGCCCUGAAAUUUUUUAAAAGGCCUUAACAUGCACCUUCCCACGGGCAGCGUGAGACUGCUCGAAAAGACAAGAGCCAUUUCAGAGAUUGAGAGUAGUUUCGACGGAAUGUUUUUUAAAAUUCCAAGAAAAAUCGGUCUUUUUUACCUAAUUUCGGAAUAAAUUCCCGAAAUCCUAUCAAAGCCUCCCAGUGGCGGUGGGGCAGGGCCUUGGGGCACCCCUGGUGGCCCAAAGGAUAUCCCGCGGCAGAAAAAAUGGAUCACAUAAGGGGAAACCCAACUUUCCUCCCCACCCCUACAUGCCAAAGGCUAUAGCACACCGGUUUUAAGGUUUUUUGCAAUGCCCCCUGAGCCUACUGUUGGGUAUAAAUACUAAUGAUAUUAGUGUCAAUGUGCAAGUGUACAGAACAAGUAAUAAAGUGAUGAGUAUUCAAGAUCGUCUCCACAGAGAUUGAUGUUAUCAGAUUUCUUACAGCAAUCUUAACAGUGCAGAUUUUAUGCUAAAUUAAAAUAAAAUAAUUAAUGAAACUAAUAUACUAAUUAAAAUAAAAACGUAAUAAAUAAAAUGCAACAAAGUAAAUUAUCACGUCAAUUUCAAGGAUAAAGCCAAUGGGAAUAUAGAGUAGUUGAGUAAAUAAACUCUCUUAAUAGUUUUGACUAUUUUCUAGUGGCUGGCUCGGUUGUUGCAGCAUCUACUACAACACUAGGCAGAAUUAUUAUGUAUCCUCAGCCAUCGCAUGUUGGGUAUCUUAUAUCUAUAUGCAACUUAACACUGAUCAGUUAUUAUGCCAAUAUAAAAUAUAGCAUUACACGCUUAGGUUCUAUUUACCCUAGAAGGUGAAUCCUUAUGUCUAGUUCAUCACUAACCUUAAAUCAAGUAUGGCCCUUUUAGGACUCAAGUAAAAUUCAAUCCGAGAAACCCCAUUUAAGAUCAAGUAUUGCUUUGAUAUGUUCCACUAAUAUAGGCCCUUUUGCGGCUCUCUCCUAACUUGUAUCAUUAAAUGGGUGAUCAACCGAAAUAAUGAAUAAAAAUAAAUACUAUCAAAACAAAUUGCUACAGCAAACAUGCAGCAACACAUAUUUUCAUUCAAUAAACCAUCAAGAUUGUUUAUCACUCAACUAUAAAUAAAUUUAGUUCAUGAUUUGCAAAAGAAAAAUAAAGAAUAAAGUUUCGGCUAUGAAACACAUCCCCAUGAAUAAAAAGUAAACAAGAAAACAAGAGAAGAAUAAGAAUGACUAAGUUCUUGAUUUAUUUCUGCAAAUUUUCCUCUUGUACAACCUUCAAUCUCUCUCUUGAAUCAUGUUUUUCUUUUGUUUCUUUGUAUUUUUCUCCUUGGAUCACGGCUCUCCUCAUUCCUUAUGAUGUGUGCUUCUUUUAUAGUUGAAAAUUAGGGUAAACGGAAGCCUAGGGCGCGCAUAAGUUAGAUUAGGAAACUGCAGAUUGCAAUUCUGCAAGUAUCCCGCGCAGAAUUUUCUAUGUUGUUGUUCUAGGAUUGCUACAGCAAUAAAUACAACAACUGCAAUGUUCUAUAUUUGUUUCAAUUCUUUUGUAGCUAAGUUCUUCCCCAUUUUUGCAAGCCUAUUGCAUAAGCAUUCCUUCCAUGAAUUAUAAGCUUCUGGAAACCUACAAUUAUGCACAUAAUUUGAGCACGAAUUACUUUAAAUUAAGCAAAACUUAUUAAGACUAAACUAAAAUGAAUGUUUAUGCAAAAUGUAACAAAAAUGCAAUAGAACCACAUCAAUUACUCUCAAAGUAGUAUUGAUUUAAGUCUAAAAGUGUCAUGAUAACUCUCAUGUCAUAGAGUUAUCGCCUACCAAGGAAUUUUGAAACAGGCUUCGGCACACACCUUUCCAUGGGUGACUCGAGGCCACUUCAAAAGAUGGGAGCCAUUUCGAAGACCCAGAGUGGUUUUGGAGGAAUUUUUUUAAAAAUUCCAACAAAAAUCUGUCUUUUCUACCUAAUUUUGAAAUAAAUCCCAAAAACUAUCAGAGCCUCUCGGCAGCGGUGGGGCAGGGCCUUAGGGCAACCCUAGGGGCCCAAGGGACAUCACGCGGGAGAAAAACGGGGUUCACAUAGGGGGAGAAAUCAACUUCUCUCCCCACCCCCACAAGCCAAAGGCUAUAGCACACCAGUUUUAGGCCUUUUUUUCCAUGCCCCUGGGCCUGCCUUGGAAUUUUAGAAUGGGCCUCUGCACAACCCUUCCUGUGGGCGGCGAGGCAGCUAGAAAAAUAUGGGAGGUGUUUCGAAGUUCCGGAGUGGUUUCGGUAGAAUGUUUUCAAACAUUUCAAGAGAAAUUAGUCUUUUCUACCUAAUUUUGGAAUAAAUUCUCGAAACACUAUCAAAGCCUCCCUACGGCCCCAUUCUUUUCCCGCACGACAUCCCUUAGGCCGCCCGGGGUGCCCCUAGGCCCUGCUCCACCGCCUCAGGGAGGCUUUGAUAGUUCUUUAGGAAUUUAUUCAAAAAUUAGGUAGAAAAUACCAAUUUUUUUGGAAUUAUUCCAUCAAAACCACUAUAGGUCUCUGAAAUGGCUCUCGUCUUUUUUACUGGCCUCACACCGCCUGCGAGAAGGUGCGUGUAGAGGCCAGUUUUAAAAUUCAAGGGCAGGCCCAUGGGGCAUUGAAAAAAAGGCCCAAAACUGAUGUGUUAUAGCCUUUGGCCUGUGGGGGUGGGGAGGGAAGUUGAUUUCCCCCCAUGUGAACCUUGUUUUUCUCCCAUACGACGUCCCUUGCACCGUCGGGGGUGCCCCAAGGCUCUGACCCACCGCCGCCGGGAGGCUCUGAUAGUUUUCUAAGAAUAUAUUCCAAAAUUAUGUAGAAAAGACCAAUUUUUGUUGGAAAUGUUUGGAAAAAUUCCACCGAAACCACUCCGAGUCUCUGAAAUGGCUCUUGUCUUUUUGAGUGGCCUCGAGUUACCUGUGGGAAGGUGCGUGCAGAGGCCUGUUCCAAAAUUCCUUGGUAAGCCCAGGGGCACAUGGCAAAAAAUGCCCUAAACCGGUGUGCUAUAUAGCCUUUGACCUGUGGGGGUAUGGAAGGAAGUUGGGUUUCCCCCUUAUGUAAACCUCGUUUUUCUCCUAUGGGACAUUCCUUGGGCCGCUGGGGAUUCCUCAUCGAUAUUAGGAUUUAGGGUUUUAGGGUUUUUAAGAUUUACAUAAUGAUAUGAAUAAACUACAUAAAUUAGCCUAAAAUAUAAUGAAUCAUUAUCUAAUAAGUAAUCCCUUAAAUUAUUAAGGUAAAGGAUGAAUUAAAUGACAAGCAAAACACACAUUUUAAUACAAUGUAUCUUAUUGUGUUAUAUAUUAUAAUGUAUGUUUUUCUUGUUUUUCUUAUUUUUUAACUUAUCUCUUACUUUAAUAACUUAAAAGAUCCCUCAUUAAAAAAUUAUUCCAAAUAUAAUACCCUCAUUUGGCAACGAACAAGGAGCAAGCAUGAGGCCGCAUCUUAAGGCUUGACAAAAAUGCUUGUGCUUGAGAAAUAUGAAUCUUGGGACUUGAUGAUCCUUCAAUUAGAGAGCGGACAGUUACAAGGCCUAGAUCGGGCUAUAGUGUGACCUCGCCCAAGAAAAAUUCUUUAAGAGCCAUAAAGUUCUAUGAUUUGUAAUAUAAGAACAUGAAUAUCGCUAAUUUUUAUUACAUGCCCCAGAUUCGAUCUCUACUUAAAUAAUUGAAAUGCCUUUUAUACUUAAGUUACUCUCCAGAUGGGAUAUUUAAAUUCAAUAUUAAAGGAGUAAAUUACCAUUUCAAUUGAAAAAAAGCAUAUAUUUGUUGAAGAAAAUAGAUGUUGGAGAAUUUGACGAAUAAAACACAAAUUUUAUUAGAAAAAAACAUUACAAGAACAAUUCACACAUUCUCGCAAAUCACUCUUAAAUGUUUUGCAUCUUAUGUUUUCUUCUUCUUACACUUGAUGCAUACAAUACAAAUGACAAUGGUAUUUAUAGUACUCAAAACUUAAUUAUAACCACACACAUAAACUAAACAAAUUUAAUCACAAUGGCUCCUUUAUUCUUAAUCACCACACUAAUUAUUAUUAACCUAACUCAUUCCACUUUCCCUACUUCACCAACCACACCAACCUUACCUACCACAAAAAACUUCUAUGAAGUGAGCUUGGACUUCUUGAAAUUGGAUCAAGUUUAUGAUCCAACAAUAAAGACACUUAGGGGUAAAUGUUGUUACCAUUUUAACUUACUAUGAGAAAUGCUAUGAUUUGUUCUAAUUAAAAAAAAGAAAAAGAAAAAGCAGGUCAAUAUAUUAUAACAUUGUCACAAGCUAGUGUUACAAAAUUGCCACAAUUGAUGUAUAUAUAAUAAUAACCUUUUCAUGGUUUAUUUCCUUUACAAUUAAACUUGCUCCCUCUUUUUUUAAUUAUAUCAAAUUAUUAUGUUUUUUCACCUACUCUAUUAUUGAAAUAAAAAAGAAUUUUAUAUUUUAUAAUUUAUAAUUUCUAUUAUUAUUACGUCAUUAGCUAAUUUGUCACAUUCUUGUAAACUUUUUUUUAACAUAUAUAUUUUGCUAAGAGUAAGGUUCUUAAUGUUUAAUUUGUUUUUUUUUUUUUUGCUGCUUUAACUGUACCGACAGAGCACUAAUACCUACAAUAAAAUUUAAUUUAGCCAGGUCUUACUAAAAGCAUGGAUCCAUCCCUAAUUUAAACAUUCAGACUUUAGCUUGAACUGGACUUGAGGCUUGAGGUUGAAGACAAAUACGAGAGCAUCAUUAUACCAUAAGGCUAUAAUAUCAUAAUUAAGAUCUUGACACCAAUAAAGUUUCUAAAAGCAAAUAUCUACAAGGUUUCAGGUAACUGCAAAAAGAUCCCGCAAAGUGUCAGAAAACUAAGAAUAAGAACACUUCCGCAAAACACAAAAUACAAUUUAUUACUAUGACAAAUUGAAUCAAAUACAUAUAGGUUGAAGCUAGAGUAAAACCCUUCAUCAUAACAAAUUUAUUUUUUCAUAUCCGAAGUGAAGAAUGUUGGAAUAAUUUUCAAAAUAAAAAAUGUGUUAUUGUAAAGACAUGUGUAAUUAAUUGUGCCUUAUAUAAGAAGUAUUUUUUCACUUAAAGACAUUCAUUCAUGGUAGCAUUUCAUUUAAAAUGUUGAUGGUUCAAUUUAAAUCAUUGAUUAAGAUCAAAUCUUGAUUCAAUAGCCAUAAAUAAAGGGAUAUCAUAAAAGGUGACAACCUAAAUGGAGGGGCACAAAUAUAUUUAUAAAUAGAGAGGUCAUGUUUAAGUCAUUUAGACAUGGAAAAUAAUGAUCAUACACUAGUCUUUUCUCUGCCCUCUAUAAUAUAUUUAGGUUUUUAACCUAAAUAGCUAGUUAUCUUGCUUAUUAAUUCAGUAGCAGCGCAGUCAAUUAAAUGAGCUAACUCAGGGAUCAUAUGGGUACAUACAAUAGUGGAUACAAUAAUUAGGCAUGUAAUUAAACUAGUCCAAUUAUUUAAUUCCAAAUCCACUCCACUAAAAUAUUGGAAUUUACCUCCAUAAUUGUAUGUUAUCUAGGAUAGUGUACUCGAAUAAUAAUCGACACAUGCCAUAUUGAUUUCUUUCCUGCAUAAUCCUUUGUACCACAUCGUUAAUUAAAUCGAUAUCUCAACUGUCCAAUCGAUUUAAUUAUAUCUUGUUCCUUGAUACUUGCUGGUUUUCUCUAAUGAUCAUUUUCAACAAACUAAAUAUGUUGAUACACUCUGGCCAAAGAAUUCUAUGAUCAAGUGCCAAAAACGCAUCAAGGGAUGUGUUAUACAAAUUCUAUAUUGGUAAUCUAUAACUCUAAUACUCAUAAUUGCUCCCACUAAGAUACCAUGUAAUCUUGACCACAAGUGUGUGUCGUGUCCAUUGGUAACUCAAAUGAAAUAACAAUUAUAAUCAUGAAAUCAUAAUUAACUCAAGAUUAAAAUUAUAAAAUCAAUGCCUAUGAGAUUUAAUAAGUCUGACAGUCAUUUCAAGGUUAAUUAAAUCUCAUAUGUGAUCCAGCUCAAUGUAGUCAAACUACAUCAGUAAAUUCAUAUAUGAUUAAGACAAAUCAUUUAAUGAUUUUACUACAGCCUAAACAUAAAUAGAGCAUUCAACUCUAUUUAUCAAUUGCGAACUAAAUUUAUUUAAUCAUAAGAUAACUUGUAUUUAUGUCUUCUGUGAAUCCAUAUAAUAAUCACAUAAAUACAUAUAAUAUGAUUAAAUGGACUUUAUUCAAUAUAUAUUUAUGCAAUUAAAAAUAUUUCAAAUAAUUUAUUAAUAAAAAAAUAAAUUAAUAUGCUUUAAAAGAGCAUAUAAUCCCAACACAAUUGUUCAAAUGCUAAGUUAUAGUCUAGAUUAUCAAAAGUACAGGAAUGGGUUGGUAAAAUGCGUUGUAGCUAGAUAAGUUGUUCAACUUCAACUACCCUCGAUUAUUAUUUUCUUUUACUCGUUUAAAAUCUAGCCAGUGAUGAUUGAUCAAAAGUAUAUGGGUGGGGCGACAUGUGCAGCAGAAAAAGGAGAUAGGGAAAAGUUACGGUUAUAAUUAUAUGUCAGCAUAUGUCGGUGGUAAGGUCUAAGAAAAUACACAGCCAUACCUUCGAUUUCUUCAUUAUUUUCUUUUUUAAAUAUAUUUAUAACAGUCGUUCCUUGGCUUCAACGACCACUUUCAUUACCACAGAGGAAAUGAUGUCAAAAUAAAGAAGCGUACAAAAGUGAUGUGUAAUAAUGGAUGGGUUAGAUAGAAGCGUACAAAAUUCAUUGCACAAUGUAUUUGUAGUUUUGUACCAAACUUAUCAUUUAGUCAAAGAGUGAUACCAUUUAGACCCAGAAAGAAAAAAGGGUGUUAUAAUUGACAAGAAAAAAAAAACUGUAAGUAGGACAAUAAAGUGAAAGCACAACAAUAAUACUUUCUUUUCUGAAUCGUUUUAAAAUACAUCAAUGAAUCACUAUAAAUAGGCGUUAGUGGUGUUAAUUAAUUGCAACAUCACCAAGUAAGUAUAAGCCAUCCGCCUUUAGAGAAAAGUCCAAGCAAAAAUGGCACCAACAAAUGGCUCUACCGUGGUAACUGAGUCCUGGGAUAUUGUUGAUUUUGUCAUACACAAAGGUCACGGAGUGAAGGGUCUCUCCGAAAAGGGACUCAAAAGCCUCCCAAAACAAUUUCACCAACCCUUGGAAGAAAGAUUCAGUGAGAAAAGAAUCCUGGACCAAGUAUCAAUUCCUCUCAUUGAUAUGUGAAAAUGGGAGAGUCCUGAAGUCGCAAAAUUCAUUUGCGAUGCCGCUGAGAAUUGGGGAUUUUUCCAGAUUGUGAAUCAUGGUGUGGCCCUUGAAGUACUCGAGAGAGUAAAGGAAGCUACCCACAGGUUUUUCGCGUUACCAGCAGAGGAGAAGAGGAAGUACUCAAAGGAGAAUUCACCAACAAAAAAUGUCAGGUACGGCUCAAGCUUUGCUCCCCAUGUGGAAAGGGCUCUGGAGUGGAAAGACUUUCUCAGCCUGUUUUAUGUUUCUGAGGAAGAAACUUCUGCCUUUUGGCCUCUUGUUUGCAAGUAAGUGCCAAUAUACAUACAUGCAUACACACACACUCUUUCAUGUACUAGGAUUGUAUACUGAACAUUAUUAUUUUUGCUUUUGUUCUUCCCCCCCCCUUUCGGCCCGUAGGGAUGAAAUGUUGGAGUACAUGAGGAGUUCUGAAGUUUUCAUCAAACGUUUAAUGCAUGUGCUAGUAAAGGGGCUAAACGUGAAACGAAUUGAUGAAAUAAGAGAACCUAUGUUGUUGGGCUCAAGAAGAGUUAACCUCAACUAUUAUCCUAUGUGUCCCAAUCCUGAACUCACAGUUGGGGUAGGCCGUCAUUCAGAUAUUUCAACAUUCACUAUCCUCCUCCAGGAUGACAUCGGGGGACUUCACGUGCGAAAAGACAAUGGUACUGGCUGGAUUCAUGCCGCUCCAAUUAGCGGAUCACUCAUUAUCAAUAUUGGUGAUGCAUUACAAAUCAUGAGCAAUGGUCGAAACAAAAGUAUUGAGCAUUGUGUGAUUGCCAAUGGAAGCCAGAACAGGAUUUCAGUCCCCCUUUUCGUGAACCCAAAACCUGAAGCCAUACUCUGUCCUUUCCCCGAAGUGCUUGCAAAUGGGGAGAAGCCACUGUAUAAGCCAGUUCUGUACGCAGACUAUUCCAGGCAUUUCUAUACCAAGGCACAUGAUGGGAAGAAAACUAUCGACUUUGCAAAGAUAAGCGACAUUUGAGAUGAAAAUAAGUGAAUGCCUAGCUAAUUGUUAUCUUUGUGAAAAUAAAGUGCACGGUAAUGAAGGUGGGAUUCAGUGAAUAAUACCGAGGCCAGUUCUUCACUCCUGACAUGGAAAAAUAAAUUUAUUGUUACGAAGGGUUUUACUCUAGCUUCAAAGACCUAUGUAUUUGAUUCAAUAUGUCAUAUUAAUAAAUUGUAUUUGUGUUUUGUGGAUGUAUUCUUCUCGUUAGUUAAUUUCCUGACAGCUUACGGAAUCUUUUUGAAGUUCCUGAAACUUUAUUGGUGUUGUUAGGAAAUUGGUCGGUGAAGCAGACACGCAGCUAAAGUAAAAUUGGUAGAAAAAUAAAGAACAAGCACAAAAGAAAAUACCAAAAAUUACGUGGUUUGGACUUUUAGCCUACGUCCACGGGUGAAGACAGAAAGAAAUAUUAUACUAGUAAAAAGAAGUUACAAGUAUUGUAGUAUUUUAGCUCACUACCCAAAACCCCAAUACACCCAAACUCUCAAAUCACUAAGCACACAAAAUUCUUUACUCUUGCAAGAAUCACUUCUCACAACUCUCAACUCUCUCUACAAAAAUUGAAUAAAAAUGAAUUAGGGAGCUCUUCCUUUUAUAGCCAAAAAAUGGCUAUUAAAUUAAUAUAUAUAUGUAUAUAUUUCAAAUGUCGUUGCCAACUUCUUCUUUUUCUCCAUUUGGAUGGCACCAUUUUCUUUGGCCGGCUGCACCAUUUUCUUUGGCCGGCUUGUCAAAGCCAACUUGAAUUGGCUUUGUAGCCACCGGCCUUUGACAUUUCUCCCACUGGGAGAUUUAAUUGAAAAUCAAUCAAUCUCCACAUCAUCCUUUCUACUUCGCCAUAAUCAUAUUGCCUAUGUUUCUGCUAGGCCACAAGAGGAUCUACUCCAGAUAAACUUAUCAGUAUUUAUCGGCUUGGUCAAAACAUCUGCUAGGUUCUCUUUGGUAUGGAUUUUCUGCAAAUCCACACUUCCAUCUUCCACUACUUCACGAACAAAGUGAUACUGGACUCCUAUGUGCUUUGUCCUGGAAUGAAAGGCUGGAUUCCUUGCAAUGUGCAAUGCACUCUGACUGUCACAAAACACAGGAAUUUUCUGUUGUUUGUGCCUGAGCUCCUCCAAUAACCUUUGUAUCCAAAUAGCUUCCUUGCAAGCUUGUGUAGCUGCCAUGUAUUCUGCUUCUGUUGUAGAUAAAGCCACAACGGUCUGCAGUUUCGAAACCCAGCUUACAGCUGCUCCCGCAAGUGUAAACACAUAACUAGUAGUGGAUUUUCUUUUAUCAAGAUCUCCUGCAAAAUCUGAAUCCACAUAGCCCCUGACAGUAAACUAUGAUCCUCCAUAACAUAAUGCAACAUCUGAGGUUCCUCUGAUAUAUCUCAGAAUCUUCUUCACAGCUAUCCAAUGCUCUCUACCAAGAUUCGCCAUGUAUCGAUUGACUGCUCCCACUGCUUGUGCAAUGUCCGGUCUUGUACAUAUCAUAGCGAACAUCAAACUUCCCACUGCUGAUGCAUACAGUACUCGAGACAUCUCCUUCCUCUCCACUUCAUUGCUAGGACACAUACUUGAGGAUAAUUUGAAAUUAACAAGAAGUAGGGUAGAAAUUGACUUACAAUCUUGCAUGUUGAAGCGCCGCAAGAUUUUCUUCAAAUAAUUCUUCUGCGAAAGCCAAAUCUUCCGGUUAUUUCUGUCUCGGUGAAUUUGCAUCCCUAGAAUCUUGUUUGCUAGUCCCAAGUCCUUCAUUUCAAACUCCCUAGCCAACUGUGCCUUCAAUUCUUGGAUUCGAUCUUUUUUGGGACCUGCUACCAACAUGUCAUCCACAUACAACAGCAAAAUGAUGAAAUCAUUAUCUUCAAACCUCUUGUAAUAUGCACAAUGGUCUGAGCUGAGUUUGUUGUAUUCAAGGCUCAUAAUGAAGGAAUCAAAUCUUUUAUACCAACACCUCGGCGCCUGUUUGAGACCGUAUAGAGAUUUGUUCAACCUGCAAACCAAGUUCUCCUUUCCUGUUUCUACAAAACCUUCUGGUUGGAGCAUAUAUAUUUCUUCUUCAAGUUCUCCAUGAAGAAAUGCAGUUUUCACAUCUAACUGCUCUAGAUGUAGGUCAAAUGUGGCACACAUUGCCAAGACUAUUCUGACUGUUGUGAGUCGAACCAUCGGCGAAAAUAUCUCGUUGAAGUCAAUACCUUCUUUCUGAGCAUAUCCUUUCACCACCAAUCUCGCACGAUACCGCUCCACUUGGUCAUUGACAUCACAUUUGAUCUUGUAGACCCAUUUAUUUCCAAUGGCUUUUCUUCCGUGUGGUAAUGGCACAAGUUCCCAUGUCUUGUUAUUGUGUAGAGCUUCAAUUUCUUCCUGCAUUGCUGUCAUCCAUAAAGCAACAUCUGAGCUUUCCAAAGCUUCAUGGAAAGUUGAUGGCUCUCCAUCCUCUGUUAGAAGACAGUACGCAACAUUGAUCUCUGUGACAUACUCUGAGUGCCACGCCGGCGGUCGUCUAUCACGAGUUGACCGACGAACUUCUGGAGCCUCAACUCAACUGGUUCUUGUUCCUCGUGCUCUGGUGCUGCUUCAAAAGAAUCUGAAUCUUUUGGAUUAUUUUCGACAUAUACCGGCACAAUCUCUGACUUUUCUUUUACAGUGCCAUCAUCUCCAUCUUUUCUUUGGAGUUGAUCUUUUACAAAAAUAACAUCUCUGCUGAUGACGAUCUUGUGGGCAGUGGGGUCCCACAGACGAUACCCCUUUACUCUAUCAGCAUACCCCAAGAAGAUACAUCUUCUAGAUUUUGGAUCCAGCUUUGUUCUUUCUUGGGCAUUGUACAUCACGUACACAGGACAUCCAAAUGCAUGUAGGUAGGAAUAAUCAGCUGGCUUUCCAGUCCACAUCUCCAUCGCUGUCUUCAGCCCAAUAGCUGUAGAUGGCGAUCGAUUUACUAUAUAACAAGCAGUUUUGGCUACUUCUGCCCAGAAUGAAUUGGAUAGACCAGUAGUUCUCAACAUAGCUCUUAUUCUUUCUGUAAGAGUUCUGUUCAUCCGCUCCGCCACUCCAUUUUGUUGAGGAGUGUAUGCCACCGUGAACUGCCUCUGUAUACCUUCUUGCUUACAGAAAGCAAGAAACUCGCCGUCUGUAUACUCUCCACCAUUAUCCGUCCUCAAGCACUUGAUCUUUUUACCAGAUUCAAGUUCCACCCGCGCUUUAUAUUCUUUAAACACAGGAAAUACAUCUAACUUUUUCUUAAUUGGAUACACCCAACAUCUUCUGGAAUAAUCAUCAAUGAAAGUCACCAUGUACUUUGCACCUCCCAUGGAUAUAUUUGGUGAUUCCCAAACAUCAGAAUGAAUCAAGUCUAGAAUGCAUUUACUUCUAACAAUAGAUCUAUUGAAUUUUAAUCUAUGCUGCUUACUUAUAACACAAUGCUCGCAAAAUGGUAAACUUACCAAUUUGAGCCCCGGAAGUAAUUUUCGCUCAGAGAGAAUCUUCAAACCUUGUUCUGACAUGUGGCCAAGUUUGAGAUGCCACAUCUUCGUUGACUAUUCUCCAUUUGAUGCGACACACGCAUCAGCCUCCUGUAGCGUUUUUCCUUUAAGCAUGUAUAAAUUAGCACCGAUCUUUUAUGCCUUCAUCAAUAUAAGCGCGCCUUUAACGAUCUUCAUAAUUCCAUUCUCUACAUGAGUUUUGUACCCAUGACUAUCCAUUUUUCCCAAAGACAAUAGAUUUUUCUUCAGGCCGUUGAUAUGUCGUAUCUCCCCAAUUGUGCGAAUUGUACCAUCAAACAUUUUUAUUUUGAUAGUACCAAUACCAGCGAUCUCCAAGGCAUGAUCAUUACCCAUAUAUACAGAUCCUCCUGAGAUAGGUUCAUAUGUGUGGAAUCAUUCUCUCCUAGAGGUCAUGUGCCAGGCAGCUCCUGAGUCUAUAAGCAAGACAUCAGACAGUCGUUUUCUGCCUUCUGAAACAGUUGUUGCCUCGCUGUAGAGUAUUUCGCCAUUAUCUGAGGUACUUGCUACACACCCCUGAGCAUUUGAUGACUCAGGCUCUUUACCCUCUCUUCUCUUCUGGUUACUCCAACACUCUUUCUUGACGUGCCCUUUCUUGCCACAGUUGUAGCAUUUAACAUUCUUCUUACUUCUGGAUUUUGAUCUACCAUGGUUUUGACUCCCACUGGGGCUAUGUUCCAUUGAUCUCCCUCUCGUCACCGAUAGCGCCUCUGCUUGCUGUGAACUUGCUUGUCUGUUUUCCUUAUUUUUUCGCCUGCUCUCCUCAUUUAAUACGGAGGCUGCAACAUCGUCGAAAACUAGACUGUCCACUGGAUUGUUGUUCGUCAUGUUGAUGAUGAGUUGAUCAUAUGAAUCUGGUAGACUUUGAAGUAGAAGCUCUGCACGUUCAUUUUCCUCUAUAUUAUGACCCAACGUUGUGAGUUGUGAAAAUAGUCUUCAAGGUGUUGAUGUGGUCGGUCACCAUUGUAGAUUCCGCCAUUCGAAGAGUAUAGAGUUUUCUCUUCAAGAAGAUUUUGUUGUGUAGUGACUUGGCCUCAUACAAUUUUGUGAGAGUAUCCCAUAUUUCCUUCGCCGUAUUUUUCUCUGCCACACUGGAUAAUACUCCAUCCGCAAGUGCCAAGUGUAGAUCAGAAAUGGCGUUGCCGUCUACCUCAUUCCACUUGUCAUCAGUUAUCUCCAUGGGCCUUUCUCCAAUUGCUGCCAAGAAAUUAUUUUUCCUCAAUACAGCUUUUAUCUUCAUUUUCCACAACGAAAAAUUAUUUCCAUUAAAUUUCACAAUUUCAUACUCUGCCGCCAUUUUGUUGAUAAAUACCGCACACAAGCUAGUGUACCACCCUGAAUAGUUGUGAGUAUGUGUAAGGAUGCACACCAGGAAAGUUCCCAGGAAAGACUGGAGGGGUCACAAUGGUCCCACUUAAAACCCAGACUCCUUAAGCUCUUAUCGCAUUUGUGACAGAACUUUCCUAAACAUGUACAAAACCACACAGUUGCUUUACUCACACCACUAUUCCCUACUUUGCACCGCAAAAUUCUUGGAUCGCUUCCACCGUUUCACAUGAAUAGUACCGUAUACGUGAAUAGUACCCCUUACGUGAACAGUUCCCAACUCCAAAAAAAUACAACCAAUAGCUCUGAUACCACCGUUAGGAAAUUGGUGGGUGAAGCAGACACGCAGUUAAAGUAAAAUUAGUAGAAAAAUAAAGAACAAGCACAAAAGAAAAUACCAAAAAUUACGUGGUUCGGCUUUUAGCCUACGUCCACGGGUGAAGACAGAAAGAAAUAUUAUACUAGUGAAAAGGAGUUACAAGUAUUGUAGUAUUUUAGCUCACUACCCAAAACCCCAAUACACUCAAACUCUCAAAUCACUAAGCACACCAAAUUCUUUGCUCUUGCAAGAAUCACUUCUCACAACUCUCAACUCUCUCUACAAAAAUUGAAUAAAAAUGAAUUAGGGAGCUCUUCCUUUUAUAGCCAAAAAAUGGCUAUUAAAUUAAUAUAUGUAUGUAUAUAUUUCAAAUGUUGUUGCCAACUUCUUCUUUUUCUCCAUUGGAUGGCACCAUUUUCUUUGGCCGGCUUGUCAAAGCCAACUUGAAUUGGCUUUGUAGCCACCGGCCUUUGACAGGUGUCAUGGUCUUAAUUAUGAUGUUAUGGCCUCAUGCUAUAAUGACACUCUUAUAUUUGUUUUCGACCUGAAGUCUCAAAGGCCGGUUUCAAGCUUAAGUCUCCAUCUCAUGUUCACGGCAGGAUGGACGCAGGGUUUUUUAAUAAGACCUGGCUAAAUUAAAACUUUUUGUAGGUAUUUUUCCUAAUUUUCAGUAUAGUUAAAGCAGUAAAAAAAAACAACACACACACAUAUUAAAUAACAAGAAAUCAAUAACCUUGCUCUUAACAAAAUAUAUAUGUUAAAAAUUAAAAAAAUGACAAAAUGGUGACAAAUUAACUUAUAUCUUAUAACGCAAUUGUAAUAGAAAUUAUAAAAUUAUACGUACCAUGAAAUAUUAUUUCAUGAAAUUCUUUUUUAUUUCAAUAAUAGAUAGAAUAAUUGAAAAAAUUAAAAAAAAAAAGGUAGCAAGUCUAAUUGUAAAGGAAAUAAACCAAGAAAAGAUUCUUGCUAUAAAAUAUAUUGCUGCAGUUUUGUAACAUUCCUAUACUAGUGACAGUGUAAUAAUAUGUUCACAUGCUUUUAUUUUAAAUCAGAACAAACCAUAACAUUUUCAUAAUAAAUAGUAAUAACCCCGAAGCGUGUUUAAUUUCUUCAAUAAAUAUAUGAGUUGUUCAAUUGAAAUGGUAAAUUACUCCUUUAAUAUUGAAUUUAUAUGCCCCGAUCUAAGAGUAACUUAAGUAUGAAAAGUAUUUCAAUUAUUUUAGUAGAGAUCCAGUAAGGGAUAUAUUAGAUUGUUACAUAACAAAAUCAUAAAACUUUAGGAAUCUUAAAGAAUUUUUUUUAGGCCCAGUCAGACUGUAGCCCGGUCUAACUUUAGUAAUUAAGUUUUAGAGAUUUUUUUUUAAUAAUUUAAUGAUACUUUUUAGAUAAUUUUGACCGAAUAAAAUGAGUCAAUUUUUUUAGACAAAAAUUAGCAAAAUACCCGUAAAUUUUCUAACUAGCUAAAACUCCCAUGAUAUUAAGAUAAUCAAUUUCUUUAAAAGGGAAAUUCUAUCUUUAAAAAUAAUAAACAUUUAAAACUAAAUAUUAUCAGUUUAUCAAUAGAUUAUGGGCCUACGCAAAAUACGUUGCAAUAUACAAUAGCAAAAGAAAAAAUCCAAUUGCAUUUUUAAUUGGAUUCUUAAGUGGGGAGAAACUUUCUCCUCUUUUAUAAAACAAUCAUACAAAAAACUAAAAAUGAUAAAUCGGUUUACCCAUUUCAUAUUUUCAAUUUCGAACACAAACAAUAAGCAAUAUGUUCGGACUUUUACGGAUCCUAUAUCCCUUAUAUCGGUUUGACCCAUAUUUCCAUUGACGCCGAUAAAAAAAGUAAAUAUGACUCCUGAAAUUUUUUAUUCCUUCAUUUUUCAAACUGAAACCCGAGCAAUAGAACCUAUUAUUGCCACCGAUCAGUCAUCGCCAUUAUGUCACUGCCACAGGCCUUGGCAGCCCAAAGAUGACGAUUUGGCUUCUGAAUUCUGAGCAACGCCAUAGAAAGUCUCAAUCUUGAUUUAUGUUCGAAUUUUUUUCAAUAAAUUUGUUUGAGGUGAUGGAGGAAACAAAUGCUGGCUAUGGUGGAUGAAAAUUUGUAAUAGUUGUCAAGUGGAUCAAAACUGGGCUCAUGAUUGAAGAGUUUAUAAUUCUCUCGACAUGUUGGGUUUGUGCAUUAAAACUGGCGGCUUGCGUGGUGGUCACUAUCCAUGGUGAUUCAAGCAAGGUUAGAAAUUGACGCGAGAGAGAGAAGAGAGGGGGGAAAAAGAGAAAAAAGAAUAAUUUUUUAAAUUUAUUUGUACGUUGAAUUAAGUCAAAAUCUGUAAAAUGUAUAAUUUUACUGAAAAGUUGUUGGACUUACUUUUAAAAGACAGAAUUGCCCUUUACGAAAGUAAUUAUUUUAACAGCGAGGGGUUUUAACAAGUUUUAAAACCCGUGGGGGAUUUUGCUUAGUUCUAGAAAAUAAGAGGGGGUUCAGCUAAUUUUGUUGUUUUCAUUUUUAUGGCUUUUUACCAAAUGGAAGCUAACUAAAUUCUAAUGUAAAAAAAAAAAUUCUCAUUUUAUUAUUCAUUUUCUAUACUUAUCCUCAAAAUCCACACUUGUCCACUCAACAAGAAGCAACCUAGAGUAUAAUUCUUGUUAAAUCGGGAAAUAACAGAGAACAUUGCUCAUUUCUACAAUAUAUUACCAUAUCUAAAGUACUCAAUUUACUUUAUAUGGAUCUCUGAUGCAUAAUAGGAAUUUAUACUAGGAUAUGUUUCCUAAUUAAUUAAGGACUCUUAAUUUCCUUUUCAAUUUAGAAUUUUAUUUCUUUUUCAAUUUAGAAUUUUGUUUUCCCUUAGUGAUUUAGGAUAAUUACUGCUACUAUAAAUAGCUUCCUCUUGUAGCCUUUGAAGGCAUAUUCUAUUUCAAUAAUAUUUUCAAUUUUCAAAUCUCUUUGUGAGUAUUUGAGUUCAGUUAAUUCUCAGUAUUCUGUGGAAUCAACAAGUCUUAACCCCUAAAUUUACGGUAUUCUUUUAAAUCAACGUGAAUUUAGUUGUUCUUUUAUUUUAGCAUUCUCUAAAAUUAACUGAAUAUUUUGAACAUUAAACUUUCACUGCAUCAAUAUCCUAGGUCUAAUGUAAGUAGAAAGUGUUGUUGGAAAAAUGUAUGCUUUUGUUUGCAUAGACGAUUUCUCUAGAUACACAUGAGUUGAUUUUAUUAGUAAAAAAUCUAAUAAUUCAAUAUGUUAAAAAAGAAAUGAUCACGGAAAAGAACAUGAAAAUGCCAAUUUUGCAAAAUUCUAUAAUAGAUAUAGUAUAAAACAUGAAUUUUCAGCACCUGUUACUCCUGAACAAAUAGAAUUUUAUAGGAGAUGGUACAUGUGAUGUUAAAUUCUAAGAAGCUAACUAAACAUCUUUGGGUAGAAGCACUUGAUACUGCAUGUUAUAUUAUUAACCGUGUGUACUUGCAUCCAAGUACUAAGAAAAGUUCUUAUUAAUUGUUGAAAGGUAAGAAACCUACCCUAAGUUAUUUUCACAUCUUUUCUAGUACAUGUUAUAUCUUGAAAGAGCAUGAAUGCUUGGGCAAGUUUGACUCAAAAAGUGAUUAGGGUGUUUUACUUAGUUACUUUAUCAAUAGUAAAACUUAUCGUCUAUAUAAUAUGAGGACUAGAACUAUUAUAGAAUCUGCUAAUGUUAUUAUUGAAGAUUUUAGUUAUUUUUUAGAAUUUUCUAUUGAAGUGGAAAAUCACCAAGUUCAUUGAAAAUGAAGUAAAAUCAAAUUCAAGUAAUGUUUGAACCUUUAUUGAAAAAGAAUAUAGUUAAUCGAACUCCAAAAAUCAAAGUUAACUGAUUGAUUUGACAAAUGCUAAUUCUUCCCAUUCAUGUUAAGAAAAUAAUAAGGAAGAAAAUGCAAAAUCAAGAAUCAAAAUUGAUGUUCAUGACCAAGUUAAGAAGGGACCAUCUUCAAGAGUUGUAAAGAACAACCCGUUAGAUCUUAUUGUUGGAAGUCUAGAAAGCUCCAUGGUAACUAGAAGGAGGUAUGCGAAUCUUACUUUGAUAUAAUUGUUUUACCUCAUUAAUUGAACCAAAAAAUACUAAGGGAGAGUUAUUUGACGAAUUUUGGGUUAAAGCUAUGGAAGAAGAACUUGAACAAUUUGAGCGUAAUGAUGUUUGGCACUAGUUCUUAGGCCAUAUCACACUAAAAUUAUUGGUACUAAAUGGAUUUUCAAGAAUAAAACAAAUGAAUAUGGUAAUAUAAUAAGAAAUAAGGCUAGGUUAGCCGCACAAGGCUAUACAUAAAUUAAAGAUAUUCAUUUUGAUGAAACAUUUGCUCAUGUGGCUAGACUAAGUCUAUUAGGCUUUACUUGCUAUGCCUUGUUUAAUUAGCUUUAAAUUAUUUUAAAUGGAUGUUAAAAGUGCAUUCUUGAAUGGACUUUUGAAUAAAGAAGCUUAUAUUGAAAAACCCAAAGGCUUUGAAGAUCAAUAUCAUUCCGAUUAUGUUUACAAAUUGAAAAAUCCUUUAUAUGGAUUAAAAUAAGCACCUACGGUAUGGUAUGAAAGAUUAAUCAAAUUCUUGAUUGAAAAAGGCUACGAGAGAGGGGGAGUGGACAAGUCUUUACUUAUCAAAUAUCUUAAUCCUAGAAUUAUGAUAGCUCAAAUUUAUGUGGAGGAUAUUGUUUUUAGUUUUACAUCUCUAAUGUAAGUUCAAGAAUUUGUUGAUCAAAUGAAAAAUGAAUUUAAAAUGAGCAUGGUUCUUGACUUAACCUAUUUCUUAGGUUUACAAGUAAAAUAACUUGAAAAUGGUAUCUUUAUUUCUCAAAGUAAGUAUACCAAAAAAUUUGGUGAAAAAGUUUGGAUUAGAUUCGGUCAAACACAUGAGAACACUUAUAAGCACUAAUUUAAGACUAAUAAAAGAUUUAGUGUUGAUCCAAGCCCAUAUAGAAGUAUGAUUUGUAGCUUAUUUUACUCAACUACAAGUAGACAAAAAAUUUAUUCUAGUGUUGGUGUGUUAGAUACCAAGCAAAUCCAAAGAAAUCUCACUUAUUUACGGUCAAAUUUAUCAUUUGUUUUGUAAAUGGAACAAUUAAUGGUGAAAUUUGGUAUACUAAAGGCACUAAUCAAGUCUUGCAAGAUAUAACGAUACUAAUUGGGCAAGUAAUUUUAAUGAUAGAAAGAGCACCAUUGGAGGUUGUUUUUAUCUUAAAAAUAAUUUUGUAUUUUGGCACAAUAAAAAACAAAACUCAAUUUCUUUAUCUGCUGUUGAGGGUGAAUAUAUUGCUACUAGUAGUUGUUGUACUCAAUUUUUUGGUUGAAGUAAAUGCUUGAAGAUUUUGGUAUUAGUUAGGAUAUUCUUACUAUAUAUUGUUAUAAUACAAAUGCUAUGAAUAUUUCAAAGAAUCAUGCUCAACAUUCUAGAACUAAGCAUAUUAAUAUUAUAUAUCAUUUCAUUAGUGAGUUAGUUGAAAGCUAGGCUAUAUCUUUGGAGUGCAUUAAAACCAAAAAUUAGCUUGCAAAUAUAUUUACUAAAGUUUUGGGUGAAUCUAGAUUUGAUUCCUUAAGCAAAGCUUUAGGUAUUUGUUCUUUGUAGUCGUGUUCUAUGACAUUUUGUACAUGUAUAUGUAUUAUUAUUAUUAUUAUUAUUAUUAUUAUUAUUAUUAUUAUUAUUUGGCAUCUCAUGACAUGGUUAAUACAUUAUUUGAAUGUGUUUUUGUAUCACACGUACUUUAUUUGAAUCACUAUGUGCAAAAAUAUUUUGAUUUGGUGACUUGAAAGCUUGAAACAAUUUUUUAUUGGUCUAAUUUAAACUUAACUUUGUGCACAUAUAUCUUACUAACUUGAUUUUCAAUUUUGAGGCUUCUGAUGUUGAAAUUAAUAGAUUGAACAUUGCCUAUAUACUUUUGACUCUUAUCUCAACUUUAGAUAUCAAGAUGUGCAGGCACCUCAGUCAGAAAUACUUAUCCAUAACAUUUAAGAGUGAAGUUAUCAUUGAGUAAUUUGAGUCUGCGUAUCACAAGUGUAAUAGAGGACCAACUACCAUAAAAAACAAAUGCUUCUUUCAAAGGUAAAGUGAAAGCUACUGACUAUAGGCAAUUGAAAAAGAAAGAAAAGAAAAAUCUCAAAAGUUAUAUAUAUGCAGUAAAAUGACAAACAAAAAAAUUAUUAUUGCAAUUUUUUAUCAUAUUGCUUGAUACAAUGAAAAGAUCAAUUUGAAGAUCAAGAUGAUAAGGUUAGUUUGAAUUUUUCAUUCUAUUUUUUGAUACAAAAGUUAUUGAUUUUGAGAAAAUCGAGAUUGAGUCUUGAUGGAUUUGUAUUACACAUAAAAGUUUAAAAUUUCACUAAUAUUUUAUUAGUUCAAGUGAUUGAAGUUUGAUUAUCUUGAUUUUGUGUGUAUUUGUGAUGAUUAUUGAUCAACAUAUCUCUUCAAUUUUUCAAAAAAAAAAGUGUCUUAUUGCUUAAUGUUUUUUAAUUAUGUGUUUCAUGCAUCGAAUUAUUGCAUGGAUGAUUGCAUGAAACAAAUAUACUUGCAAAUUAGUUUUAGGAUUUUUUAUGAUUUAGGGUUUAAAUUGAUAAAACUUAGUCAUUUAGGGUUGUUCAUCUUUUGUGUAGUCUUUAGGGGUCUUUCAGUAACUGUUCCAUAAGUACUGAAAUGCAAGUUAUGCAACCCAAGAGGGGGGUGAAUUAGGAUUUUAAAAUUUAUGCAAUACAAUUCGCACAACAAUUUAAUCUAUUGCCUUAAUCAAAUCAAAAUAAUAAAUUCAAUCAAGUACAAUAUUAAAAGAGUAAGGGAAGAGAAAACAAACACAAUGAUUUUUACGUGGUUCGGUUAUCCCUGCCUACGUCCACGCCUCCAAGCUCACCCGGCUUGAGGAUUUCACUAUCAAAACCUCCUAAGGCUUCAAAUGUUUACAAUUGACUUCUAAGGUGUCAAUGGACCUUUACAACAAGAGAUUAUAUCCCCAAUCUCUUCACCUCAAGUGUUUCCCACACUUGUACACUCACAAUUUGAUGAAAAAUGAAAAUCACAACAAUGAAACUCUCUUUAAGAGUAGAUAAUAAAUUAUAGCUCAAUAAUGAUUCAAUAAAUGAUGAUUUGCGAAAUGGAAGCUCAAUAUAUGUUAUAUGAUCUUAUAUUUCCUUGUAUUUGUUCAUAUAAUGAAGUUUGAGUUAAAUUUUUAUAGUGAAAGUCCAAAAACUAGCUGUUAUAGGCAAAUUCCCACGCCCAAGCAGUUAGCCAUUUGAUUAUCCGGCUAGCCGCUCAGGAACAGUGAUAUUACCGUUAAUUUUAAAUUUUGCUAUAGUAACACUAUUCACUAAAAUUAUACUUUAACCCAAAACUUUCUAUAAUUAUACUAUAGCCCAAAACGUCAUAAAAUUUUACAAAUAGAUCAAAUUUCAGAACAUCCUAAGAAUAAUUGUCUUUCCCAAACUUUUUAAAAUUAUGAUAUGACCCCAAAAAUUUUAUUAUUUCGCACAAAAGUCCUUUUCAACAUAAUACCCAUAUUUUUCAAAGUUCUUCAAGCCUUUCACUUUAGUCCAAAAUAUUCAUAAAUUAUACUAUGGCCCAAAAUAUUUCAAAUGUUUGUAAAAACGUCCAACUCCGAAAUUUAGUACUUAUUAAAAUCAAAGAUUUCAAAUCUUAGCAUUUAAGUCCAAAUUACUUAAAUCCAUAAAAUACUUUACUUAAAAAAAAACAUUUUAGUUUAUGAAAAGUAUUUAAUUAAAUUAAUCUCUUGAGCUUCUCAAAUGCUAAACCAUGCAUCGUUUAAAUCAUACCGGCUUUUCAAGAAUUUAUUGCACUAAUUUGUUCGUUGUGCUCUAAACUAUAUUCUUGAUGUUACCGUUGUCCGUUGAGUGUCUUCAAUAUUGAUUUCACUUGAUUCACUUGUAUAAAUAUUAUCCUUCAAAAACUAGUGAAAAUGUGAAAUACAAUAUUUAUUAAAUUACUUAAUACAUAUGUUUGUUAUCAUCAAAAUUACAUUAUGUAUAACCCUUUAGGCUAACAAUUACUUCACCAUUUUUCAUUUUGAGCAUAAAGCUUUCUUAUAUUUACACACUUUUCCUAAAUCUGACAAGAUUCUCAAUGACGUCCUUAUGACUAUUUUUUCAUCAUACUUAGAGGUGGCAGAAAAACUCGCCCGGACCAAACCCAAACCAAACCCGGCCAAUCCAAUCCAGACAAAACUCGGACCACAUGCACAAAAAACCCAGACAUUUCUGGUCCCGGUCCCGGGUUCAGCCCCAAUACCCAUUACCCAACCCGAUUACCAUUUACUAGUACCUAAAUUGCAAAGUUGAUUUGAAGCCCUACUACCGUAAGCAACUAAGCAUAAGCAUUAAGCAGCAGCCUCCUCUAAAAAGCAUAAGCAGCAGCGCUGCCACGAUGCCAUCGCCAAAUCCUUAAUCGCGAAAUCCCUUGAAAAGUAUAAGCAGCAUCGUUGUGGCUGCCUUGAAAUUACUAAUCACCAAAUCUCUUGAAAAGCAUAAGCAGCAGUGUUGCGGCUGCCGCGCCUCCAAUACUCCAAGCCAGCACCAGCAGCAGCCACCACCCACUGUCGGCAUCAUCUUGUCUCGGUUGUUGACUCACUACCCUUGGCACGCAACUUUGCUCGAUUCGGUUACUCCAUCUCCACUACCAUUGUCAGUCUGUCAUAGCUUAUAGAGUUAUUCGUGCAGCCCUCUCUGCCGCCGUCACAGCCACCCUCUCUAACUCUCCAUUUAUCAUGUCAUUACUUCCAAAAUUAUAAAUAAUUAAGCAGAUAUUUUAUGUCAUAUACAUAUAAUAGAGUGAUUUUACAUGCGGGCUUAGAAGCCCGAACCAAAAACCCAGGCUCGAGAGGUGCCGAGCUUGAGCCCGGACCGCACCCAAAAAAAUCAGGUUUUAACCCGGGUCUGGUCUUACAUUUCACUCAUCCAGUUCGGUCCCGGGCAACACCAAAACCCGGACCGAACCCGGAUUUUGCCAAGCCUAAUCAUACUUGUAAUUUUUGUGAUUUUUCUUGAAAAUAAUUCUUGUUUAUGAUUUUAUUUUAUGUAUGUCUUAGUUAUCAUUGUUGUAUGAAGAUUCUACGACCUUGCUUGAGUUGUUUUACUAUUUAUGGAAGCAUAAUAAUUAAUACCCACUCAAAAUACUUUUUUCUACCCAUACAAGGUCUGUGGUUAUCUCUCUAUAUAAGGGCUCUUGUUUAGCUCGUUUUUCUCAUUCUUUCUCAUCCAAACAGUAGCCUAUACCUCUACAGUUUCUUUGUUUUAGUUCUUUUUCAGAUUGUGCAUGAUGGUUUCCACAAAAUCAAAUAUGCAUGUUGAACAAGCAAAGGAAGUGGAUGCUUUAGGUGAUUCCAACGUGCAUGGAUGUACUCUAAUUAAUAUGCUGCAUGCUGCUCAUGAAGAAGAGAAGGAUGCCAAUCCAUGGCCUAUGAUAGAAAUUGCAUCAAAAUUGCUCAACAUACAACGAUAAGGUGCACAUGUCGAUUGCACCCAUUCACUCAACAAUUUUGUUGGAUCUUGUAAUGGACAUGCUGAUUCAAUUGAAAAAGAUCCUAGUGAAGCCAAUUUAGAUAAAUAUGUCCCAAAGUCUCCAAUUAAUCAAAACAGCAGCCACUUAAUCUAUGUGUUACCUUAUGCUUAUAGUAAAAAGUACUAUACUCAUCCUCGUAGUGACAAUCUUGAUUUCUUGCUUACAAGAAAAUAUCAUUCUGAAUGUAGUGUUGCUAUUUCCAAAUUUAUUCCUUUUAAGAUUGAACCAUCUAUUAUUGUUGCUGGUUUGGAAAACACCAUUAAGAAUAUCUCUUCAUAUGCACCUAACUUAGUUUGAAAAUUCUAUGCCAAUUUGAAUAAGAAUAUUACGGAUGAGACUAAGCUUAGUUUUUUCCAUAAAAUUUAUGUGAGAGGACGUAUCUUGAAGUUUUCCUCUUCUUUAAUCAAUUGUCGAUUUAGGAUAAAGAGUUUGAUCAUAGCAAUGUCUGGAAACACAUAAAUACCUUGGACAUGUCUACUAUUGCUACUGGACUUUUAAGAAGGUAUUCUCCUUGGCCUAAAGACCUUUUGGUUUCCAAAUUUGAUUCUAAAUAAAAAGCUUUGCAUUGGAUUGGGGCACACAUUUGGUAUCCUAAUGAAAAUUAUGCUACUGUGGACCCUUUGUUUGCUAAAAGUCUUUUCUUUUUUCAGUUAAAGGCUGAGUUUCUUUCAACUUUGGCAAGUUGGCUUUUAAUUUGAUUGUGAAAAAUGUCGAUGUGUUUUGGAAGAGACAUGCAUUACUAUUCCCUUCCGUGAUUUAUCAAUUGUUGACAUCUUAGGAUUAUAAUUUAGUUAAAUAAGAUGAGGGUUUUACUUCUUUUCCUAUUUAUAUUAAACCAACCUAUCCUAGGUAGAAGUCCUUAGUGUUGUUGGUAAUCAAGAUGAAGAUACUUCUACUAAGAAUGCUCUCAUAGAUUCAGCCACUAUCACUUUUGACCUUCAAGCCAUUCACUCCACUUUCCAGUGCUUGGAUGUCAAAUGAAGACAAUUUUAGAUUUUUUGGGUUGAGUUGAACGCAUUGAACACACUUUUGAUGACAUUAGGCAUGUUCACUAUCCUUGAUUUGUUUACUUUAUACCCCCCUUGUUCAUUAGUUUUGAUUUUCGUCUAGCUUAGGAUGUUGUUCCAAUUUUUUGUUUAUAUUCUUUAUCAUGCUUUGGCACCUUUUGUCAAAAGGGGGAGAGAACGUAUUUUAGUUUUUAUUGCCUCGUGAAAACGGAAGAGUAGUUCUUUAUUUUGUUCAAACUUUAUUUAAAUUUGAUUUCAAUAAUAAAGGAGGAGUUUGUUUAUAUGUUCAUUGAAUUUAUUAUUCUUUCUCUAAGGGGGAGCUUGUUUGAUUUGCAUAUGAUCUUUAUUGCUUAUUUUAUUAUGUAUUAUUGCUCUCAUCAUCUAUUGAUAUGAGAUUAUCUAUCUUAAAGGGAGAGUUAAUUUUCCUAAUUGAAUAAUAAACAUGAGCAUUUAUUUAGAGAUGAUUUUUGUCUUUAACUAACGGUGACUAAGUAUCUUUGUUUUGGUGAGUUUUUUGUUUGCUUUUGUUGCUUAUGAGUGGAUUAUUUCUUGUGAUUUCUCUUGCUUCUACACACACCAUUUGAAAGCCAAAUAAUUGGUUAGUUUAUGUUUGACUACAAGAUUGCAAACGGGGGAGAUUGUUAGGGUUUUUAUUAGUGGCAUUAUUGUGUCAAUAAUAUUGUAAUUUAUUUGUUUCUUUUACUAGAGAUUUUGUUUCCUUUUAUUCGAGAUUUAUCUAAUCUUGGGAAAUAAUUAAGAUUAGAUUAUGUGGACUAUUUAAGAAUAUUUGUGGAGGCAUAGAAGAAGCAAAUUGACGUAUACAUAGGAUUCCAUAUCAAAGAGUUCCAAGUAAAAAUAACUACUACUUUGAUAAGUAUAUCAAGUAUUUAUAAAAUAAUGGACUAUCAAGGAAGUAUAUUCUAAUAUCAAGUAUUUUUGAAAUAUUAGACUCUUAAGGAAGUAUAUCUUAAUAUUGAUAUACUAGGAUUUAGGUGCAAUACCACUCUUACAUAAAGAGAAGUAUUUCACACAUUAAAAUAGUGAAGAAGACAUAUCGUAGUUUAUAUCAAAGAAGCAGCUAAAGCAGAGAACGAGAAGAAACCUAUUUGGCCACAUAUGAUGCUUUAUAUCUCUAUGGUGUUUUAGUCUUCUUCAUCUAGUUUUCAUCGCAUCAAGUCUUUUUAUUAGACCUUCUUUAUAUUUACUUUGGUUUCUUCGGGACAAAGAGGUCGUUUAUUGUGUCGAAUUUGUUGUGGUUGUCUUGGUCAUUUGUUAAAUUCUAUAUAAAUUUAGAACUUCAAUAAUGUAAAUAUAUAAUAUUUUAGUAGAUAUAUAAAUUUUACAAUAAUAAUUUACAAAACUAUUUGUGUGUGUGUGUGUGUGUAAUCAUUCUCUAGUGAGGGUAUUAAAGUGAAAAUGCUAGUAAAAAAUAAAAAAACAUAAAUUUUAAUAUACUAAUAAACAAAAAAUAUAUAUUUUUCAAUGUAUUGAAAUUAAUUUUUUUUCAUAUUUUGGUAACAAAAUGAGGAUGUCUUCACUAUAAAAUAAUUAUAUAUAUAUAAUCUUCUCAAGUGCAGGCGCCCUUAUUUUUUUAAUACGGACACACUCUUAAAUCGUACAGUUUAAGAUAAUUAGUUUUGAAUGAACUAUAAAAUCGUGCAAUUUAAAAGAGUUAAAAACUAAUUCUCUUAAACUGCAUAAUUUAAAAGUGUGUUCUCAUAAAAAAAAAAUGAUGGUGUCCGCAUUAGAGAAUAACUAUAUAUAGGAUCAUAAACUUUGUUCAAGUUUGAGAAAGUUGUUACGUCAUAUUGUACAAUAGUGUAAUGCCUAUUAUACUAUUACAUUAUGUGGCAUAAUAAUUUUUUUUAUUUUAAUAAAAUGCAGGAACCCUCACAGAAAAGUACUCAUAAUAUAUUAUUAAAAUGAUGGAAAAUUAUUAUGAUAUAUGGCAUAAUAAUAUCAUAAACAUUACACUAUUACACAAUAUGGCAUAACAAUUUUCCAGACUUUAAUACAAUGCGAAAACCCUCGUUAGAAAGUUUACAUAUACACACAUAACUAAGUUUAUAUAUACACACAUAAUAUUUGAUGUAAAUCUUAGUUAUAUAUACAAAUUGUAAGUUAAUUAUUAAAUAACUCAUUUAUUUUCUAAGUCUAUCUCAGACCUUGUGACAUUGAUCUUUUUCUGCCAUGUUAUGUUGGUGAAGACCGGUCACCUCAAUCCUACGAAGCUACUUCUCUGAUACACCCGUUGAAUAUUUUAAUACGGUUAUAUUUUAAUAUGAUUAUAAAUUUAAUACAACAUGAAAUUGACACAUCAUGAGCAUUAUUAGGGAUCCCGUUUCAUUUUGUCUGCUCUACCCACAAACAACUAAGUAUCCCAAAACUUAUCCCAAUCUGUAAAACGAAAUGAAGAAAUAAAUAGUUAAUAAAUAAGACCAAAAUUGAGUUUAUUACAACGAAUCAAAUAAAAUCUGCCACUUUUCUCCUUACAACGUACGAAUUAAACAUAAUAUUAAUUAACAAGUACAGAAGAAAGGCCAUUUCUUGGACGUUUGCUUUCCUUCUCAUUACAACACAUUAUAUAUAUUAUGUGGAAGUGAACAGCAAUCUUUGCUACUUCCUUCUGUAAGGGUACAGAAUGUCUUCCAAUGUCUCUUUUAUUUGGUUACCAACUUUAUUCACAUUUUUUGCCACGCCAGCUGCAACCAGUCCUGCAUUCCUUUUAAACCUGCACAUUUAGUUUAACACACAGUUUAACACACGAGAACAGACUUAAGAGGUUGGAUCUUUUAGCAAGUAUGAACUUCACUGGAAUGUCGAAAUUACAUCAACAAUUGUCUAAAAUUCAUCAAUUGGGUUUUGGCUGUCUUACCUGUUCCAGUACUCGUCUCCUGGAAAAGGUGCUGGCUUGUACGUUCGAGGUUGUGGUUGAGGUUGAGAUCGAGGUUGAGGAAAAGAAUGACUCUCUAAUGAAGGCAAAAUAGCAUGAACAAUUAGUUAAGCAGAAACAACCAAAAGCAUAAAAGUAACGGAAAAAUUAGUUGACUAAUAUUAGAAUCUCCUGUUAUGAAUGAUUUUAAUCACUUUGACGUAGAUGUAACUUUGAAAAUAUGAUAAAAACAGCCAGAAAGUCCAGCAAGAAUGAAACAAAAUAUUAAAGGAAAAAAGAAGAGCAACUCCACAUUCUUGUUGAAGAAUAAUGCAUAUAAUCAUUCUAUCAUGUUUUACAUUUGUGAAAUCAACGCCUCCACAUCUCAGUAGAAGAAUAGUGGCAAUUAAAAAUCAUUUGAAAUCAAUAACUAUUAUAAUACAUCUUUGGAGAUAUAAUGACCAAAUGCUGCAACAAUAUUUUCCUUUCCACUACCACAAAAACCAAUAAUAAUUUUCAAGGAUAUGCCAACCACCAACGUAGAUGCAUAAUUCUCCUCAACUCUGUGUCCAAGGCCCAAUCAAAGCACCUAACAUUUUUCCAGUAAAUCUGAUAAACUCGUUUAUAUAGAAGUGUUUCUUUCCUAAAUCUUCUACAACAAAUUAAACCUCAGGCAAGCCAAAGCCACAUUCUAGAAUGCAGAUAGAAUGAUCAUAACACUUCCAUGGCAAUGCAUGGUAUACAACUUCAGAUAAACUGAAAGUGUAAAUCCACAAGCCAAUAAGCUAUAUUAGUUUCAACAGGCACUCUGAAGUUCAUCUAGAGGUAAAACAUAUAAGUGUAUAACUAGGAGAGUAAGAGAACCUUUGCUCCAUUUUAAAGGGACAAGAAAAGAAACUCUCAAUACCUUCACUUUUACGAACAUGAGCAGGAACAUGGUUGGCAGUUGAAGGGCUUCUGUCCAACAGUACCUUAAGAAAAAAAAAACAAAUAAACAAAUUUUAGUUUAUCCCUUAAACAAAAAUUCAACUUGAUUUGAGAAGUAUAAAAGUCAUUGAAAUUGUCCAACACUAGAAAAUUGCGUAGACAAAACCAAGAUAAUAAAAGAAAUUUAUGUUUCUUUAUAAGACAAUAAAACAUUGAAUAGUUUUGAAUGGAGAAAGAUAAGCUACUACCCAAUGCUUAGCAGCUUCUAUAAAUACCGACCGCAUCCUAAAAUUUGCGAUGCAAGAGGUCCCCAGAGUUUCGGGGUAGAACAUAUCUGAAAGUAAACAAUCAGAAAAUGAGAUUAAAAAAAUGCAUCACCUCGAGACCAACACAGAAUGGCAGUUCUGCUUCUUUACUAUCCCGCUUAUCAGUUGAAGAAUCCUUGUUGUCCAGGAACACUGAGUAACCAACACAACCAUACUUGAAAUCUUUUAAGGUACGGCCCUCUUUGGAAGCUUCCAACUCAGUUUCUCCAACGAUGUACCCAGGGACUGCUCAAACACCUCAAAAUCAUGGAAUGAAUAAACAUACUUCUGAAGAAGUGAGAUGUCAAUAAGAUGUGUGCGUUUGUGGAACAAAGGGCCAAAAUUAAGCAGCAUAAUACACAAGAAACGCCAUUAGCAAUGUAUGUCAAUGGAAGUCUAAAAGUUAAGCAGCAUAAUAACAUGAAAGACAAUCGCAAGAAACACUUGAGCAUCAAUUGGAGCAAAUCAGAGCUAAUAUUAUACCAUUCUUAGCUUUAAAGUGCAACCUGGAAUACCAACCGGUCUCAUACAGUAUGCCAAUUAUCAGAAGUUAACCAAAACUUGCAAUCAUUUUGGGAUAUACAAAAUAAACAAUUUAGCGUUCAAUAAAACUCAGACCACAACAAGUGCAUAAGUCUAACGAAAUUCACGGAAAAUUUGAUCAGAGAUAUACAAUCAUAGCAACAAUUUAGCACCAAUACAGCCCAGAAACAAUAGAAGAAAAGCUGUAUGUCCUUUUAUUUCAUCAUCUCUAAGAACACACAAGUGCUUACAGCAUGCAAUGAUUAAUAAGCCUAACAUCCAAACUCACUAAUUCAUAUCACUCCAAUUGUCCCAUUAAGAAGGCAUCCAAAAUUUCAGCAAAUUUUCCCGUUCUUUCUAUUACGUUUAACUUCAAAUUUCAUAACCAAGGAUGAUCGAUUACACUAUCGCACCCGAAAUCAAACUGCAUCAAUGCGAAUAAACAUUAGCACUAAGUCUGAAUUAUCAUAAGUUUGGAUCAUAAAACCUCAAGCGUUCUUUUUUUUUUUUUCAUGAUUCGUAAGCUAACAAGCAAACAGAAUCAAGGCAAUCAAAAUAAAAUACAAAUAAAACAAACCCAAUAGAAGAAAGACCUUCAUUUAGGGUUCUGGGGAUGCCAACACAGAUGGGGUUGUGAGAAUUGGAUUUGAGAGCAGAAGAGUAAUACAAACAACCCUUGCAUGACUUCCCUUUCAGCAAUUUGCCCUGAUUAGUUUCCUUGUAAUUGCUUGAAUUAGGUUUAGGGUUUUGAUUUUGAUUUUGGAGUUGUUUAAUUUGCUCUUCUUUAUCUUCCUCCAUUGGAUUUGUCGAUUUUUCACUCUUUGCUUGCAACACCAACACAACACAAGACCAAACUGUUGAAAGUACUUGGCUCUUCCAAUAAAUAAAUAAAAUAAAAUUUAUUUCUGGCAAAAUUGAAUGGCAUUUGAGUAAAUUUUGUUCUAAAUUAUUUUAAAUCAGGAAAUAAGAUUUUUAGGUUUCAUUUUAUAUAUCUUACUAAAUAAAGAUUAUUUAAGUAAAGUUUUUGUUAGUGAAAUUUAUAUUCAAUAAAUUUUAUUUUGGUUAUCAAUGAAAAUUCUUAUUAAAAAUUAUAAAAUUACUUUUAGCGUGGGACUAUUAGCACUCCCAUAAUCUUUUUUCUUAACCCUUUUUUUGUGAAAUCUUAUUUUAAUUCCCAAAAUACCCUUUUUUCAUUUUUUCAGUUUCUUUUCUGAUUCAAAAAGAAAAAAAAAACAAUUUCUUCCAACCAACUUCGAGUGCAGAUUUUUUUUAACAAUUUUUUGAAUGAUUAAAGCAUAUAUAUUUAAUUGAAAAAAGAUCAUAUGUAUGUAUGAAUUAAGUAGAAUUAAAACUUAACAGUGGACUCAAAUAAUUAUUAUGUAAUUUUUUUGAUUAAAAAAUUAGAAUGCAAAAGUAUUUGUGAGCAAGCAGAAAAUGUAAGGGCCCGUUUGGAAUUAUUUUUAUGAGGUUUAAAAAUUUAAAAGUUAAUUUUAGUGUUUGGUAAAAAAAAAAUUAAGAUCAGUUUUAUCAAAAUUAAUUCCUCCUACAACGUAUUUUGAAAAGUAGAGAAGAAGCAUUUUUUAGAUUCUGAUUAGAAUUAAUUUUAUCCUUUAAUACAAUUUUAUAAAUAACCUUAAAAUUAUUAUCGAAUCCCAAAAUUAUCCUUUCAAAUUGGAAACUAAAUCAAUAUUCUAAUAAAUUUUUAUUAUAAUUCAUCAAUAUAAAUUUAUUAAUAUCAAUUUGUUGGUUGAAUUAUUAUUAAAUUUGUUUCACUAUAUUAUAAAUUUAAUUAUCAAUUGUUUUAAAAUAAAAAUAAAAAAAUAAAAUCAAUAUAUUAUUAAUUUUAUUUUUAGUAAAAAAUUAUUAUAUGUAUAUGUUUUUAUAUGUAUAAGUAAAUUUUAUCCUACAUUAUAUAUAUUGUACUCAUUUAUUUUCUUUCAACAAUUUAAAAUAAAAUUUAUCAAAUGUUGAUAAAUUUUAAAAGUAAAAUUUAUCUAACACUUAACCAAUUUUCUUCACAAUUGAUUAUUUUCAUAACAUAACUAACAAAAAUUAUUUAAAAAAUUACAGUAUUUCCAAACUAACCCGAAGAGGCUUUGGUGCAGUUGAAUGGAUGUAAAAAGUUGGAGGGACAAACAUAAAGAUAUACUUAGAUUUAUUUUGUCUAAUUGCAUUAGGAGAGGAGUUUUAUAAGGAGCACCGACGGGUGCCAAUAGUUAAUAUGGAUGGCAGGCAACCUUUCCACAGAGACUCCAAAUGAUUCUGUGAUCUUUGACAUUUUUUUUUUAAUUCUGUUUCAGCAACAUAAAAAAAGAUGAAAAGAAGAUUGCAGAUUAUUAAAAUGAAUCAACCACACGCAGAAAGAUGAUAUACUACUGGCACAUCAACUCAUUUGGGAUCACAGAACCCAGAAUAAUCCUAAACCCGGAUCCAUCACCACAUGCCGUCACCAACAACCUAUUUAUACCAAUCAGCUAACAAUUAAAUAAGAAAAAUGAAAUUUAAAAAAAAAAUCAGGAGAUGGAAGAAUGGACAAUGUUUAUGGGAAGUGAGAUUCUACAGCUACAAAAAGUUAAAUACUAUGUAUAAGCACUGAGAGACAUAAUGUGAGGAAAUUUCUUCAGAUGAAAAUAUACUGUACAGAUAUGACUGCUCUAUCCUCCGCUGUAAGUAAAUACCCAAAACUCAAGUGUGUAGAUAAUCACAUUGAGAUCCUUUCUUGCAAUGCCCACUCUCAUGGAAUUUACACACUCUCUGCCCUUUAUUAAAAUGAGGUCUGGAUGAAUCUCCACCUCUGCUGCCAAAUGACGGCUGUCUAUUCCAAGGUCUACCUCCACCAUAACCAGAAUCUCCACCGUGAGAACCCCGAUCUCUUUGAUUCGAGAACCUGUCUCCGCCAUUGUUCUGGUCACUACCCCACAUGCCUGGAUUCCCUGCCGGUGCCCCCCAACCAGGAUUUCCAUUUCCAGGUGGUGGCCCUUGCCCAGGUGCAACCCACCCGGUAUUUGCAUUUACGGGUGAUGGUCCUUGACCAGGCGGUGCCCAACCAGGAACAGCAUUUUUAUGUGCUUGGCCCUGUGCAGGUCCAGCCCAACCUGAAUGUGCAUUACCAGGAGCUUGCCCUUGGGCUGGAGCUCCCCAGUUCAUGUUUGUACUUGCAGGUAGUUGUCCUCCCCAACCCAUGCUAGGAUUUGCAGGCAUUUGCCCCCAACCAGUAUUCUGACUCUCUGGCACCUGUCUUGGCACAGCACUUUGAUUACCUGCAACACCCAUACCCCAAGGAGUGAUGGGUUGAGCAGGAGACUGGACAUUUGAUUGACUAGGAACAGGAGCUCUCCAUGAAUCAGAAGCUGGCAUACCUGAUUGGCCUGACACAGGGAAAACUCCAGGUGAAUUACCUGUAUUGAAGGUUGAAGCAUAAGGUUGAGCAUAAGCAGGAGACUGAGCAGGUAUAGAAACUGGAUUAUUUGGCUCUAGCUUCUGGGAUGAAGCACUUCCCCAGCCUUGAGCUCCAGUCACAGGUUUGGGAGAAGGAGCCAUCAUCUCCGGCCUAGCAGCCAAACCAGAACCCCAUCCAUGACUUUCAACAGGUGUAACAUUUGCACUCACACUUUGAACCAAAGUUUGGAGAUUAGCACCAAUACUUUUUAUAUCGACACCAGGAUUCACAGAGGCAACAACCGAACUGGAUGCAGGUAGCUGGUGGGGACUGACCAGCACCCUCUGUGAUUCAACUGUUUCGGGCUUAGAUGCCGAAGUCACUCCAUGAGUGAUAUUUAAACCAUCUACAUUAACACUCAAUUUUGAUGCAGAAGAUGAAGUAGAAAAAUUUGGCGAUUGCCCAGUCUCCAAACCAGUUGCAGGAGGAGAUUGCUUCCCUACAUUGCCUGGAAAUAGAUUGGUCACCAUGAGAGAACCAGGUUGAUUAUUAGGGGUGGGGGACCAUUCUUUUUCAAAUGUUUUCCCCUUAAUUUCACCUGCAGUGCUUUGAGUUGGAGUCGGAGACGGGAGGUUUGUCUCAGAUGCCCAACCAUCUCUAUAUUGCUUCGGAAGCUCAAGCGAAGGAGUGCCGCCAGACUGCCCUGAAGAACCUGGAGUACCGUGCUGAUUCCAAGCCGUACGAUUCUGAUCAAAGUUUGAACUUCCUCCAACAGGAGUUUCCAUUCCUGGCUGUGAAGAUGCUCCAUGUGAUUUCCCAGAGUAUGGGAUUGUUUGAGACAGACUGAUGUCCACCAAGCGAGGAUCUUUAUGAAACUUGCCAGCCAAUGCAUCAGUCAGAAGUAUAGAGUCAUCCUGCUUCUCGUUAGAUCUCCAAAUUCUCAAAUUUGCAGGGAAAUAUCCAGUGUUGUUCCAUUUCCGCAGCUGGACCAUGGAAAAUGGCCCUUGAACUUUUCCAGAUGGAUCCUGGUAAUGCCAUAUUUUCUCUGAUUCAUUAAUUUUGGGAGCAGAUUGUGUCACACCUGUAGAGGCAGAAGCUGGUGAUUUUUCUGCAACGGCCCUAGAAAUUGAUUCUGAUAAUACUACAGAAUUGUUUCUAGCACCAGUUUCUAGAUUGAGUGCAGUUCUCGGUUUAUCCCAACUGUUAAAUUGCUCAGUUUCUCUAUCUCUUGCUUGAUUCCAUAAACUUUCAUUCACUAUCUCGCCACCUCCAACAAGAUCAUCCCCUUUGUUCGAGAAGCCUUUAUUAGAUAUGUUUCUAGUCAAAUCUUUAAUCCCACCGGAAUAAUUCCUUGUCCCACUCAAGGAAUCAUUUGAAAAAGAACCUCCUUUUCCAGGAGAAAUUGGCUCCCUUCCUCUCCUGCUAAAGCCACUACCUCUUGGUCUCAUAUAGUCUGCAUGCACACGAAACAAUGUUACAAGAGGAAUGUAAACUAUGAUAUUUGUAUAAACAGAAGAAUAAGUUCAAAAUUCAAAAGAAGUCUAAACAUGCCUUGUCUCUUGUCAUCUGUUUCACCAUCAUCCUCUUCAGACUCAUAGCUUGGAUCCAUAUUAGGGUCUGAAUGUAUUUCUGGAAUUUCCUCCAGUCUACGCUGACGCUCUUCUGGCGUCUUUAGAAGUUGCAACUUCUCCACACAUUCUCUAAGCGUGAACAUUGGUCAAGGAAUACUAAACAGUUUUCCAAAAUCACUCUAUUAAUUGUGAAUUCACUUGCAUAAACAUUCAAUUAUUGAUGAACAGGAAUUAAUGUUGUCAUUUUCUUAGCUAAACUACAUGGUGAGAAAUAAAACAAUAAGCUGGACUGAUGGAGAGAUAAAGCAUAAAGAAAAGAAUGGACAAAGACAAGAUUGGGAAAGAGGCAAGAGGAGAAUUUAGAACUAAAACACAAUAUCCAGACUGCAUGAAAGAUUAUAACAUAAUAAUAAUAAAGUUGCUCAUAAACUCAUAAAGUAAAGGAUAUUCCUUUCGGCGCCCUAAAUCACUAGCUCGGUCACGGAGAUGACUGAGACGCAAUAUCUCUGCUUCCAUCCACUGCAAUGGAACAAGAAGUAUUACACACCAUAUGAAAUAAAACAGACAAAGGGCAAUAGCAAUGUCAUGUUGUCAGCUAUCUACUUCCAUUUCUUUUAUUCGCUUUACUCAAAUUUUAAUGGUGAAGUUUCAGAUAUUGAAUCAGGAAAAUUUAAAAUAUUGAUUUUAAGGAUGUAUCAUGAUGAUCUGUAACCUUCUCUCCAAAUUCUAUUUCUGGCACUCACUUCACAAUCUUUUCUUUUUUCUUUUUUUCCGUUUGGGGGNNNNNNNNNNNNNNNNNNNNNNNNNNNNNNNNNNNNNNNNNNNNNNNNNNNNNNNNNNNNNNNNNNNNNNNNNNNNNNNNNNNNNNNNNNNNNNNNNNNNUUUUUUUUUUUUUUUUUUUUUUUGGGGGGGGGGGGGGGGGGUGGAAGGGGAAGGGGAGGAAUUAGAGAAAGACAAAGACCAGAAUCAAAAUAAUCCUUGAAAUCCUGUAGAUUUUAUUGGCACUUGCUUGUCCCUGAAACCAUUUACUUUGAACCUUAUAUUAAUUUACCAUUAUAUAUCUAAGCAUUAGAUCCCCAAAACAUUGAAACCAUAAUAAUUACUUAGUACUAUGCACGUGAGUUAAAAUAUUUAAUGAAGCAGCGUUCAUAGUGUUCUCACGCAGCAUUUACAUUCUCCUUCUGCAGUACAAAUAUAAAACAAAAAAAUCUUAAAAUAACACUAAAAAUGGACUAUUCUGAACCUUUGCAUAGCUUUAAAUAACAAGAAAGGGGUCUUGCAAUCCUCUUAUUCAUUAUCCCAUAUAUUCCCUCCACUUUGGCACCAGGACUUAACCGAAGGUUGAAGUAAAGACUUUUCUCAACAAUUGGUGAGUGGAAGUGAGCAGAAAGGACAGGACGUUGGCAAAACAUUGCUUUCUUGCCAUAAUAUGGACAAGACUCCCUCAGCCCGUGGUUAAUAAUAAGAUUUGAAAUGUUGGAAUUUAGGUAAUUUAUUCUCAUAUAUUCGGCAUUUAGUUUCUCAUCCAUCUUCUAAAUUUAGUUAGAAAUGCUUUCUAAGCAUCUAUAUUUUACACUCUUCCACUAUUUCUUGGAAGUAAUUUCCUCUGGCGAUACAUGUUAUAAGCCAAAGUUAUCUAUUUGACUUCUUCAGUACUGAUAAUUGGCAACCACCAUGAAGAAAAUAAAAAUCAAGUUGAUUUAUUGAAUAAUCAAAGAAAAUGUGCUGGAAAUAGAAUAAACUUCCUGAAGUGCCAUGGUUUUUUCCCUGAAUGCGCAGGAAAUCAAAAUCAAGUUGAGUUAAUCCACUAUUAAAUAACACACAAUGAACUUACAUCUUUGACUCUGACUUCCUGGAGUGCCAUGGCUUUUUCCUGAAUGUCUCCCUGCAAGGAACCAAUUAAAACAUUUAAAGAAAGAACAAAUAUAUAAUUCAUGGCUGAUUCAAAGCAGAAAUGGAACGUUGUGGGCUUACCACAGUUAGACGGUUGAUAAGCCCACACUUUAUGCUCUGGCGGAGACGCUUGCAUUCAUCCUAACAGAUCAACAGAGGAAACAUGAAUACAAAAAAGAAAUUACAUGGACAUAUAAUGAAAUAGACACAUAAACACAAUGAAUCUCCAUAACACAAUCUGUAAUCCACAAUGCUAUGACAAACACCCCUCACUAUUUGUAUAUUUGUUUACCUUUUAUUUAUUUUUCUUAAUAAUGACGUGUAGUUGUACACUCUAUUUUAACUCCCCAUCGUAUGUUAUUCAUGAGGAACAAGCUACUUAACUAGCUACUUAAAAAGUGUUCAAGUUAGAAGCCUUCUAAUUAUUCCCAUUUAUGUGACUUUCUGAAUCCAAAAAAGCAGAUGGCAAAUUCAUCACUUUCUUGGCAUGAAGGCAAACAAAAGAGACUAAAUGGAGAUAUAACAUGCAUGAAAUGUUCAUUAAUCACCUCUGUAAACUCUUGAUUUGAGAUUAUAUCAAUUGAUAUGACCUCCGUCUUGUUCAAAUUCAAUAUUUCUAAGAGGAUAUCGGUUGUCCUUUUGCCCACUUUAUAUGGUUCAGUACCUUUGCUUGUACCUGUGCAGAGUAUCAUGAUAUACUUGAAAAUGAAAAGAUUUCAAAAAAGACACUCCAAAAAUAAUAUGGCUGAUGAAGAGAUAUCUAGACAUGUACCUGUAACUUGUACUAGCCUAUACAAAUCUUGUUUUUGGUGAGCACUACCAGAUAUUCUGAUUCUUGCAAAGGUACCAACAACUUUGUCGUGAAAAGUUUCAGUAUCUUCUAGCAACUCUUCCACAAAAUUACGCCGCAAAUAAAUCAGAUUGAUGUUGUGCAUAUCGAUUGCAGCAUAAUCAUCAACAUUAGAUUGAAGUCCUCUGUGAUCACCCUUUUUACGUGUCUUGCGUUUCUUAUCUUUACCCCCCUUUACUAAGGCAUCAGAGCUCCCAUCAGCCUCCAACAGAUUUGAUUCAGUAUCAACAACACUCCCCUGAAGUUCAUCCACCUGAGAAUCCUCCUUUGUGAGAAAGUGAGAUUCAAGUAAUUUAAGCAUUUCAAAAUGCCCCACACGUGGUUUCCCAAACAAAUUUUGGAGGCGUGCAUCACAGAUAACAUGAGUUCUACGUUGAGGAUCCCGGAGCUUAUAUUUUUUUAUAUAUUCCAAAAGGAGUGUCUGAACAUCAAACUGAGAUAGAGCUGAUUUGUCGCCAUUUCUCAUGUGCAUAACCAAAUCCAAGAGCUCCUUCGAUGCCCACUCAACACUUCCAUCAGUAGAUGCCCCUUCACCACCAGAUAAUUUCACUGUUCCUGGUGACACCUCAUCCUUGGCACGGGAUUUGGACCGUUUCUUGGCCUUCCUUCUUUUAGAGACAGUUGCCUCUGCAUUUCCAGAAGAACUGUCUGAACCAUGUCCCCCAUCAACAUUAGCAUCAUAAAGUUCGUCAGGUGAACUCUGUUUACCAGCAUGUGUAUCAGAUCCCUUCCAAGGAUUUUUUGCACGUGCAAGUUCAUCUGAGCUCAAAGAAAGCCUCACUUUUAAAUCAAGCCAAUAAUCCUUAAAGAGAUACUCCCAGCUAUUUUUGUCAUCAAAAUCCACUUGGGCCUACAAGAUAAAGAAGGAAGAGACUAUAAAUGGAAAGUUAAAUCAUCAGCAAAUACUAGAUUGUUACAAGAUUCAAACUCAUUACGAUAUAGUCAGCUUCUGUGCUACUCAUAGAAAGUUUUCAAUAUGUAUAUCAUACUGCCCUGACAUGUUUUGAUUUUCCAACGAAACAGUCAAAUCAACUGUACACGAUCAAUGCCAAAAUCUCCCACCAAUCAAUAGCCUAGUGCCAAUAUUAGCUGCUUGCCAUUCACCAGAAUAAUUAAAGGAAGCCCAAGGACACCAACUUGGGUGAGGUCACAGAUUCAACAUUUCAAAUAAAUCAAAUCCUAUUAAAAUGAUAAACUCUUCGAAUACAUGUAUCAAAUAAAAUUGUUCAGAGCUAUAAAAUCUUCAUAUGAGAUGGCCCGCAAAAGAAACAGUAGCAACGAUGCUUUUUUUUUUUUUUUUUUUGAGGGGGGGAAAGCAUACGUACCGUUUCCUUAUUUCCCUGCUCAUUCCUUUCAAUCAACAUCACAGUUUUCAUGCAUGUCUCACAAAAGCCCUUGUUACCUCUCACACAUAAGAUGACGGCAUCUUUGGUGCACCCUUUGCACAAGGAAAACGUACAAGUGUAGCACAUAUAGUAUGCAUUCUUCUCGCAAAUGCUGCAUAGAUGCCAACCUGAAUAAUAAAUAAAUAACAACAUUCCAAUUAGAUAGGCAAAUAACCCAUGUAAUAGCCAUGUUUUAACAGGGGAAUUUAAAAAAACUAUAAAAAAAAAAAAAAAGACAAGCACAGCAAAGAUAUGAAGAUUUAAGGUCCUCGAAUUAACUAUUAAACAAAAGAGAGAGAGCACUAGCAAUAGCAUGGGCCAGCAGUCACAUGCAUCGAAUAUUGAAGAGGAAAAGUACAAAAGCCCAUAGAUAUAACAAAAAUCAGAUAAACAAAAAUACAUGCAAGAAACAACAAGUGAUAGCAAAUGUAUUAAAGCAAUCCAUCAAUUCCUUCAAAUAGCAAAGAAAAGAGGAUAAUCGCAUAAUACACAAACAGUAUCCAAAUAUGACCUUGACCCAGUUUCAGAAACAUUGGAAAUAGGAAUCUGAAUUUCCCCAUUGCUAUAAAAAGUUCAUAGGUGGAUUUCAAACUGUCAAGGAAGUUUCAGAAGUUUUAGCUAUGGUACUCGCUUCAUGCAUAUAUACAAUAAAGUGAAUGUAACCUUGAACACCUUCAUCCCAUAUUUGAUUGUUUGUGCCAUCAGACAAUUACCCCAAAAUGUAUAAUCUUGGACAUUGUGAACACAAUAAAUUCAAACCAAGUAGUAGUCUAACAAUCUCACAAGAAACUUUUUCUUUAACAGACCAAAGGUUAAAUGGUGAUUUGGCUACGUUAGCAUUAUGAUUACCACUUCAAAGUCAAAAUGAAGAUGCCAGAUUGAAGUCAAAUAUAUUUGAAAGUAGUUGCAAAGAACCAGUUGGUUGGCUGAUUAGAUGGUUCUUAUGAAUCAACUGGGCAAUGUUUACACACAACAAAAUUAGACUUGAGUUCUCCUUUCCCUUCCUAAAAUUAUUGUUAUUUCUUAACACAAAAAUAGACAUUUUCCAUUGCCAAUUUCAAAGCAGAAUCAUGUUCAGACUUUCUUUUUUAAAAAAAUUGUCACUGUAGACCAAAACAAUAAGUGUAAGUUCAUUUAAGACGAAGAAAUUUAGGAGAGUGUAAAUUGAAGUCAAGAAAAAAACUUGUCAGUGCUGGCAAUCCAUCAAUUAGUUCACCAUGACAACAAAGAGCAUGAACCGACCUUCUCCACAAGAGGCAGAACAUAAAUUCAACAAAUGAAACAUAAAUGUAUUCUCUUAGUUAGUUCAAAUGAAAAAGCAUUUAAGGCUUAUACUGAACACUCUCUUGCAUAAAGGUGGCAGUGUAACACUAUUGUUAACAACUGAUCUUGAGAACCGCUCAAAAUCAAAAUAAAGCUAACGAUAUAUUCACUGAGUCAUAAUACAUGCACGGCAUCGUUCCAAAAAUCACAUAAUUCCAAACUUGCCACACAUUUAGCAAGCUUCUAACAAAUAUAGAUACCAAAGAACUGUAACUUGUAGUUUAACAAUUGACUUCCGGAUCUUCAAUGUGUUAUGGAUCCCCAAUGUUGAACCACUAAAAGCUUAUUACAAUCCAGGGUAGUAAUCAUGAUUUUGCACUUUUACUUGACAGUGGAAAUUACCAGUAUUGACAAUUGCCUUUGGAACUCCAAAAAAUUUAAACACUCCUAGUCAUCAAAGAAUAGAGUACACUUCACAUGAAGCACAAUAAACCAACUUCAUAAGUUUGCAAAACUAGAACAUUGUGCUGGGAAUAUUGAAGAUUUUACUUCCUGUCCCUUCACACAAGUCCACCCCUGCAAGCUUUGCUGUCGAGUAGGUCACACCUUUUGCAAAGAAAAGAGGAAGCAACAACUUCAAUACUUAUAAAAGAACUUGUGUGAAAAAGAAAUAAGAGGAACAAGGCACUGCCAGGAUGAAGGCAUCAACGAAUGUAUUGAAGUGUUCCUAUGGUAAACUCUAUUUACAUUUCUUGGUUUCAAAUACUUGUGGUUAGCAGUAGAAACUCAGUUUCAUAAUAAAAUUCAUCAUAAACUGGGUUUCAAAGCAAAAGUCUGCAUCACCAAGAAGUCAGUGGCCACAAAAGACCAAAUGCAUGCAAAAUGCUAGAAAGUAAAAACAAAAAGAACAAAGAGAAUGAUGAUAUACAACUAAUUGAAUGUUGAAUAAAAACAAAAGAAAAUGACACAAUCAUGCAAACACUCACCACAAUUCCAUCUACCCUUAGCUCGAAAGAAGGCCUCAUCGCGAUUAACACAUGAAGGAUGAUAUGCCUUUGGGCAUCCCCUAUAAACCCAACAUCAAAAACCCCCAAUCAGGAUUAAAUUACGUGAAAUAAAAAACAACUAAAAAAAACAAAUAAAAAUAUUGAGGAAGGCACUCAUAAUGUCACCUGCGAUCACAGAGGACAAGGUCACCACCAUCAAAGCAAAUAAAACAAACAUCCUCCUCAGAUUUCUUCUUUGAAGGAGCUUUCCCAGGAGACUUGGAAUUCUUCCCAACUCGCUUCCUCUUCCCUCCAACCAUUGUACUCACUUCCUCCACAUCAUCACCUGUUCCCAUCUCCUCUGCUGUCUCAGCCUUCUCCAUUUCAUCUCCAAUGUUAGCUCCAACCUCCAAGGUUUCUUCCCCCACAUCACCCAUCUCCAUCUCAUCUGUCUCAGUGACCUCCAGAAUUUCAGUUUCUUCUGCGGCUUUCUCCAUUUCCUCCUCCACUUCAGCUUCUCCUCCUGCCACAUCGGUAAACUCCAUCUCCUCCUCUUGCACCUCUGUUUCUUCUGCUACAUUACCAACAUCAAUCUCAUCUGCUAUUGUUGCCACUUCCGUCUCCGUCACUGUCACAUCUGCCACCUUCUUCUCCUCAUAACGCAUCGUUUCCUUUGCCAAAUCAGCCACCUUUAUCUCUUUCUCCUCGUCCUCUGCCACAUCAACAACCUUUGUCUCACCUGCAAUCUCACUAUCCUCAGCUAUUUCUGCCCUUCCUUCAGCCACCACUGCCACAUCAACAGUCUCUGUUUCCUCUGUAACAUCAACUACAUUUGGACAACCCACGGUCUCCCUAUUCCCUGCAAUUUCUGCCCUUUCUUCCAUGAGGUCAUCCACAAUACCAGUCUCCUCUGCCACAUUAUCCACCUUCUUUUCACCCUCAGUCCGCGACUCUGCUGCCACAUUAUUCACCUUCAUUUCAUCCUCAGUCUGCGCCUCUGCUGCCAUAAUAUCCCCUUUUUGUUCGUCCACAAUCUCCUUUGCCUCUGUAACAUCAUCCACCUUCGUUUCAUUUUCAUUCUCUAUCUGCGCCUCGACUGUCACGUCAUCCCCCUUUUGUUCAUCCACAAUCUCCUUCUCCUGCUCCGCCACAUCAACCCCCUUAAUUUCAGCCCCGACAUCAACCUCCUCAAACACCUCAGCCUUUUCUUCUUUUGCCUCUGCCACGUCAUUCACGCGCUUCUUACCUUCCGUUUCCCCCUCGUCAAUCACAUCCUCUUCGGCACCCUCACCACCACCAAUGGCCGUUGAAGGCACAACCAAAUCGCCGCCAUUCACCACAUCCUCAGUAUUAGCAACAACAUCCCCAUCCUCUUCACCAACCACCGCAGCAGUCACCACUGGCUCCGAGUCACGUGACUCAUCCCCUCCAGAGAACUUCGACUCGUCCAACUCAGCCACAGUCUCGCUCUUCUCCACAAACUCAUCAUCUAAUAUCUCUUUCCCAUCUCCCAACGAUUGCUCUUUCGACGUUAGUUGUAGCGACUCGCUCAACUCGGCCAUAGCUUCCGAUUCGCAUUGCGGCUCGGUUAUUCCCUGAACCGCAUCGUUGGAGUCCGUAACUGUCGCUGCUGUUGCGGUGAAAUUAUUCGAGUCAUCUUCGACUUGAACAGAAGGGUUCGUUAAUUUCGAAGCUUCUUCGUCUUCGUUCUCCAUCUUAGAGACUACAGUAUUCGAUUCAAAUUUGAGAAAACCCUAGAAAUUGAAAUGAAACCCUAGGGUUUUGGGAGCAAUUUGUGAUUUUUAUUUUUUUUCCUUUGGAUUUUAGUUAAAAAUAAAAUAAAAUAAAAUAAAGAUUAUGUAGAAAGUGUGACAGGGGGGAGAGAAGGAAGAGAGAGUUACGCAAGAGAAUUUGACGCUCUCUAGAGAGAGAGAGGAUUUUGUUGCCUCGUACGUGUGAUUUUUUAAUGGACGAUACUAUCCCUAAUCCGGUGACUUCAUGACUUUUUUAACCCCCAAAAUGCUGUGGGGCCCCAGUGAUGGUUGGUGAUUAUUCCGUGGUCCGUGUCCAUGUGUUUACCCGCGCUUGAAGGACUUUCGCAACCGUGUGAUCUGAUUUUGACUUCUAAUUUCAUUUCUGAGAUCGUGACCUCAUCAUACUUGGGAUUUAUCGGUUCUGACAUUUUGUCAAAAACAUUCAAGAAGUUAUGCACGUAUUUUAUUUGUUUUACAUUUCAAAAUAAGUAUUUGAUUGUGAUUCAUGAACUACUCAUGAUAUGUUCUGUUUUAUCAUAGUUAAAAGAAAAUUAUUUUAUGGCAUUAUAACUAAUUAUAAUUUAAUAAAUAAAAUCAUACUUUUGUGUGGGCAGUAUUAUUUUUCAAAGAGUUUUUAAAAAUAAAAUAUUGUUAUGAAUUUAGAGCUAGCAAAAUUUGAUACAAGUCAUCAAAUUUUUAUUAAAUGAGUCGGUUCAAGUCUACACAAUUAUAUAUAAAAUUUUACAUACAUAAUGUUUUAUUUAUAAAAUUCUAAAUAUAAUUAGAAUUUUAAUAGUAUAAAUUUAUAAUAUUUUAAUAGACAUAUAUGUGUUGAAACGUUGACAAAAUUGUUGGUAUUUAGCACCUGUUAAUACUGAGGAUGGGGAUGUUGACAAAAUUUGGUGACAAAUUGGCCAAAGUUGGCACCGACUUUGGAAAUUUGACACAUGCAUGUGGCUAAGUAUGCAAAGCUUGAAAAGUUGGCACAAACCCUUAAAAAUUUAGAUGAAGCAUGUGGUUGGAAUUGUGAAAAUUGGAGCCAAAGGAGUUGGUGAAGCAUGGGACAAUUUGACAAAUUCACAACAACUUUGACAAUUUGAUAAAUUGUUGGUGAACGCCGAAUUUGUAAUAGUGCAAAAUAUUUCCUAUAAAUAGAGGGAGUUUUUUCAUUUGUUAAGCAUCCCAAAAUUGUUAAGCUUAUAAGUUUCUAAGCUUUUGAGAGAAGUGAGAGAAGUGUAUCUGGAGAAUUUAUCUUUCUUGUAGAGUGUGAGAGUAUUGGGUAUAUUUGGGUUUCUGGGAAGUGUGAUUCGUUACUCAAAUAUUUGUACUCUAUUAAUUGUUAAAUAGACAAUUAUUCUUUCUUACCUCCGUGGAUGUAGGUUUAAUUACCGAAUCACGUAAUUCUUGUGUCCUUUAUUUUUCUAUAAUUAUUUUGUGCACUUGAUUCCGCAUUCCGCGCACAACAAGAGGUAUCAAAGCCGACAGUUCGUACUUGGGGGGAUACGGUACUGUUCAAGUAUACGGUACUAUUCCCAUAUACGGUAUUGUUCACGAAUACGAUAGAGAUGGCCAUUUGUACUUGGGAAACAGUCUAUUGUAAGUAGUGUGUAUUUUUGCAUGUCUAAGAAAGUUCUGUCAAUAAAGACGAUAAGAGUCUAAAGAUUCUGGUUUUUAAUUGGGACUGAGUUUCCGUCCAGUCUCCUGAGAACUUUCUUGGUGCAUUUAUUCACGCGAAAUUAACAUCAUAGAGACUGUUUUUUGAAGUGGAAAUAGUUCAUUGAGAAAAUGGUAGAAGGUGAAACUUCCAGAAUUGAGGAGAGAUCUACCGAGACUAUUUCAGGAGACACUUCAGGUGGGAAGCGAGAUUUGUCAAAUCGCUAUUUAGCACCUGUUAUAGGAGGCCAGAAGAUCGAUGUUGAAAAUUUUGAUGGGAAAAUCAACUUCGGCAUGUAGAGGUGCGAAGUUAUAGAUGCCCUUAUUCAAAUCAAUUUGGAUGUUGUUCUGAAAAAUAAAAGACACUUGUAUGAUGAAGAAAUUUGGGAUCGUAUGAAUAAAAAAGCAUGUGGUCAGAUCAGAUCUUAUUUGACUAAGGAGGUGAAAUACUUGGUGAAGGAUGAAGAGUGUGCGAUGACUUUGUGACUUACAUUGGAGGAGAAGUACUUGCUAAAAAGUCCUGAAAAUCGUCUUCAUGCAAUGAGCCAAGUAAAUGGCUUUCGAAUGAAGCCUGAGGUGUCAAUGCACGAUCAUGUCUCAAGAUUUGAAAAGUUACUUGCUGAUUUGAAGAGUCUUGAUGAAGAUAUUAAGGAUGAAGUCAAGGCUAUGAUUCUGUUACACUCACUACCAGAGGAAUAUAACCAUUUUGUGACUACUUUGAUAUAUGGAAAUAGUGUGAUUGUCUUCAAAGAUGUUUGCACAGCAUUGACUAACUUGGAGAUUUGGAAUAAUGAUAAAAAUUCUGAACGAGCAUCGUCUGAAGCUUUGUUAAGUAGAAAUUGAGCGAUGGAGAAAAAGAAAUAGUGUGGUGGAAAGAAUUCUCGAUUCAAAUUAAGAAGCAGAAAUAUUGCUCGAGAUGAGUGUGUCUUUUGUCAUAAAAAAUGUCAUUGGAGAAAAGAUUGUCCAAAGACUCAAAAGAGAGAUGAGAAGAAACCAGCAGCAACAAACAUGGCACAAAAAGAUGAACACUCUGAUUAUUCACUAAGUAUUACUCCUGCAGUAUACGUGGCUAGUUCGAGCAAGUGGAUACUUGAUACUGGAGCAACAUGUCAUUUGUGUCAUAUUAAGGAAUGAUUUAUAGAUUUUCGUAAUCUGGAAUCCAGUGCAGUUGUGAUGAGGAAUGAUCAACCUUGUCGCAUAAUGGGGAUAGGAACAAUUCGGCUCAAAAUGUUUGAUGGAAUGGUCAAAGAACUCAAAGAGGUUAGAUUUGUUCAAGCUUUAAAGAAAAAUCUAAUUUCUGUGGGUGCUUUGAAAGCUAAAGGCUGCAAGGUUACCAUUGAAGAUGACACAAUAAAGUUUACACAUAGGGCUAUGAUGAUUCUGUAAGGGAUUCGGCGUCACAAUCUGUACUAUUUAAAGGGAGGUAUAACUGAUGAAGCAAAUGUUGUUAAGGCGCACAGUGACACCACCAAGCUAUGGCAUGUACGACUAGAACAUGCUGGAAGAAGUCUUUGCAAACUUUGAUGAGGCAUAGACUCUUAAAAGGUAUCAAAACUUGUAAAUUAAAUUUCUGUGAGCAUUGUGUAGUAGGCAAAAAAACAAGGGUCAAGUUUGGUACAGCUAAUCAUGAUACUCGUGAAAUCCUUGAAUAUGUUCAUAAUGAUGUAUGGGGACCAACAAAGACUGCAUCAAUUGGUGGAAGUCAUUAUUUUGUUACAUUUGUUGAUGAUUUCUCUAGACGUGUGUGGGUGUACACCAUGCAAGCAAAGGAUGAGGUUUAAAGAUUUUCGUGAAAUGGAAGAAAUUGGUGGAGAUUCAAACUGACAGAAAGAUCAAAGUAUUACGAUCUGAUAAUGAGGGUGAAUAUACUUCUGAUCCAUUCUUGCAAGUAUGCCAGAACGUGGGUAUUAAAAGACAUUUCACGAUGAGACAUACUCCGCAACAGAAUGGUGUGGCUGAGCGUAUGAAUUGUACUUUACUGGAGAAGGUACGGUGUAUAUUAUCUAAUGCUGGUUUAGAUAAAAAGUUUUGGGCUGAAGCUGUGAGCUACGCAAGUCACUUGAUAAACCGGUUGCCUUCUGCUGCAAUUGGAGGUAAAACUCUUAUGAAAAUAUGGUCUGGAAAGCAUACACAAGACUAUGAUUCCCUUCGUAUAUUUGAGUGUUUAACUUAUUAUCAUGUCAAAGAUGGUAAAUUGGAUCCUCGUGCUAUAAAAGCUAUCUUUGUGAGAUUUAAAUGUGGAGUAAAGGGCUUCAAGCUUUAAGAUCUCAAAGAUAAAAAAGUUUGUGUGUAGUAGAGAUGUCAUAUUUGAUGAAGCUUCAAUGAUGAAAGUUUCAAGUUCUCAGCAGGUGGAAAACAAGACCAAAGGGUAUUGCAGCGGGUGGAGUUUGAUGCAACUCCAUAUGUACCAGUUAGUUUUACAUCAGAGAAUGGUUUAACUAUAGAAGUGACACCUAGAGUUGAAGAAGAGAUUAUUUCUUCUAAUGUCCCACAAAAUAAAGAAACAAUUGAUGAUGUAGAUAAUAAUGAUUUUAUAGCAACAAGGAGGCCAAUAAGAGAGAUAAAGAAACCCGGAUGGCUUACUAAAGAUAUAGUGGUAGCCUAUGCACUUCCAGUUAUUGAUGAUGACAUCCCCAACACUUUCAGUGAAGCAUUACGCAGUAAUGAAAGUGAUCAAUGGAAGUUAGCCAUGGAAGAAGAGAUGAAAUCUCUCCAUCAAAAUCAAACUUGGGAACUUGUAGAGUUACCAAAGGGAAAAAAAGUUAUUGGCAAUAAAUGAGUGUACACCAAGAAGCAAAGAUCCCCAAAUCAAUCAACUCCUCAAUACUAGGUAAGGCUCGUUACAAAAGGUUUUGCUGAAAAGGAAGGUAUUGACUACAAUGAAGUUUUCUCUCCAGUUGUAAAACAUACUUCCAUUUGUAUCCUACUUGCCUUAGUUGCAGAAUAUGAGUUAGAGUUAACUCAAUUGGAUGUUAAGACGGCGUUCUUACAUGGAGAUUUGGAGGAGGAAAUCUAUAUGAUUCAGCCUUAUGGUUUCAGAGUUGCUGGAAAGGAGAAUCAUGUGUGUAGGUUGAUUAAAUCUUUGUACAGACUGAAGCAAUCACCAAAGUAGUGGUACAAAAGAUUUGAUCAAUUUAUACACUGGCAGAAAUUCACCAGAAGUGAACACGAUCAUUGUGUUUACUUCAGAAGACUACUAGAUGGAGCUUUCAUCUAUUUGUUACUCUAUGUCGAUGAUAUGCUUAUAGUUUCGAAGAAUAGAGAUGAGAUCGAAAGAUUAAAGAAGCAGUUGGCUUCUGAGUUCAAGAUAAAAGACUUGGGUGAUGCACAGAGAAUACUUGGGAUGGAGAUUCGUAGAGAUAAAAAAAAUGAAAGCGUAUGGUUGACUCAAAAGUCUUAUUUGAAGAAAGUACUAGAAAGAUUCGGUAUGGAUGACAAAACUAAACCGAUAUGUACACCUCUAGCUCCUCAUUUCAAAUUAAGCUCUUCUUCAUAUCCUAUAUCUCAAGAGGAGUGCGAUUACAUGGCUCGUGUUCCAUAUGCUAGUGUUGUGGAUAGUCUUAUGUAUGCUAUGGUAUGCAUAAGGCCCGAUAUAUCUCCAACAGUAAGCAUGGUUAGUAGAUACAUGCACAAUUCGGGUAAAAAUCAAUGGCUUACGGUAAAAUUGAUUCUCCGAUAUCUGCAUGGGACAGUUGAUGUUGGGUUAUUGUUCAAGAAGGAUUGUGGUCAACAAUGUGUUGAGUAUUGUGAUUCUGAUUUCGCUGGAGACCUUGACAAGCGAAUAUCAACAACAGGUUACGUAUUCACAUCGGGUGGAGGACCGGUUAGCUGGAGGUCGAUUCUACAAUCAACAAUUGCUCUGUCCACUACGGAAGCAGAGUACAUGGCAGCAACUGAAGUUGUAAAGAAAGAUAUCUGGUUAAAAGGAUUGUUAGGUGAUUUGAGAGUAAUCCAAGAGAACAUUGCAGUCUUUUGUGAUAACCAAAGUGCGAUAUUUCUCGCGAAGAAUCAAACAUAUCACGCUCGGACGAAGCACAUAGAUGUGAAAUAUCAUUAUGUGAGGGAGAUUAUCGAGGGUGGUGAUGUGUUGUUGAAAAAGAUCAAUACCAAGGAUAACCCAUCAGAUAUGUUGACAAAGGUGAUUUCUAGAGUUAAGUUUCAACAUUGUUUGAAACUAAUUCAAAUCCUUCGAUUGUGUUAAGUUAUGUCCUUAGGGAAUUUUGAACUACAGUUGGUUUGAUCCCAAAUUUUGAGUACGUAGGCAGUCAUAGAGAUGCAACCGCUUUGAUGAUGAUAAUUCGUUGGCAAGUCGGCUCAGAUUUGGACAAAUCUUCGCCGAGGUGAAGAAUUGUUAAAAAGUUGACAAAACUUGGUGACAAAUUGGCCAAAGUUGGCACCGACCUUGGAAAUUUGACACAUGCAUGUGGCUAAGCAUGCAAAGCUUGAAAAGUUGGCACAAACCCUUAGAAAUUUGGAUGAAGCAUGUAGUUGGAAUUGUGGAAAUUAGAGCCAAAGGAGUUGGUGAAGCAUGUGACAAUUUGACAAAUUCACAAUAACUUGGACAAUUUGGCAAAUUGUUGGUGAACGCCGAAAUUGUAAUAGUGCAAAAUACUUCUUAUAAAUAGAGGGAGUUUUUUCAUUUGUUAAGCAUCCUAAAAUUGUUAAGUUUAUAAGUUUCUAAGUUUUUGAGAGAAGUGAGAUAAGUGUGUCUGGAGAAUUUAUCUUUCCUGCAGAAUGUGAGAGUACUGAAUAUAUUUGGGUUUCUGGGAAGUGAGAUUCGUUACUCAAAUAUUUGUACUCUAUUAAUUAUUAAAUAAACAAUUAUUCUUUCUUGCCUCCUUGGAUAUAGAUUUAAUUACCGAACCACGUAAUUCUUGUGUCCUUUAUUUUUCUAUAAUUAUUUAGUGUGCUUCAUUCCGCAUUCCGCGCACAACAAGAUGUUCUUAUAUAUAUAUAUAAUAGAGUGUAAAUAUAUGAUGUAAAUCUUAUUAAAUAUAUAAUUAUUAAGUAGGUUAUUAGGUAAUAACCAGUUUAUUUUCUGUCGAGUUAAAGUAUAAGUAUUAUAACACAAUUAUUAAAUGAGUCGUAUUUGUGUCAACCCAAUUUUGACACAAUAUGAAACUAACAUAAUACAAACACGAUUCACUGACCGUUUUAUUAGCUCUAUAUCAAUUUAGUGUUUUCCAGUUUAUAACACAUUUUGUAAUCAUGAAAUGUACUUUACAUAUAGAAACACACAUAAUGUGCUUGGAUGAAAUUUUGGAGAAAAAUGUGACUACCAAUAAUAACUAUUUUGUGAAAUAAAUAAAGAGAAAACGAAUAAGUUUUGGUUUUCCAAAUGAUUUCUAUUAAAUUUGUUUUGAGAAUGGAGAUAACUUUUUUUUAAUUUCAAAAAUUUGUCUAACAGGCCCUCAAAAUAACUUUUUUUUUUUAAUUUCAAAAAUUUGUCUAACAGGCCCUCAAAACAAUGUAAAAGAAAAAUGGAUACCAAAUGUUUGACGAAAAAUUGGAAGUACAAAAAACAUUUUAAGACAGACAAUGACUACGAUAUCAUACUCAACAACCCAAACACCCUUGUAUAAUUAAAUUUUAUUUAUUUUCUAACCGCUCCCAAACUAUAGCAUAUAAUACCAAUCGAAUAUUGUAAUCAGAUUUCAUGCUCAGCUUAGGCUAGUCAGAUUUUAUUGAUUUUCUUCAAAAUAAAUGAUAUAAGAAAAAAUACUUUCUUUGAUCUUUUUCAUAAAAUGCCAACACCAUACAAAUUUUCACCGUUCCGACGCAUCUGAAAAUGAUAGUCGAUGAAAAGCGGACUCUAAAAACGCUGUUUCUGUUUUUUCAAAUUUUCUUCUCAAAACGUGAAAAUAAUUUAGGGGGAAAAAAACAUUUUCACUUAUUUCUAAGUCAUUUCACUUCAUGACGAAAUCCAAACAGAGGAAACCAAACUCACUCGGAGUCUUGUUAAUAGUAAUCUAUUAUUUCGAUAAUAACAACAAAUGGCACAAAUCAAUAAGUUUUUUAAUGGAUUAAAAAAUCUCCCACAUCGAAAACAAAAAAAAAAAAUGCAAUCCUACCACAUCAAAUUCUCAAACCAACUAUCCAGCUCUAUCCAGUUCCAAUCUCAAACCUUCAACAAAUCUAAGCUAAAACAGUAUCCAAAAAUAACAUGGAAAAAUAACUAGUAUGACAAAUUGAUAGCUGACACAAAUGCCAUCUAUCAGUACCUUCGAGAAUAGCGGUCCAAGAACCUCCCUGAAGGGCACUCAUAUGCUAGGUGUCCUCGUCCACCACAGUUGUGACAGACCAUCAACGGUCCCAUACAAUCCCUGCUCAUAUGUCCCAGCUGCUGGCAGUUUCUACAUACUAUGUCUCGGUAACCACCACCACGAGCACCACUGCCCCCACUGCCACGAGCACCACUGCCACCACUGUAGCGAUCUCCAAGACCGCCAGAUUUUGGACAGUGUCUAGCAACAUGUCCAGAAACAUUGCACAAGUUACAGAUGGGAUCAUUGGGACAAUCCCGUGCCAGGUGACCUGUCUUCCUACAGUUGUUGCAAGCCUUGUCAUUUGUACAAUCAGCUGCAAAAUGACCCUGCUUAUAGCAGUUGUUGCACAAUCUCAAGUCCCCAGGUGGCAGUGGGGGAGCAGUGCAGUCUCUUGCACGAUGUCCAGCUUUGCCACAGGUGUGGCAGAUGCCCUCAUUUGGACAGUUGCCAGCCAUGUGCCCUGGUUCCCGGCAAUUCCAACAUAAUGCCUUUGUAGUGCAUUCUGAAGCAAUGUGGCUGCACAAAUGUUUUCAAGCACAAUUACAAGUAAAACAUCAAUAUUGCCCAUUAAUUCAAGUGAUGAGAAAAUCAGAAGAAUAUCACUACAUUAUUCAAGGGAGAUCAAUUCCUUUCUCAUCACUGAAAAAAAUUUAAAAUACAAAGUUAGGUCACGAAACUUCCCCAAAGGCCUGUUUAACUGCAGAAUAUUUCAGGAAUCAAAGCAAUGCAAUUAUCUUCUCCUCCUAAAAAUCUCAUCUGGCAAUGUCCAUAAUUUGGGCCUCAAGAUUAGAGAAAAGGGGACAGUGAACACUAUGUAUUUCGAAGCAAAGGAACAAAAGCUGCAUUGAAGCAUAUGUAAAUUUUACACCAACGUAAUACCACUAGUUUGCAAUUGCAGAGUGUCUUAGUGACUUGGUUGAACAAGCAGCAACCAUAAAUAUUAAUAAGGAUCAAUUAAGGAUGCAAUGUUCCACUGGCUAAGGCCAAAGUAAAACACAUGGGUUAAGGUACAAUCAUUCCAGAGAUCAAGAUUAACUAGUCACCACAAUUUACAAACACAGAAAAAGUUAGUGAAGCUUGUACCUACACCAAACUAGUCCAAAAGAUAUCAAUUCCAGACAUAGCAGGGAAGCAAAUGCUUGAACAUAUAGAUUCCACAUUAAGCCUCCCCCACACAGGCAAUUUCAAGGAAUUUAUGCUUUCUACACAAAAAUUUGUGUGAAUCAUUAGGGUGGCAUUACUUUCGUUUUAAUAAUGGCAUUAUUCAUGAGUAAGUUUAGAAAUGGCAAAUGCUUGAACAUAUAGAUUCCACAUUAAGCCUCCCCCACACAGGCAAUUUCAAGGAAUUUAUGCUUUCUACACAAAAAUUUGUGUGAAUCAUUAGGGUGGCAUUACUUUCGUUUUAAUAAUGGCAUUAUUCAUGAGUUAGUUUAGAAAUGAAAUUGAUGGUUUAAACUCUAAAGGUUGGAAAACAUGUUUUGCCUUUUGGAAAAGCAUGUCAAACAUGCUUCCCAAAGGCUUUUUGUUUUCAAGAAUGGAAAUGAUGUCUAAGAGGAUACCAGACAGCUACACAGCUGCACACCUUCACAGACCAACUGCAAACUACAUGUGAAUUACGAGAUGUAUAAUAAUAAUAAUAAAAAACUCGUAUGUUCAGUUCAAGUGAUCAGAUAUCAACUUAUAUACUUUUAUUUGUCUCAAAUGAAAGAGAUUACAUACCCUGGAAGACCACAAUUGUGACAAAUUGCCACAUUAGGGCACUCUCUAGCAAAAUGACCUGGCCGUUUGCAAUUCUUGCAAAGAUUACUUUGGCUGACAAAAAAUGCAAAGAAGAUUAAUUCCUGAGCAGAAAAAGAAAUGCAUGGUACAAAGUAAAUCUAGAAUUAUUUUAGUCUAAAACAGUGAGGACCCCAUUUUUAAAUUGAUUUUGAACAAUGGUAAAUUGAAAAUAGAAAAAAUAAAAGAGCCCUUUUUUCUUCGUUUGGUGUUAGAAAAACAUGAAACCUUAAGAACUUUUCAUCCUAAUGAAUAAUGAAGAAUCUUACUCUUUGGUUUUUUGGGGCUUUCCAAAUAAAAGAGAAGGGUAUCCUCAAAAGAGUUAAGUAGCCAAUAUAAUAAAUGACCGACAGAAGCAUUAAUAAGAAGAAUCCAGGACAUAAUACAAAAACAGCUAUAACACACAGUGAAAAUAAAUAUUACUUUCAAGAAAAUAUUAACUCUUGAAUGCAAUUCAGUGACAAGGAAUUCAAGACAUAACUUGCCACAGAACAACUCAAAACACAAAACCAAAUUUCCAGUAUAGUUUUAUCAUAAAACACCACACAGAAGGCAGGGAAAGAAGUAUCUCCACAACCAUGAUGGCGUUAGGUAAAUAACUGAAUAACACAAUUGAGUAAACUGAUGCUAUUGUAUGAAACUCCGAGACAGUUUAAAAGUAGUUAACCAAGUAAUUAGCAUGAGAACAAUCAUAAGCAGAAAUGCUAAAAACAAUUCUGAAGAUCCUCGAAGACAUAAUCAUGUAGAAUCAUCAACCAUAACUAGAAUAACGGUCAGCUACAAAAACAACCUCCACCAAAGACAUAACAGUCUCCUUCACCCCCCACCCCCUCAAGCCAAUAAAGAGAAAGAAAAAACAAGUUUAUGAUCAAAAUUAGAAAACCUGUAACCCCGACGAGACCCUCUCCUGUAUGGUGCAUCACGGUAGGAGAAGCGAUCAGAGCGGAUCUUACGAUCCAGCGGGCUCCUGCUCCUGCUCCUGCUUCGGCUCCUGCUGACAGAACUCAUGUUCAACUAACACCUAUUAACACCUACCACCACCGAUCUGCAAAAACUUCACCACCAAACACCAGAAUAGCUGCUGCCUCCCUGUCCAAAUCACAACCAUACACCCAUCAUCAUCCAUGAGUACAAACCAAGCCCCUACCACACCCUUCAAAACAGAAAACACCAAAUCCUAAAAGUAAAAGAACACAGCAUUUCAGCAAGCACCAAUCAUAUCCAACUACAUAUCACUGCAUUCAACAUCAUCUCCAUAAAACAACCUUCAUAGUAAAUUCAUGGAUCUCCUCUAAAAAAAACUUUCCCCAACACAGCAAAGACAAAAAACAUAAGGUGGGCAGAAACUCAAAGUUCUUGACCAGCCAUCUACACUGGAUACAGGUCAGACCAUUAAAGUGGGCCGUGGAGGUUUUAAAGAGAAAAAUGAAAAUAAGAAAGACAGGAAGAAGCUAGCACCACUGUACUUGUGUGUUUUUUCUAUCUCUCACAACUUUUCUGCCUCUUAACUUCAAGGCAGUCCCCUCCCCUCCCCUCCCCCACCCCCCCCCCCCCCCCCCUCCAAAACACAAAUAUGGAAAAGGUCAGAGGAUCAUAAAUUGAAAAGGUGGGUGUCAUGAGAAAAAGAGACCCGGAAGCUAGCUAUUACCAUAGGAAAUCAGCAACCACAAGACGUGCUUAUAAUUUCUCACAGGGAGCAUUUAGAGAAUUCCAAGUAUGUAAGGAACAAAGAUAACAAGAGUUAGCUCAGGGAAGUCUGACCCCUCAAAAAGAUUGGGGAAAAACUUGUCCUGUCAUCUGGAGCAAAUUAUGCUCCAAAUGUACACCAUAAUUAGAGAUCACGUGUUGGCAUAUGGUAGCAUGUUAUUUUAAAUCUGCACUGCAUCCACAUUUCUUCUGUGCUCAGGGAAUAGAAAUACCUCUUUUAACCAAAGUAUCAUUCCCACAAAUUCUUGUUAUUAAUUAUUUCAUUUCUAUUUUCCCUAGACAUUGUCAUAAUAAUAGACGUCAUGACGAUACUAACAAAAUAACACAUGAUUCGAGUUAAACUGAGUACCUAUGUCAAUCAUGUUUUCUAGUUACCACACACCUCACCCUAUCCCACCCCAAACUAAUUCAAUUCCCCUCCAAAGGUUGGCAAGAAGGAACUUUAAACCAUUGACCUCUUGCUUCCACCGCGAGAGGCAAACCAACUAGGUUGUCCCAUUAAAGACUAUGUCAAUCCAACAGAAAUAAUACAACUAAAUGGAGGAUAAUAAAUAGAGAGGUAAAAGGACAGAUUUUGGUCAGCGACAAGUCUCCUAAUUCUCAAAAGUGUGAUUUUGGAUGCAAAAACUAAGCACGUCGCCAGUUUGGCACAAAAAUCAGUUAGUGCAGGACUAUUUCAACCAUUUGGGAUAAGUUUGGGAUGCCUAUCUCCCACAAUUUUGCUAUAUCACCAUCCGUAAAAGUGAUGAUGAUGAUAUUGGCAAACAGAAAAGAACCCAUCUUUCCUUGAAGUUAGUGGCAGGAAAUUGUUUUAGAUUGUACUAACAAAAGUAGGCACAUAGGGUUCCAUUUUAGAAAUGAUUUACCUUAGAUUUCGAAUGAUCCACAUUAGGGAGGAGCAUUUGUACAAAAGUCACACCCUAGUCAAUAAAAUGUACUAGCUUACUGGGGUGUGAGCAGAGCAUUAGUGUAGUUUUGCUAUUCAGAUUUUAAUAUUUGAUGCAGCACACAACAUGUUGCACAAUACAAUAGCAUUGAGAUCAUCUAGGUACUCCAGCGUUCAUUUCUUUCUUCUUCUGUUUUUUUAAAGAUUCUUCUGAUGAGGAUUUUAAUCUAGGUCAGAAACAGCUUGAUUUCAGGUUAAAACACACUGGUUGAAAUAUUUUUCUAGUACCAUAAAGCACUCAACGGGAGUAAAACAGCUAUCAGAAAUAAAAGAGUUAGAUGUUAGUUUUGGCACUACAAAGCAAUUUAUCCAGAGCAAUAUAAAAAUAUAUUAAGCCCUUCCAAUAAGAUACAUGCAUAUCUCUGCUUGUUUGCUGAAACUCAGACCCAAAAAAAAAAUUAUCAGUUAUCCUUCACAGACAGAUAUCGCAAGAAUUCAUCUUUGUUGAAUCUACCGAUGUCUAGGUCCCCUUCACAUACACAAAUUUCUUUCAUAGGACAGACUGAACUCAUUUGGAUCACACAGACAUAACCGCAAGUUGUCAGCUCUUUUCCGCAACAUAGACAACGUAAUGGUAAUCUCAAUCGACCCGGGAAAAACUUAUUUUGGCAACUUUUGUGCAACAAUUUUGUGCAUAUUGAAAUUGACUCAUCGUCAACCAAAUACACCUAUGUAUUAUUUUCCUUCAACAAACAGCUCAAAUUUCCUUCAUAAUGAAUCAUUAUUCAUAAAAUUUCUGGAUUUCCAAGUUCAAAUCCCACAGACACCACCACAAACAGCAUAAAUUCCACCAAUCAUCAAUUUUAUAGAAAAUUUAGAAACAAAUUAAAAACAAAAAACCUCGUGAACUAUGAUUUCACGCACAUAUAUAUACACAUACGCAACCACGUGUAUUUUAGGUCAAAAUUAUAGAACACUAAUCUCUGAGCAGUAGACCUAAACCCUAACCCUAACCCUAACACAGAGCAACAGAAUUGAAUAACAAUUAAUCAAUUAAAUGAACAAACCUGAUGAGUCUUGCUCGGCGAGUCAGCGAAAAUUGUUGUCGACGAGAACUGUUUUAGCUAAAGAAAUUACUUUUAUGUACGGACGGAAUUGCGACUGUUACGAUUUUCAACUCCUGGAGAAGGAAAAGAUGACGAGCAGCCGCUAACAGAUUUGUGUCCGACAAGUGCCUAAUUUGGUCAUGUGAUGUCCGGUUUGGUUAUAACCGGAAACGACGACGUUAUAACUAGCAGGCCCACUUUUUGAUUUUUGUGGGCCCAAAAUGGCCCAUUGAGCCUUAUAUUGCUUCCUUUCUAUUUUGAAAUAGUAUUAGUUAACAGAAAUAAACAAUUGUAUGAAAUAUAAAUUGAUGUACGUGUACCAUAAUAUGAUUGGUUGAUUGAAUAGAAUUCGAUUUAUUCUAUAUUCAUACCUCGACGAGGCCUUUUCCCCUCUUCAGAAAAUGUGGAAUAGAGUUACAUUUCUCCCCUUCUAUUGUUUGGGAGAGUAAAUUUCUAAGCUAUAUAUAUAUACUUGAUUGGUCAAUAGGCUCUGGUAUAAAUGUAUACACAUAUAGAUCUAGAAAAAGUAGAAAAUAUUAAACUUUUUCUUGUAAGGCUUACUUGAGAAGCUCUUUUUAGCUCUAUUCAAAGUUAUUUGUCUAAAAAAAUUUCGUAGAUAAAUCAUUAAAGUCUUGAAUCCUUGUGUAUAUAGAAAGCUCCAAUAUUAUAGAAAUUACAAAUUAUAAGAAUUUGUCCAUUAAUAAAGAAACAAAAGUUUUAAAUAAUAAUGUGUUAAUUGAAAAAAUUUGUGCAGCCGGAAGGUUUUACAUCAUUUUCAUAUUAAUAGAUAGACUAAAUAGUGUAAUAGGUGAAGCUUCGUCAUUCUCUUUCAAUCAUCCGAUGGGUCAUACUUUGCACUUCCAAAGUUUAUUCAAUGACAGAAAAGUUGAAUAGUUUGUCUCAAUUAUUUUCUUGUGGCACACAAUAUACAAGAUGAGUUAAGUGUCUUCUGAAUAAUAUUAAAGCUCUUCUGAAUAGCUUUAAAGAUAAGUAAAUAAAAGAAAAAGCGAAGGAAAUCCCCUACCAAUAAAGGGCAGAGAAGCUUUAUUACAGAAAUUAAUUACCAUCUCCUUUAGUAAUAUUCUAGAGAUGGGGUUAUUUUUAUUCCGCAGAGAACAAUCUCAUAUUGCGGAAUCAAUAUAGAAAACCAGGCUAUUCCGACCAAGCAAUUAAUGAAAGCAUAUAAAAUAGAAGAGUCAUUAAGAAUUAUCUUCAGACUUCAGGGCCCUACAAAAUAUGAACACGUAUAAUCACCAGGAUGAGGUGUAAUGGUGUAUGUAUAUAUAGGAAGUGGCUAUGGUGGAUUUGAACGUAUGGUUAUAAGGUAAUGGUCUACGGUGGAACAACUCCGCCAUAGCCGCCCCUGGAUCGACAGGUCAUAUGCAAAACCACGUAUUUUCUGCCUCAGCUUUAAAAAAGGUCAUCUCCCCAGAAGAAGUUUGAGGGCUGGCAUUCUUAAUUUGCUGCUUCAUACACUUGCAGGAUGAGUCGUCAGAGAAUAAAGAUUUAGAGACACAUCAUCCGAAGGUCCAAAUACCGCACUACAAAGUCGAUGAAUGAAAAAUCUUACUUGUCGAUGAGAAAGCAAAUGAUCUCAUCAAGUGAGGUCUCCAGCACCGCUAUCAGCUGUGGACACUCAAGUUUAUCCAGUGCAUCUGUCAAACAAGUCCACACAGACAGUCUUCGAAAAGCUCACCGAUCCCAACCACAAAUGAAAAAUAUAUGUUCAGCGCAGGACGUAGUAUGUAUACUAAACUAUACACCACUGCAGUAAAGAUAAUACCGUAUGUUCCACCAGACAUUUCAAUGGUGAUAGUGCAAUGAGAUUACCAAUCUCCUCUUGGAUGCCGACGUCUCCCCAUGUAAUACCAUUAAUUGUAGUUGCUGAUUGGAUUAAAAAAUUGAAUUAAAAAAAAGGCUGAAAAAAUGUUUUAUAAAGCUUAGUAUCUCUAUAAUACUAUCAUUAACUCCCAAUAAAGUUUAGUAUCUCUAUAAGAUUAUCAUUUUGACUCCCAAUAAAUUCAGCAAAACGGGCUUUCUACAUCAUUAGGUUCAUUUUCCUUGCCUCCCAUUUCUUUAAGAAGCUUCAAAAGAAUAUCAGAACUCAAUUCUGCCAUUUUCUUUAAAAAGAAAAGAAAUCCAGCCCGUUAUUUUAUUGUUUAAUAGUUAAAAAAUUAAAAAAAUUAAUAAAGAGAAUUGAGUAUUUCAGAUCAGUAAAUCGCAAGGAGUGGUUUUUGCAAAAAGAAAAUGGGUUGUUUAUGGGCAGUGAAUUAUUUACAUACAUUUUUUUUUUAGCAAAAUGUGGUUCUUGAUUCUUGAUCAUCUCCAGUUUGUUCUCUUGAAUUACAAUGAUAUCAAUUUUAAGAAACCAGUAAGCUUCACGAAAACUGCGAUGCUGGACAUCAAAUAGGCUGUUAAAAACCGUUACUACAGAUCCUAUACUUGGUGCUGUCUCUUGGAUUGCUGGUGAUGGGUGCAUAGACCCAUUGUUGAAAAGUAAGAUAUUUUUGUCUAGUUCUAUAAUUAUUUUUACAAUGUUUAUUGUAUAAAAAUAUAAGUUUUUACUUUUAUUAAAUAGGUCUCUAAGUUUUUACUAUUACAUAAUAGUAACACCUCAAAUUAAAUAUGGGUGACUAAUAUUAGUUUUGUUGGUAAUAGUGGUGCUGAAACUACAUGAUUGCUAAGUCUGUUUCACUUGCACUUCUAGCAAGCCUAACAUUGAGAUGGUGCCUCACUUGGCGCUCACUUGGAGAUCCAACAAUAAGGGUGUGCAGCCCUAUGACCAGCUUCCUUUGUCCAUCGGUAUCCACAAGAUUAAGCCCUUGGCACACGUCAAACCCUACUGUCACAUUCUUGGUUUUGCCCUUCUGCACAUCCACUCUCUCAAACCCAACCAACUCCACAUUUGGGGCCCCGGCUGUUGAUGCACUUGGUGGCUUCCAAAAUAUUAGCACAACAUGAGAACCGCUCAUUGGCCCGUUGUUCUUGACACCAAUGACAACGUGAAAAUGCAAGUCUUUGCAGUUUACUGUGGUGACAUCAAUGGCUUGAGCAUGAGAAGAGUGUAUGCUGUUUCGAUUUUUUUUUAUGAGUACUGUGGAAGGAGCCGAGACUAUAAACUUGGAGAACGAUGAGUAGCUUAGUCCGUGGCCAAAUGGGUAGACGGUUUUGCCCGAGUAAAACCUGUAGGUUCUUCCGGGGAGAUUAGCUGUGGCAUUGGCUCUCAUGUUCAUGUCUGUCAUUGGCAACUGAUCUACAUACUGUUGCGGAUACCAUGUAAACGGAGACCUUCCAGCUGAUAGUUAUGACAAGUUAUUUAAGCAAUUAACCUCAAGCAGUGGUACAAAAGCUUAAACUGAUCAAACUGAUCAUGCGUUAAUUAAUUACCUGGAUUAUAGUCUCCAAAGAUGAUUUGAGCUAUCGCAUCUCCACCAGCUUGUCCUGGAUAUCCCACCCACAAUAUCCCUCCAAUUUUCCUAUUGCUUUUUGCAAAAGAGAUAUCAACAGGACCAGCAGCCAUAACAACAAGAAUCACUGUCCCUUUUGUAGCAUUAGCUACUUCCAUCACCAGCUUUUCUUGAUAUCCUGGUAAAGUCAAGUUCUCUCUAUCGAGCCCUUCUGCUUCUAUAGACUGAUCAAGGCCCACAACCACGACAACAACAUCAGCCGCGGCUGCAGCCUUAGCUGCCGGUUCAAUAAGGGAGUCGUCUUGGCAUUUCACAUUGCUACAACCUGGUGCAUAUGUCACAGCGGACACAUACUCUUGCAGGCCCUGUAAAGGACUAGUAUAGCCACAAGGUAUGCCAGCAUAGUUGCUUAUCAUCACAUUGGUGGCAUUAGCAUUUGGUCCUAUAACAGCUAAGUUCUGGGUGGCAUUUGAAGACAAAGGAAGAGCUCCGUUGUUACCUAGCAAAACUAUUCCUUGCCUAGCUGCAUCAAGAGCCAAGGACUUAUGAUCAUCUGUACAAACAUCGGACGGUCCUAAAUUCCCCAGUGGCUGUGAUUUGGGAUCCCCAUCGAAGAAGCCUAGCCUCAUGAGGACAAUGUAGUUGUAUAUUAAUGCCUGAUCCACCACAGAUUCUUUAACCUUGCUCAUGUUAACUGCAUUCUCUGUAUACUUCCCCAGAUAAUCCCCACAGUUCAUGUUUAAACCUGUGUGACAAAAUCAUAUAAAGAGACCGAGUAUAAAUGAAAUCAUGACUAUCAAUCAAACUCAAUAUAUGCAUUUAUAUGGAUGCAAGUACAAAACCUGCGUUCAAAGCAAGGGCCACUGCAUCUUCAGGCGUGGCGGUGUAACGUAUGGCAGUGUCAUAAACCUGAAUAGAGUCGCAAUCUGACACUAUAUAUCUGCCAAAUGCAACAACACAAGCACAAUUAGGCACAACUAGUAUGCAUAGUAGCUUGACCUUGGAUCAUACGUAAGUACGUACCCAUCAAGACCCCAUUGGUCUCUAACAACUCCUUUGAGCAAAUUUGGAUCAGCACAUGUUGGAAUUCCGUUUACUCUAUUGUACGAGCACAUUACACUACUUACGUGUCCCUCCUGUACACAACUCUUAAAUGGUGGCUGAUACGUGUCUUCCAGGUCUUGCUUUGUCACCUGGAACAACCCAACACUUAAUUACGACGACAUAAUUAAGAUAUCAUACAUGUAUACAACAUGAGGCCUCACACUAAUUAUGUUUACGAAGAUACGAUCAAUAUAACAAAUAACAAUACCUUUGCAUCAAAGUGAAAUCUAUCAACACCUUUCCAAUUGUCAACGUCAUAAGCAGUAUAAUGCUUGCAACAACUGGAGACCUUAAGCCUGUCACUAGAUGAAUUUUUGCUAUCACCUAUUUCUUGCAAACCUCUAACAUAAUUCACAGCAUAUUUUGAUACCACUAAUGGAUCCUCUCCGGGGGUUUCUUGGCCACGGCCCCAUCUCGGGUCACGGAACACAUUAACAUUAGGACUCCAGUACGUCAACCCGGCUUGACCAACGUUGUACAUGGCACGAGCCUCGGUUGACACCACUUGCCCCAUCUUGAGCCACAAACUUGCAUUAAAACUAGCAGCUGAUAAAAUUACAGCUGGGAAGCUUGUCGCACCGGGCACCGUGGCAUUAAAACGCACAGCGGGUCCAACGUUUGAGACGCCGUGUAGCGCCUCGCCCCACCAUUCGUAGGAUGGCACGCCGAGCCUGGGAAUGCCUGUGGCUGUGUUUACUAAUUGUUGCACCUUUUCUUUCAGAGUUAAGAGUGAAACUAGGUUCUUGGCUCGGUCCUCAUAAGUUAAUGAGGAGUUGCAAAAUGGGAACUGGCUUGUUUCUGACUUGCUCUUGUCACAUGCAAAUUGUUGAGGGGUACAUUGGGUUGUUAAUAAGAGGAGUAUUGCAAGGCAAAGCGAUAAGUGAUAUUGGGGUUUCAUNNNNNNNNNNNNNNNNNNNNNNNNNNNNNNNNNNNNNNNNNNNNNNNNNNNNNNNNNNNNNNNNNNNNNNNNNNNNNNNNNNNNNNNNNNNNNNNNNNNNCUACAAUGCAAAAAGAAGUUGUUGCUUGUAAGUUGAGUGACACAUGUAUCAUUUGGCUUGUUUCCUAGUUUAGGAAGAAAUGAUGCUUUGAUGCUUAGGAGAAGCAAAAGCUUCUUUUAGUUCAAAUGGUCCACGAUGUAUUAAAUGAUUUAUUCCACACACACAAUAAACCCAAAAUGUGCUAUGGGGGUAAUUAUAUAAAAUGAUGCCAAAUUCGUCUCCAACAAGUUUCUGAGUCAAGUUAUUUUAAUUAAUCUAGUAUCAAAGUUAAGCCUCUCAUAGAAUUUUAGCGAAUUAUAUAUUUUCAAUUAGCUUUCUUAAACACACUAUCGGAGUUUGAAUUAUAAGAGAAGUAAUUAACGAACUAAGAAAUCAACUUCAGCUUUUCCCUUACAAUUAUAAAAAAUAAAAUUAAACCAAGACCUUGUGUUUUGAAUAAAUUCAUAUUUAGCUCAACUAAUUAAUUUUAAACCUAUUAGAUUUAAGUUUUUACCAAAGCAUGUAGGUGCUUCUUCUCUCGGCCUUAUGUACAUAUAUAUUUUAUAAAGCAAAUUUUAUUUUUGAAAAUUUUAUGUGAUGGAUAUGAAGGAUACGUACUAGUUUAGACUUCAUCAACUAUAGUUUUACGUACUAAAUAUAUAUAUAUAUAUAUAUAUCAAAUUGCGUGCGAUACUUGAAAUUGUGAACCUAUCGAAAUCUUGUACGAUCAAGAUUGUAGUGAAUGUGAUGGUGAUUAACUAUGGUUUCCACUUACUAAUUUUAUACUCAAUUAAUUAAGCGAUGAUGCCGUAUCCAGAGCCAACAAUGAAAAGAAAUAUUAUUCUUUGUCGACGCAGCAAGCUAAGUUUUGAUUGUUGUGCACUACUGAUGGAAGUGUCUUCCAAGAAUCUGCAAUCAUCAAAGCGCAGUGGGAUUGGGUCAUCAAGUUACUUGAAACGAUGGCAAAGUCAUAUCCACUCCCAGCAAAGAGAACUGUGUGUCAAAAAAGUUUCCUAAAGUUUUCCAUUAAUUGCUCCCUUACUUACAGGUCAAAGUUUAUGCUUUACUCAUCAACAUAUACAUGCUGCCACACUAUCAACCAAUAUACAGUUACAAAGAAUUAAUACUUUUUUAAAUAAAAAAUGAAAAGCAUGAUCAACCCAUGUACAGUUGCAAAAGCGAAAGGAAAAAGAGAUUUAUUACUUCGUCAAAAUAAUGAAUUGAAAACAGCUUCUGCAAUUACACUCUUUAUCCUCGCCCUUUCUACUUAGAUUUAUGAUUUGAUAUUCAAGUUUUUUUAUUUUGUAGCCGCAAUAUAUAUAUAUAUAUAUAUUCUAAUCCAGAAUCUUGGACUUUAUUACUUUAACAAAUCGUGCAUCUUGAACCAAAUCAAUACUCUAUACACACACAUUUCCUUUUUCUUUUUCUUGUAAACAAUUCGGACCAUUGGAAAGACUUUUACAAGACGUCUCAAUGAAGCAAUAUAAUGAAAACAUUAUGCAUGUUUUAAAUUUUUUUAUAUUAUUUUUAUAUAUUGUCAUAAUUAUUCAAUUUCAAAGUCAAAUACACGUGACAAUAUAUAAAGUACGUGCAAGUAAUAAUUCAAUUGAUCUAUCCAACUCCGAGCUAAGUCGUUCUUUGAUGACAACAUAUAUUAGUUUGAGAACUUGUUUUACACGAUCAAGAGGGAGAUAGAAUAAGAAAUAAAUUCAAUAAUAUCUCAAAACUUUUAAGGUCGUGUUUGGAUGUUAGGAUUAAAUAUGGGAUUGGACUAAUUUUGGAAUUAAAUUCUUAUCCCAUGUUUGGCAAGCUUAGUUGGAUUGGACUAAGGGGACUAAAUUUAAAUUUAAUCUUAAAAUCAUCGGAUUAAUAAUCCUAAUUUACACAUGGGUUUAGUUGGGAUAAGAUUAAAGAAAAAAAAAGUCAUCCAUUUAUGAGAUUUUUAUUUGUAUCUUUUUUUUUAUUUACACCUAAUAUUGAUUGAUUAAUUAACUAAUUAAUUAAUUAACUAAUUUUUUAUUAAUUAUGAUUUACUUAAAUUUUAUUUUUAUUUAUUAUAUAUGAUCUAAUUAAAUUGGUACUUUUACUUCUACCAACUCUUGAGAUUAAAUUUUCAUUACUUGUAUAUUUAAUAAUUAAUCAAUAAAAUUAAACGUUUAAUUAUUUAUUGCAUUAUUUGAUUGUCUUAAAUUUAAUAAUUACUAAUAUAAUAUUAAAAAUAAUCAUGAAAAUUAAUAAUACCAUUAGUUAAUUGAUUUUAUAUAAUAUUUUUAAAUAUUUGAUAAAAUUUAAUUAAAUAUUUAAAUUUUUAUUUAUUUUUAUUUGUUUGUUAUAUUGUGGCUACCCAAUAACUUAUUUGCAAUAUAUUUAAUUUUCCUAGUAAUUACUUUUAAAAUUUAUUUUAAUUAUGAUUAUAAAAUUCCAUGGAUAAUUGUUAUUUAUAUUAAAAUACCAACUUAAAUGCUAUUCGAUAUUAUUUAAAUAUAAUUUAAAAUAGUCUAAUUUGGUAUUGUACCAAAUAUAAGACUAUAUAAUAUAAUUGUUGGUUAAUUUUAUACUAAUGCUAUUGGUGUCAAUGUGCAAGUGUACACAACAAGUAAUAAAGUGAUGAGUAUUCAAGAUCGUCUCCACAGGGAUUGAUGUUAUCAGAUUUGCUACAGCAAUCUUAACAGUGCAUAUUUUGUGUCUAAAUUAAGAUAAACAAUUGAUGAAACUAAUUUACUGAUUAAAAUAAAAACACAAUAAAUAAAAUGCAACAAAGUAAAUUAUCAUGUCAAUCUCAAGGAUAAAAGCAAUGGGAAUAUAAAGUAGUUGAGUGAAUAAACUCUCUUAAUGGUCUUGACUAUUUUCUAAUGGUUGGCUCGGUUGCUGCAGUAUUUGCUAUAGAACUGGGCAUAAUCCUUAUGUAUCCUCAGUCGUCUCAUGUUGGAUAUCUUAUAUCUAUAUGCAACAUAACAAUGAUCAGUUGCUAUGCCAACAUAAGAUAUAGCAUUACACGCUUAGGUUCUAUUUACCCUACAAUGUGAAUCACUAUGUCUAGUUCAUCACUAAUCUUAAAUCAAGCAUGACCCUUUUGGGACUCAAGUAAAACUCAAUCCGGGAAACUCAAUUUAAGAUCAAGUAUUGUUCUGAUAUGUUCCACUAAGAUAGGUCAUUUUGCGGCUCUCUCCUAACUUGUAUCAUUAAAUGGGUGAUCAACCGAAAUAAUGAAUAAAAAUAAAUAUUAUCAAAACAAACUGCUACAACAAACAUGCAGCAACACAUAAAUUCUAUCAAUAAACCAUCAAGAUUGUUUAUCACUCAACCACAAAUAAAUUUAGUUCAUGGUUUGUAAAAGAAAAAUAAAGAACAAAGUUUCAGCCAUGAAACACAUCCCCAUAAAUAAAUAGAAAACGAGAAAGCAAGAGAAGAAUAAGAAUGUUUGAGCUCCCAAUUGAUCUCUGCAAUUUUUCCUCUUGUUUAGCCUUCAAUCUCUCUCUUGAAUCUUGUUUUUCUUUUGUUUCUUUGUGUUUUUCUCCUUGGGUGACGGCUCCCUUUAAUCCUUAUGAUGUGUGCUUCUUUUAUAGUUGAAAAUUAGGGUAAACGGAAGCCUAGGGCCGCAUAAGUCAGAUUAGGAAAUUACAUAUCGCAAUUAUGCAAGUAUCCCGCACGGAAUUUUCUCUGUCGUUGUUCUAGGAUUGCUACAGUAACGGCUACAGCAAUGGUUGCUACAACAACGACUACAGUAACUGCACUGUUCCAAAUUUAUUUCAAUUCUUUUAUAGCCAUGUUUUUUCCUUAUUUUUGCAAGCCUAUUGCAUAGCAUUCCUUCCAUGAGUUAUAAGCUUCUGGAAACCUACAAUUAUGCACACAAUUUGAGCACAAAUUACUUUAAAUCGAGCAAAACUUAUUAAGAUUGACUAAAAUGAUUAUUUAUGCAAAAUGUAACAAAAAUGCAAUAGAAAUACAUAAUUUACUCUCUAAGUAGUAUUGAUCUAAAUAUAAAAGUGCCAUGAUAACUCUCAUUUCAUAGAGUUAUCAGUAAUCUAACUUAAUCCAAUUCAAUAUAAUGCAAUCCAAUCCUAAUAAUUUAAGAGUUCGACUAUUGGCACCCCUUCAUUAAUCUCACAAAACCCCUGUUAUAUUACAAUCACUUUUAAUGACAAAUAUAAAUAGAAUUAAGCAAUUUAUAUUUUCUCUCUCUUUAAUUUUAUUUUCCUUACACAAUAUAAUUUUUUUAUUAUCAUUAAAAUAAUCUAAAUUUAAGAAGUAAUCCUCUAACCCAAAAUAAAAUUCUUGUAAUUAAAUAUAACAACUUAAUUAAGAUACAACACAAUGAAAAAACUAAACUAAAUAAAAUUUUAUCCCAUUGUAAAUAAUUUUUUAAGGAUUCUCAAACUAAUUGCUAAAUCCAAAAUUUAUAGGUAGGAUAGAAUUGUAUGUAGGAUAGAAAUGUAUUAGACCCAUAAAAUAUUCAUUAUUUUCUAAGUAUAAUGCUCUUCUUGCUUUUUUUCAUUUAGAUUUUUUUCUUUAGAAAUUAAAUAAUAAAAAAUGUUUGAAGAGAGGAAUACAAAUAUUAAGUAUGAAAGAGUGAGAAAAUUAUUAGAAACUGAAAAUUCAUAAAUGAAAAGAGUGUUCAUUUAGAAAAAAAAACAUAUUUUUGGUAUUAAAUAGGAUAUAAUUAAAACAGGGGUUUUAAUAGGAAUCAUAGGAUCUUAGAGGGUGCUAAUAGCCGAACUCAUAAUUUAAUUCAAUUUAAUUAUGCGUGCCAAAUGUAAUCUAACUUAAAAAACAAUACAAAAAUUAGAGUAAUAAUAUAGUCAUAAAUUCUUGUACAAAUUUAUUUUAUAUAAAUUGAUGUGACAUGAAAAUAUUUGUUGAAUCACUUGGUCCACAUGAUUUGUUUUUAUUAUUUUAUAUUUUUAUUCAACCAAUGAAUUAAUGUCAUGUUAAUUUAUACAAAAUAAAUUUAUACAAAAAUUUAUAACUGUAUCGUUACUCUAAAAAUUAUUAGGAGGACUUAAUUGUUUACCAUGCGGAGAAUACAACAAGGGCAAAGCCAUACGUCAUACCUACUCCCAACGAAAAAUUGUGCCAAAAAGUUUCAUUAAGUUUUCAAUUACAGCUCAAUGUUUAUACUUUACAGCCUUUGCUCGUCAACAUAUGCAUGCUGCCAAAGCAUCAACCAAUAUAACAAUAAGAACGAAUAAAUAUUUUUUAAAAAAAUAAAAAAUGAAAAGGAUGGUCAACCUAUGUACAGUUACAAAAGCAAAAAGGCCAUAAAGAGAUGUUUAUUACUUUGUCAAUAAUAAAAGGGUUUUUCUAUGAUGCUGUAAUUUUUUUACAGCAUCAAUAAUAUUUUUAAUUGUGUACUAUUGGAUUUAAUCAAUGGUACACAAUAUUCGUAGUAAAAAUAAAAAAAAUAAAAAAAUAAUGGUAAACGGUUAACAAACGUGUAAGGGGUGGAGAAUUCUAUAAAAUAACUAUGAACAUCCUUAGAGUUUGAAACAAGUUCACUUAAAUAACAUAUUUUAUUUAAAAUUAUUUUUCAAUCCUCCUUUAAAUUUGAAAUGUGAUAAUCUUUUUUAAAUAAAUCUUCCAAAAUCUAUUACCAUUAAGUAUAAAAUAUAAUGGUAUGUUAUUUAACACAAAUCAAAUAAAUAAGUUGCAAUUGUAAAAUUUAUAUAUGAUAUAAUAGUAAUAAAUAACACAACUAAGUACAUAUACUUAAGUAAAUGUCAUAGUUACAUCAAUAAACUCAUUGUUAAAAUUGCUUGUAACAUAAAAAUUACUUGAUCUCACAUGUUUUAAUAAAAUUUAAUAUCGUAUAUUAAAAUACUCAUUAUUUUAUAUAAUAUUAAGGGUCAUUGUAUAAUUGAUCAUGAAGUAUGUAUUAUUUUUAUCACCCAUUUAACAUACUUAUUCUCUAAACUUUAUAUUUAUCUAACCAUUAAUAUCCUUGCAUGAUAGGAAUUUUAAGUUUUAUAAGCCUAUAUGUUUUCAUUUUAUUUUCAAAUAUCACUUUGUUAAUUUCACAAAAGUUAAAUCUAAUAUAUAUUCCUAAUGAGCUUUAGUUUAUGAACCGUGAAAGAUUAUUUUAUUGAUAUCCUUUGAUUGUAAUUAUAAAAUUUUAUGUUAUUAAGAAUCAUUAUCUUUGUUAUGAUAAUUAAUAGUGACAAUAAAUAAAAUAUUGCCUCCCAUAAUAUUUACGUGGAAAAAAAAGUGUAAGAAAAUCAUUUAUAUUUUUAGAUUUUUAUUGACAUAGUAGGAAAUUAUCUCAGCCUUAUAAAAUUUAACUUUCACAAGCUUGUUUUCAUUUUAUUUUCAAAUGUCACUUUGUUAAUUUCAUAAAAGUUAAAUCUAACACAUAUUCCUAAUUAACUUUAGUUUAUGAAUCAUGAAAGAUAAUUUUAUUAUUAUUCUUUGAUAGUAAUUAUAAAAAUUUUAUGCUACAAAGAGUCAUUACUUUUAUUAUGAUAAUGAAUAAUGACAAUAAAUAAAAUAUUACAUCAAAAAAUAUUUAAUGGACAAAAUGAGGAAAAAAAAUCAUUGUAUGUUUUUAUAUUUCCAUUAUAAAGAUAUGGUUUGGGAUACUUUAACUUAAAAUUUGGUACAAUAUUUGAGCCACUAAUAUCUCAUAGUCUAAUGGUUGAUAUUGAAGGUCAAAGCAACAUUUCAUAAUGUUAUAUCCUUCACCAUUGAAUUGCAUGAAAUAAAUAGUUUAUUUUUUUGAUAAAAAUUUAAAUCAAAAUAUUUCUCACUCUAUAGUUAUAUAGACAUAUAUAUUUUUCAAUAAUAAUUAGUGAAUAAAAUAUUUCUCAUUUGUUGUGACUCAUAUAGUAUUAUUAAUAAAACACAUAUAAAAUAGUUUAUUGCAAUACUUUCUAUUAUCAUUAAUGUUUAGGUGUUAAUGGUUUGUAAUUAAAUUCAUACAAUACAAAUUAUUACAAGACUUUGUGUUAAAUAACCUACUUGAUAUUAUAUUUUAUACUUAAUGGUAACUGAUUUUGGAAGAUUUAUUUAAAAGAGAUUAUCAUAUUAUAAAUUUAAAGGAGGACUGAAAAGUAAUUUUAAAUAAAUAUACUAUUUAAGUGAAAUUGUUUCAAACUCUAAGGGUGGUUACAAUUAUUUUACAAAAAUUAUCCACACACUUAAACAAUUACCAUUGUUUUUUUAGUACAAAUAUUGUAUACCAUUGAUUAGAUCUAAUGGUUCACAAUUAAUACAUUAUUGAUGCUGUAAAAAACUUUACAGCAUCAUAGAGGAAUCCAUAAUAAAAUCAUAAAACAAAAUUUAUAUUAAAGUUUAUAAUCAAAUGUAGUCAUGCAAAUUUAAAAAAUUUAAUAGAAUGAUUUAAUUAAUUAAAUGAAAAAAAAAUUAUUAAUUUAUAUUUUUAAAAAUGUUGUGAACUCAUUAGAAUUAUUUUUUAGAAGUGGGAUUGUUGGGGGGACUUAGCAUAAGAUUUCUAGGUAUCCAACCCAAAAGACUAGCCUUUUAGGUGGAGUGACCUACCACCUUAUAAACCCAAGCAUCUCCCCUUUACUAGCCAAUGUGGGACACAACUCAACAAUCCCCCCCUCGGACGAAACCACCGCCGGACUCCGGUCCUUUUGUCCGACACACCUGAGUUGUUCCACCACCACAUCCCGGCUACUAGGGUCUAGCUCUGAUACCACUUGUUGGGGGGACUUAGCAUAAGAUUUCUAGGUAUCCAACCCAAAAGACUAGCCUUUUAGGUGGAGUGACCUACCACCUUAUAAACUCAAGCAUCUCCCCUUUACUAGCCAAUGUGGGACACAACUCAACAAGGAUAAAUUUACAAAAAUAGUGGGUGGAAAUAUUCCCACCCAAACUUUAAACUUAAGUUUUUUUAAUUUUAAAAGAUUAUCAGUCGUCCACUAAAAUGCCCUAUUAUAAAAAGGGUUCCUCUAUGAUGUUGUAAUUUUUUUACAGCAUCAAUAAUGUUUUAAUUGUGUACCAUUGGAUUUAAUCAAUGGUACACAAUAUUUGUAGUAAAGAAAAAUAAAUAAUUUAAAAAUUAUAGUGAACAGUUUGUUAAGCGUGUAAGGGGUGGAGAAUUUUCUAAAAUAACUAUAAUCACCCUUAGAGCUUGAAACAAUUUCACUUAAGUAGCAUAUUUUAUUUAAAAUUAUUUUUCAAUCAUCCUUUAAAUUUGAAAUGUGAUAAUCUUUUUUAAAUAAAUCUUCCAAAAUCUAUUACCAUUAAGUAUAAAAUAUAAUGGUAGGUUAUUUAACACAAAUCAAAUAAAUAAAUUGCAAUUGCAAAAUUUAUAUAUGAUAUAACACUAAUAAAUAACACAACUAAGUAUAUAUACUUAAGUAAAUGUCAUAGUUACAUCAAUAAACUUAUUGGUGAGAUUGCUUGUAAUAUAAAAAAUACUUGAUCACACAUGUUUUAAUAAAAUUUAAUAUCGGAUAUUAAAAUACUCAUUAUUUUAUAUGAUAUUGAGGGCCAUUGUAUAAUUGAUCAUGAACUAUAUAUAUUUUUAAUACUCAUUUAACGUACUUAGUCUCUAAACUUUAUGUUUAUCUUACAAUUAAUAUUCUUACAUGGUAUGAAUUUUAAGUUUUACAAGCCUAUAGAUUUUCAUUUUAUUUUCAAGCAUCACUUUGUUAAUUUCAUAAAAGUUAAAUCCAAUAUAUAUUCCUAAUGAGCUUUAGUUUAUGAAUCAUGAAAGAUUAUUUUAUUGAUAUCCUUCGAUUGUAAUUAUAAAAUUUUAUGUUAUUAAAAGUCAUUACUUUUGUUAUUAUAGUUAAUAGUGACAAUAAAUAAAAUAUUGCCUCCAAUGAUAUUUACGUGGGAAAAAAUGUGAAAGAAAAUCUUUUAUAUUUUUAUAUUUUUAUUGACAUGGUAGGAAAUUAUUUGAACCUUAUAAAAUUUAACUUUCACAAGUUUGUUUUCAUUUUAUUUUCAAAUGUUACUUUGUUAAUUUCAUAAAAGUUAAACCUAACACAUAUUUCUAAUCAACUUUAGUUUAUGAAUCAUGAAAGAUUAUUUUAUUGUUAUUCUUUGAUAGUAAUUAUAAAAAUUUUAUAUUACGAAGAGUAAUAACUUUUAUUAUGAUAAUUAAUAGUGACAAUAAAUAAAAUAUUACAUCAAAUAAUAUUUAAUGGACAAAAUGAGGAAAAAAUCAUUGUAUGUUUUUAUAUUUCCAUUAUAGAGACAUGGUUUGGGAUAUUUUAACUUAAAAUUUUGACACAAUAUUUGAGCCACUAAUAUCUCAUAAUCUAAUGGUUGAUAUUGAAAGUUAAAGCAACAUUUCAUAAUGUUAUAUCCUCCACCAUUGAAUUACAUUAAAUAAAUAAUUUAAUUUUUUGUUAAAAAUUUAAAUCAAAAUAUUUUUCACUCUACAGUUAUAUAGACACAUAUAUAUUUUUCAAUAAUAAUUGGUGAAUAACAUAUUUCUCAUUUAUUGUGACUCAUAUAGUAUUAUUAAUAAAACACAUAUAAAAAAAUUUAUUGCAAUGCCUUCUAUUAUCAUUAUUGUUUAGGUAUUAAUGGUUUGUAAUUAAAUUCAUACAAUACAAAUUAUUAUAAGACUUUGUGUUAAAUAACCUACUUGAUAUUAUAUUUUAUACUUAAUGGUAAUUUAUUUUGGAAGAUUUAUUUAAAAAAAAUUAUCAUAUUAAAAAUUUAAAGGAGGGUUGAAAAAUAAUUUUAAAUAAAAUAUGCUAUUUAAGUGAAAUUAUUUCAAACUCUAAGGGUGGUGACUGUUAUUUUACAAAAAUUCUCCAUACCAUUAUUUUUAAUUUUUUUUUACAAAUAUUGUAUGUCAUUGAUUAAAUCUAAUUGUAUACAAUUAAUACAUUAUUAAUACAGUAAAAAAAUUACAGCAUCAUAGAGGAACCCUUAUAAAAAAUAUUAUAAAAAUUUAAAUUUAUUCCUAUUUGCCCUUAUAAUUUAUCAUGUAUGCAACCGGCUACCGAAAAUUCAAAAUUACUCUUAUACACCACCGCUGUAAUUUAUGUUUUUUUCAAUAGAAUGUCGAUAAAAAUUACGUACUCGUAAGUAGGCGGCUGAUAAUUUCCCAUUGAUUUUUAAGAAUUUAUGGCUGCAUUUGAUACAUUACCUUUCAAUGAACAAUGUAUAAGAAACAAAAAUGUUACAAGUAGAAGGACCGUCUCUUAUCAUGCUUUAAUUCAAUAUUUUUUUAUGUAGCUUCUGCCCCGGACAAGAAGAUAAGAAUAUUACUAUUAUCUAUCAAUUUCCUGGUCAUCAUUCGUCCCCCGCCCACUUUUGGGAAUCCUGACCACUGCUAGUCUAUUAGCUUACAAAAGCACUCUUAUCAAAGCACUUUUACUUAUUUAUUUAUUUCUUUUUUCCCCUCCCGUGAGCAGCUACCCUUCCCUCCACGCUUUUGCGACAGACCCUGUGCUGCUGGCUGCUGCAACUUGGCAUCGGUUACCAGGUUACAAACGCCAAGACAAAUGAGUCGUUUUUCGUUGCACCAAGAAUUGAUAUUACACCAAACAGUGAACAGUUGACACCACUGAUGUUUGGAUUAAAAACUCUUUCCGGAUCUGCUCAUUUAUCUAAAUAAAUAUACUCAUGUAACUGGUAAUUGAUAAAUAAAAAUAUAAUUAAUAAGUUUGAAUAUGAUCAGAUCAUAAAAAAAUCAUUUUCUCCGAUUUUGUACUAAGUUUAUCUCAAAUAAAUGGUCCUCUCGUUCUUACAGAUUAAAUAAAUUAUUUAGUUAUUUUCUUUUUAUUUUUAUUUUUUCAAAAAUUAUUCUAAAUAUCCCUAUUUGUUUCUUUUGUAGUUAAUAGUUUAAUUUUUAAGGGUUAGUUAUAUUUUUGCCUAAUUAAAUUGAAAUUUUAAAUAAAUAUAGCAUUUGACAAGUGAAAAAAAUGAUAAUUACAUAAUUUUUUAAUGAAAACAGAUAACAAAGAUUUUUUAGUAACUGAUAAAAAAUAAAACUUGAAAAGUAAUUUUUCAAUAAAUUAAAAUAGUAAUUAACAGUAAUUACACAAUUGAAUGAAUGGUAUACGAGAUUUUACUAGGUAAAGUCUCAGUACAUUUAAAUAUUACUAAAACAUAUUCUUAUUCUCAUUUUGUAUUACUAAUUGUUUGGGGUAUAGAAAUAUGGCUACUGGAUAUUGAUGUCGUGAAGGUAAUAUGAAACAUCAAGGAGAAAUCUGAUUGGUCGCACAAGCACGACCAGAAUCCUUCGAGGAGACCAAAAUUAGGCCGUUCGAUCUUAAGGUCUUGGUUAAUUCUCAGAUCAUUGAACUCCACUUGGAAAUUCAGCCAUAACGUUCAAGCACGUCUGGAAGUUAUAACUGUAGCCCAAUAACUACAUAAAAACGGAUACAUUAACUCCUAAUUCAAGCGGCACAUUUAAUCUAAUAACGGCUACACAUUGAAGAAUAUGCGAUAAUCACGAGUGCCUAUAAUAACCCUGAAAGAUCCUGAAAAUGGGACUUUUUUCAAAAAAAAAAAAGCUCUCUAAGAAAAGAAAAAGAGAGAAAGAGAGAUCCAUUAAAAACUAAAAAAUAAUAAUUAAAAUCAUAAGAGGAGUAACAUUAGUUCUUUACCAGAAACCCAAUUACUGACUUGAGUGUCAGAGGAGUUUACCUAGAAAAAUCCAGUGCCCCAUGACAGUUCUCUGUUGCUGUAGAUAAUAACGAAGUUAGGGAUGGCAAAAUAACCCGGACCCAGCCCGGACCCGCACAAACCCGGAUAAUCCGAACCGGGUUCAACCCGCACCGGAUACAAAAAAAUCUGGAAUCCGACAGUAAUUUAAUAAACCCGGAUGUAUCCGGGUCUGGAUCCGGAAUAGGCCAACCUGCAUGUCCGGAACCCGGACCCGGAUGUCUUUAUUCUUAAUAUUAUAUUUUUAAUUUUUUUAAAAUAUAAAUAGAAAAGCAAAAAGUCAAAAAUAAAAAGGAAACCCUAGUUUACACUUUACAACUUUUGCACUUUACAACUUUCUCUCCAUACAGCCGCUACCCAUUUUCUUCUUCUCUUCAUCAAUUCAACACAACCCCCAACUAUUGACUUUUUCGUCAUCGUCAUCUUGCUGCUUUGCUGCCACCGCGGCUGUGUUGAUCAUUAUCAUCAUCAGCUGCCAUUCAAUUUGUUGAUUAGUGCCAAACUGGAUUCAAGUGUGGUAUCAAUUACCAGCCUCCAACUGUUCGAGUGGUGAUCUCGCGAAGGUGCAAAGGGCUGUGCGCAUGACAGCGAACUCAACUAGUAUUGCUAAGGUAUUUUCUCGCAUUGACGAAAAAUUUGAUUUGAUGUAAUGCUAAGAGGGCAUAGAGAAAGGUGAGUUAUUUGAAACCCGUGAGGAUUUUGCAGCUUUGGAGAAGGAUUAUGAGGAGGUUGGUGCUGAAUUUGACGAGGGUGAAAAUGGAUAUGAAGGAGAUGAUCUGUGUUUGUAAUUUUUUAGGCUUGUGUUCUUUUGAUUGCUUCUUUGAUGUAAGGUUAGAUUCUAGUUGCAUUCGUUCUCAUUCUGUUGCUUUUACUUUUUUGGUUGGCUAUGCAGCUGUGUAUUUUUUUCCAUUGUAUCCAUAGCCUGUUAGAGAAUUGGAAAAGGGCAAAAAAAUACAGACAUCCGGGUUUGAAACCCACAAUCCGAAAACCUGGAUUUUUUCGGGUUAAACCCGGUCCGGACCCAGAGAUAAAUUAUCCGGGUUUAUAUCCGGAUCCGGAAUACCAAAUUAACAUCCGGGUCCGGAACCGGAACGGCUAAACCCGGACCCAGCCCAGAAUUUUCCAUCCCUAAACGAAGUAAGAUGACAAUUUUGGUUCUAUCAGAAUAGCAGUUCCCUAUCAAAACAAAUCCAAGUGUUGAUGAGGCAACCUCGUCAGUAUAAAAAGCUCGACCGAAUUUCGACAUUAGCACUUUGGCGUCGUCUGUGGGAUCGAACUAAAAGCUGCUGUUAACUAAAUAAAUUGAAUACAUAACAAACAAAAUGAAUACUGGAGGACAGCGGAGCCCGCAUCAUUGAUUCUAGAGUAAUUGAGCUUUCUGUUUCACGAAGGACAACAAAUGAGGAAAUGGAGAAGUUGACGUACAAGCGAAUAGAGCAAAUGGAAAAAUAGAUGAUGGCUCUUACUGUUGUCCUUCAAGAGUUGAGGAAAGGGCAGAGCGGAGUUAAGGAGAAAUCUCAGGUGGAGAACCCCGGUCUCUCUAGCCCUAGUAGUAGAGUUACUUGAGGAGAACAAAGUCAAGAGAAAGGAAUUCGGCUCUAUAGUGAUCAGAAUAUUUGGGUGGAAGACCAGUUAGGAGGGGACUACGGAUAAUUAAACAUUAAGGGAGGAGUAGGUUCUUAGAAAGGAGAAUUGAGACAAUAGUUGAAUGAUAUUGAGCGAGAAUGUGAUCAGGUUGUAGCACGAGACCCUAAUCGGAUCAUAGAGUUAGAGGGCGAGAUGCGUAGAUUAGCUCAGGUGAUCGACGAGCUACAAGGGCAGCGAAAGGCAUCAAGUUGGAGAAUUAUAUUAGAUAACAAGUCGCCUCUUUCAGAGGAGAUCAUGAGCACAAGAAUCCCGUGGGAUUUUUGGUUCCUUGACCUCAAAUAUUCAGGGAAGACUAAUCCCUUAGUUCAUAUUGAGCAUUUUAAUAAUAUUAAGGUGAUGCAAGGUUUAACGCAUGCCCAGAGAUGUAGAGUGUUUCCAUUGACUUUGGACGAACGUGCGCAAGAGUGGUACUGAAAAUUACCCUGAAUAAGUAUCCGAAGUUUCGAGUAGAUGUGCUUGAACUUAGAUUUGUUAGCUGAAAAAAGGAAAUUAACCUUAAGAAGAGUAGUAGAAUAUCAACAAAGGGUUGCUCAUUAUUAUAAUCAAAAUGUGCGAGUACGAAAAUUCAAAAUAGGCGAUUGGGUGCCCAGGAAGGUAAAUCAAAGCACGAAAGAUCCCAACGACAGAGUGUUUGGUCUUAAUUGGGAGGGACCAUAUAGAGUCUUGCGAGCAAUUGGACUAGGGGCAUACAAGUUAAUUUACGUGAAUGGACGAGAAGUGAAGAGGUCCUGGAAUGCCGAGCAUUUGAUGAAGUAUUUCCAGUAAGCUUCUUUAUAAGGAUUCAAUUAUUCUCUUAGCAGUAUAAAUUAUAAAAAAUUUAUGGUAUGUGAUUUGUCAAUUAUGGAUGAAGUUUAAGCAUGGAAAUCAUAUUUCUCAAUUUACUUGCAAUAAGAAAUUAUUUUAUUAAAAGAUUUAAAAUCUCAAAGUCCACCCAAGGGGAGAUAAGAAUCAAAGACUGUUCGUGUCUGAAUGAAAGACGCCAAGCAAACAUCAUCAAAAACUCGCAUAGCAGAUAAAAGGCACAAAGUCUCAAAGCCUGCUCCAGGCAAGGUGAAGGUCAAAGUAUGCUCGUAUCAGCUCGACUAAACGAAGUUGGGCAAGUAAAAGUUUGAUCAGGUUAAAUCAAGUAAGCGAACGAGUCAACGAAAAUUAUCUAAGUAAAAGACUCAAAGUUUCAAAACUUGUUCGAGGUAGCACAAGGUCAAGUUUAUCAAAGAUAAUAUCAAUCAAAGACAACUUAGAUUGGGUAAUGACUAACAACUUAUUAUUAACAUAAGUACUUCUUAACAAAGAAAAAGAUAAUAAGUAAGGCAAAAACAGAAGCCUUUAAACCGAAGUCUGUGGCCAAAAAUAUAAUCUAGGCAAAGCCUUAAGGAGUCUUCGCAAGAAGGUCCACAUCUGCUCCUUAGGACUUCCCCUCACCAGAAUGGGCUGCAUCUGUUGUAGUCUAAAGAGGCUCCUCUAUUUCUCCACUUUUUUUAUUCUGCUCGUCCAUGUAAGCAUUGACGCCAACAUCGAGCUUGUUCAUGUCCAGCUCUGGAUAUUUCUACUUUAGCACGAAUAUGAUUCAGUCAUAGCAGAAUGAUAGCCCUGAGUUGUACUCGUCAACAUUAUGCUUUUCUAAGGAAUCAAUCCUGCUUUGAAAGCGAGAUGUUUCAACUUUAAGAUGUUGCUCGAAAGCAAACCUCUGAGUGUUAAGAUCUUUUAUGGAGUUGAUCAGCUCAUCUCUUAUCCUUGACAGUUCACACUAGAGCUGCGAUGCUUUGAACUUAGAUAGGGGAAUCUUCUCCUCGAGCCUGUCAAUCACAGUAUUGAGUUUGGUUGACUACUCUUUCUCUUGCUCCAACUCAUUCUUUAAGUUUUGAUUUUCUACCCUCAACUUCGUAUCAUAGUUGGCAACUCUAGACCUGUAGAUUGUAGAAGUAGUAAAAAGUUGGUAUACACACCAUUAGCUGGUAGUAAAUAGCUUAGGUAGGCUACGGUCGUUCAGGCCGUCAAGAAACGUGUGUUUCAUGUGCUUUACAUAGUCCCUCUAGAAGGGGCUCAGAAGAUCAGCCUCUUCGCUCUGUUGAAAAGGUCUCGAUCGACUCUUUAAAAGAGCAUAGACUACUAGGUCUUAAAGUUGAAGAUUUCUCAACCAAGCCCUUAGACUCACUAGAAUGAUGAGGAAUAUGAAGAGCUCGAAUGGGAAAAGUAACCUUAGUAACACCAGGCUUCUUAGGAGGAUCAGAUGAACUGCUCGGAGCACAGUCAGUACGACUGCAUUUCUUCAUCCGGCAAGAAUGCUACUCAUAUCCUCAACCACAUAUAUAAGAUGGGAGUUAAUUAAAUAAUCAAUGGACAACAAAUCUCUGUACGAGCUCACGUUAACCAAAGUCGUCUCAACCUGCAACUUUUGCUUAUCUUUUAUCUCGUAUACCACACUUUAGGAAGUUGAAACACAAAAAGACAUAUUAGAAAGAUAGUAAAAGCUAUAAAAGAAAAAAGUAAUGGAUAGUGAGCAACCUCGAGUGCAAAAGGGAGAAUGAACUCGAAUUUCUCCUUUGGAUGUAGAGACUAUUUGACCCUAAUUACCCCCAACAAAAAAAAAAAUUGUUCCUCCAGUUACCCCAUGAGGUGGGGAGAUCUAUAAUGGAUUUUGUUUACUUUGAGCUGCUCAUGAAGUAGUACCAGCCAGCAUCUUUCAGGCUACUUCUUGGCUGUAUAGGUUCUUUAUUUCCUCCAUAGAGGGUUCACCUAUUUCACAUCUCUGAGUACAUACAAACCAAAGAACUCUCUAUCUAUUGGGAUUAAGUUGGCCGAUGAUACGUUUAACUUUCCCAAUAUCUUGGCGAAGUAAGGCUAAAGUGGCAGUUUAACACCAAGUUUAAAACACUCUAAAUAUAAGGUUACAUAUACCCUUAGAGGUCGGCUAGGAGUAUUGACUUUACAAGGUAUCCUAAGGUCGAUAUCAUCAGGAAUACCAUAUAAUGCCCUAAGGUUGUCUAAGUCUUCCUAAGUGGUUUCAUAAUCCAUGAGUAAAACUCGGCUUCAACCCUAUAAUUGGUUUUGGCUUUUUUCGUUGGUCGAGAUUCUUCAGGAGAACUCUCUCCGCUACUCUCAUCCUUACCAGCGCUCAGUGCUACAUUAACACCAACACUCUGGUCCGGAACUGGAUUCCUCCUCACCAACUUCCUUGUGGGAUCUAUCUUCUCUAGUUAAGGAAGAGAUUUUCGAGGACAGUCUCCUAGGGUUUUCUCUAAUCCUAGGUGGUCCAACCUCUUCUAUAUGAAUUUGAGGAUUAAGGUUUGACCUUUUAGAACGGUCGGGUAAAGCACCCAAUUCCUCUCUAUUAUCAAGGUCUAUUGUUGUGUGUUUUCCCUUAGGCACUACAGCAACAAGAACAAAAAAUCCAAAAAAAAAAAAAACAGCAGCACGAAAAACAACUAAGUAAGAUUAGGGCAACGAGUUUGGGAAAAAGUACCUAAAAAUAUUUGGAACCGGUAAGAUAAGUACCGCAAUGGUGGCAACAAAUGGGGAGGCUCUUAUUUGGAGAUUAAAGAUAGAUCUUAGUCGAAGAAUGAGGAAAUAAGAGAAAGAAAAGAAAACGAAGAGAGAGAUUAUGAAUUUAUAAAAGAGAAAAAAGUGUGACAUCGCGGCGAUUUGAAGAGACGUGCUGAGAGAAACCAAAAGCCGCUACUUCGAAGUUUAAACGCUUGGCCAAGGUUUAGCCACAUCACACAUAUUUAAUGGGACAAGAUGGAAGGUCAGAUCAUUGAGAAUUCGUGAAGUUAAAGCCAUCUCUUCUUAACUAAAUUUAUAGUUUCUAGUUUUAUUUCAUUUUACUUCAAAUACUAGAAAUUAGGGACUAGUGUUUGAGGUAUAGAAAUAUAGCUACUGGAUAUUGAUGUUGUGAAGGUAAUAUGAAACAUCAAGAAGAAAUCUGACUAGUCGUGUGUGCAAGUACGACCAGAAUCCUGCGUGGAGACCAUAAUCAAGUCAUUAAAUCAUGAGGUCUUGGUUAAUUCUCGGAUCGUUGAACUCCACCUAGAAAUUCGACCAUAACGUCCAAGCACAUCCAGGCGUUAUAACUGCAGCCUAAUAACUACACAGAAACGGAUACAUUAACUCCUAAUUCAAGCAAUGCAUUCAAUCUUGUAACAGCCGCACAUUGAAGAGUACGCGAUAAUCAAAAGUGCCUAUAAGAACCUUGAAAAAUCCUGAAAAGGGGACUUUUCUCUAUAAAAAAAAAAAAGCUCUCUAAGAAAAGAAAAAGAGAGAGAUCCAUUAAAAACUAAAAAAUAAUAAUUAAAAUCACAAGAGGAGCAACAUUGGUUCUUUACAAGAAAACCUAAUUACUAACUUGAGCGUCGGAGGAUUUUUGCCGGAAAAAAUUCUGCCCCCUGAGAGUUCUCUGUUACUAUAGGUAAUAACGAAGCAAGGUGACAAUUUCGGUUCUAUUAGAAUAGCAGUUAGCAGUUCCCCAUUAAAAUAAAUUCAAAUGUUGACGAGACAAUAUGGUCGCUAUAAUAAACUCGACUGGAUUUCAGCAUUAAUACUAAUUACCAAUCAAAAAUUUGUUUCGGUUCCGAUUAAAGUUAAAUGAAACCGGAUCUUGGUCUUUUAAAAGAAGAUAAUUGAGAUUAAAAUAGAGAAGUUUUGUGGGCGUUUGUCCUAUAUCUUAAUUAGCUUGGAAUUAGCAAGAAUAAUUCUGCUCAUGUGUCACAUGUGAAACAAUGAACAAGCAUAUUAUCACAAGUUUAUGUUUGGUAGUUGAUUUUAUAACAUUACAUGCAAAAGAUGCCUAGAUUCGAGAAGAAAAAAAGGACCACCAUAUGUAGAAAUAUGACAUUUGAUAGGGAUAAUUAGGAUGAGGCAAUUUGACUAAACUUUUGUCUUAACGUCAUGUGGAAUUGUGAAUUAAUGCAAGCAUGAUUUGUAAACUAUGGUUGUUUAAAAUAUUAAAAUAUAAUUAUUCUAAUAAAUUAAUUGAUUGUAUAAAAUAAAAUUGAACUAAAAUAAAUAUUGAUUUCUAUUAAGAGAAUUGUGAGGCAAAGGCUUUGUUGUCUCGAGUACAGAAAAUUUAUUGCUGUCCGUGUCUGUUGUGGGAGAGGUGAAAACCGUUUAUAGUAUUAAUUGUAUGUGGAUAGAUGUUGAAUUUACUGGGAUCCUUAGCAUUAUAUUAUAUUCUAAAAAGUUGUAUAUUUUUCAAAUUAUUUUAUUUCUAAACCAUUAUUUAUUAGUGUAAGACAUUUUCAUCUUACUAGAAAAUACCAAAUUAGAAUGGAAAAUAAGUUCUCUUAUAUUUUUAUUCGAUAAUAGUUAAAAUUCUAAUAUAGUACUACACAUUUAAAAUUUUUUAUUCUAAAAAAAAUUACAAAAUAAUGUGAUAUUUAUCAAUUAAUCGAUAAGAUAAUAUAAUUAAUUAACUUUAAUUUUUAAAAAAAUUAUAAACUACUUAUUAAAUAACACAUUAUUUAAAAUGAAAAAUUUAAAAUAACUAUCAAAACUCUUUAAUCUUAUAUCCCAACACAGAGGAGUAAUGUCAUAACCGACGAAAUAUUUAUUGGACGCCUAAUAAAUGCACAACACAUCAGUAAAAAAAAAUAAUAAAUGAAUAAAAAAGGGCGAACUUAAUAUCUGUAUGCGGAUUCAGAUGGCAUGAGAGAUUGUCCUCGAUUUCUACAUGCCUCGAGUCUCAACUGCCCGCUCACUGAACCUAAUACAAAAACAAACAAUAUAAUGCACAGUAGUACUCAGUCUCAGCUCCCACUUUUCGAUCACCAAUUGGCUCAUUUUUUGCAGGACCCCACCCCCAGUCCACCCCAGUCUCUCGAUUUUGUCGAAGCAUCGCUUCUAUUUUCUAACUCUCUGUCUGUUAAUUUGUGCACUCACAUUUGAGCUUGCAUGUGAAGUCUUUAACUGACAAACCACUUUCCACUAUAAGUAGUGUGUCGGCACCACCCCUCCCUCCCCAUUCCUUAGUGACACCCCCCGUCUCUUAAACACCCACAAGACCCACCGGCCACCAUGAAGAAGAAGCUCCGAUUUUCAUUUCUAUUGCCUACUCUACUCAUCGCGGCUGUUGUUGGCCACGACUACGGCGACGCAUUGUCCAAGUCGAUCCUCUUCUUCGAAGGCCAGCGCUCGGGUUACCUGCCGCAGGACCAGCGCCUCGCUUGGCGUGGCAAUUCCGGCCUCAGCGAUGGCUGGACGUACAACACCGACCUGGUUGGCGGCUACUACGACGCCGGCGAUAACGUCAAGUUCAAUUUCCCCAUGUCAUUCACCACCACUCUCUUAUCUUGGAGCAUCAUCGAAUUCGGAGACUCCAUGCCUCCCCAUGAGCUGAGAAAUGCACUCGUCGCUGUCCGCUGGGCCACUGAUUAUCUCCUCAAGAUCGUUUCUCAGCCUAAUCGGAUUUUUGUCCAGGUCAGUCGCACUUUUGGAUCGUUUUGUAAUGUUUGUGAAAUACUAGGGGUAUUCUCGGGAUUCUAUCAGCCGUAGUUCAACUAAUCCUACUUGUCACUUUGGACCGCAUGCUGUAAAUACUUUGUCUGUUUGAUAAUUCGAUAAGCUCUUAUUGGCUAUUUUUUAGUGGAAUUUUUGAAGAUUAAAUUAGUUAUUUUGUAAAAAUUUAAAUUUUAAAGUAGAGGUUAAAAAGUAUUAUUUUAAUGUUAAAAUAUUUAAAAUAUUUUUAAUUUAUUAAAUUAUUUUAUUUUAUUUUUUAUAACACAAUUUUAAAAAAAUUAACGUGUUAAAGUAAUUUUAUGACUUUUAAUAAAAAUUUAUAUUAACAAUUAAAUAAUUAAAAUUUUUUAGAUAAAAAUUCUACUUAAAAUAAAAAUUCUACUAAGAUAAAUUCUAAAUGAAAAGCAAUGCGAAAUGGAACCUUAUGCGUCUCUUUAUUUUUUUUAAUAGAUGUCAAGUACUUUAGCAAAGCAGAACAUGUGAGUCUGAGUGAGAUUGGAACAUUUAUACACUUUUUUUUUUCUCUCUCUUAUAUAAAGUCCGUGAGGCACAUGGGGUCUACAAAUUGUCCCUAUCAAUUUUAAACUAAAUUUUAAUCCACUGUAAUUUUAAAUUAAUUUUAGGUGGGGGAUCCUAAUAUUGAUCACAACUGUUGGGAGAGACCAGAGGAUAUGGACACAGAAAGGACUGUGUAUGCAGUUGAUGCACCAAAUGCAGCUUCUGAUGUAGCUGGCGAGACUGCAGCCGCUCUAGCAGCUGCAUCCAUGGCGUUCCGGUCUUCGGACUCGGGAUACGCAGAGACAUUGCUGAGAAAUGCUGUCAAGGCGUUUCAAUUUGCAGACAGUUACAGGGGAGCUUAUAGUGACAACCCUAAUAUCAGAGAUGGUGCCUGCCCAUUUUACUGUGACUUUGAUGGAUACCAAGUAUGUUGUUGAUACAUUAAAUUAAGUUUAAUUGAUGUAAUGUAAUGUAAUUCAAAGUCUAAUAAUGUUUCAAUUGGUUCUGUUCUGCAGGAUGAGUUGCUUUGGGGAGCAGCUUGGUUAAGAAGAGCUUCUCAGGAUGACACUUACCUUAAUUACAUUGAAAUGAAUGGCAAAACACUUGGUGCUGAUGAGAAUAUUAAUGAAUUUGGCUGGGACAAUAAGCAUGCUGGCAUAAAUGUUCUAGUCUCCAAGGUCAGAUAAUCACGUUCUGCAUAUAUAUAUAUAUAUAUAUAUAGCGCAGAUUUUAUUCAUCAAAAUGGUUUAAUUUUCACGAAAUUUAACAUUUUUGGAUUUUUUUUUUAUGCUUUUUUCUUGUUCCAGGAAGUACUAGAAGCUAACAAGUACACUCUGCAAUCAUACAAAGCCUCAGCUGAUAGCUUCAUGUGCACGUUAGUCCCGGAAUCAUCCUCCUCCCACAUCGAUUACAGCCCCGGUGGCCUAAUCUACAAGCCUGGUGGCAGCAAUCUGCAGCAUGCCACAACCAUUUCGUUUCUGCUUCUGGUUUAUGCAAAUUACUUAGCCAAAACUUCACAAUCUGUUAACUGCGGCAACCUUUAUGUUACACCAGCUUCGCUUCGCUUGCAAGCCAAGAAGCAAGUUGAUUACAUACUAGGUAGUAACCCAUUGGGAUUGUCAUACAUGGUUGGUUACAGUAACAAUUUUCCUCAACGUAUUCAUCAUCGGGGAUCAUCCUUACCAUCGAUCAAAGAUCAUCCUCAGUUUAUAGCGUGCAAAGAGGGUUCGAUUUACUUUAAUUCAACGAAUCCUAACCCAAAUGUGUUAGUUGGAGCUGUGGUUGGGGGUCCUGGGAAAGAUGAUGCAUAUAAUGAUGAUAGAGUUGAUUUUCGAAAAUCCGAGCCCACGACAUACAUUAAUGCACCGUUUGUUGGUGUGCUUGCUUACUUUGCUGCCAACCCUAAUCCUAGCUAGCAGAAAGGUAAAGCUUAAAUUGUAUAUAGAUCAGCAAAAAUUGUCUCUCAUCUUGGGUGAAAUUAUUAACCGAGAGGGAAGAGGCUCAAAGUUUUAGUUAAGAUUGGACAAAAACUCAUUGUCACAUUUUAGGAAUUUUUUGGGAUUAAGAUGCUUAGAAUUUUAAGGUGUAAAAUCCCAAAAUGGGUUCAAAUUGAUGAAAGCAAAUGAGAAUUUCAAUAUCCUUUCUUUCACGUGAUCCAAAAGCUAAUUAAUCCAGAUCACAACGACAGUUUUGGGAAAUUGUUGCCUGUGGCAUUCAUUUUAUAUAUGGGAGACAUUCUGUUUUCAAAUUAGAAUUAAUUAAGAGAACUAUAAUCCCUUCCGUGACUGCCUCUAAAUCACAAAUUACUUUCAAUUUGCUCAUUUGCACUAAGAUAAUUUUUUUUUUUUGAAACCUCUCUCAAUAGUUUUCACUUGAGACAACAGAGUGUCGAACGCCACAAAAAAUUUCGACUCUUAAUACUAUGCACCAAUUGCCAAUCAAUUAAGAUGAUAGUCUCCAAUCCUAGCUAAAAAGUGUCCAACCUCACAUGUUACAAUCAACGAACAUUAAACCACUUGGGCUAAAGAGCCACUCCCUCACAUAUGCGAGGGAAGUGGUUCGAGCCUCCGCAGACGCAUUACAGGGGUUUAAUUUAAAUGUCCUUUCUUGGAGUCUCAGAGCUUGAGUGAAGACAGUCUUUCUCCUAGGCUGGGAGUUUGACGUCCCUCGAAUAUUUGAGAGGGUUAAAAAAUUUGAGCGGUGUCAUAUCAGCAUUAAUGUCAACAGGUCUCAGUAUAUAUAUAUAUAUGAUUGUACAUAUCAGUUAUACUCUCAUGUAAUAUGAGUUGUAAUUUAAAAAAUAAUCUCAUAUCAUCAAAAAAAAAAUCAACGAACAUUAGAUAUAUUUAUUAAACUAACCAUAAAUGAUAAAUUAUGUCACCAAAUUAGCUUUCAAAGACAGAGUAGUGACAGCGCAAGGAGGGGACUCUAAUAAAUCAACCAACACUUCCCUCUCGCUCAAGCAGUUGGCCAAACGUCAUCACAUUGAUUUUCGGUCACCGGCCAUAAAUUUUGAAGGGCAAGCACAGUAAUUUCACCUACCAAAAUUUAAUGGUUUCGUGAGCUCCGGCGCCGUAUAAAUCCGUAAUCGGUGACAUUUUUGUCACCUACUGGUACCAGCUAAAGUUUUAGUGGUUUACAAUCAUGAUGGCCAAAUCCAAUCAAGGCAAUGACUGACAAUUUAAUAUUGCAACCUCCUUCUACUUCUUGUCAUGUGACCUGUGUCUACUGUCAAAAUUUCUAAUUUGUGGGGGCACUUACCUAUUUGUCUCCUUUGUAAAUUUUAAUUCCUCAAAUUUGGAAGAUUUCAAGUUUUGGGAGAUUGAUUUGUGGGGAAAAAAAAAAUCUGUCGCUGCAUCAGAUAGAAUGAUUGAAUCUAGUAGUGGAUUAAAAUGAAUGAUAAUCAUAUUAAAAUGAGUGUUCCUAACUCUUAAAAAGCCUAACCCUUCAAACUAAGGGUCAAGUUAGGGCUUUAUCUAAGCCCAUCCAUAAUUUUUUUACCUUUUUUUCUUAAAUUUUUAUAUGCUUUUUUUGGAACAUGAAAAGUCACUCUUUCGUGUUUUCUAAAAUCUACUGUAAGAUGUGGUCAUUUAAAAAAAAAUAAUCAAGUACUAAAAAUUUGUGCUUUUAUUAAAAAUACUGUAAUAUUUGAAGGGUAUAUCAAUCGUCCACCUUAUAUUGUUAAAAGUUAUCUGUCGACCACUAAAUCGUUAGCUGCCUUUUGAAAGUUAAUGGAAUUAUAGCAAAUUGACAAUUUUACUCUUAAAAAUUAUCACUUGUAUACCCUUAAAAUCUUUUAUUAUCACUUAUAUACCCUUAAAUUAUUACUUGUAUAAUAUGAAAAGACCAGAUUACUUUUCUGACGUCAUCAUAUUUAAACAGCAACUAACGGUUUGGUAGAGCGCAUGUACAUUUUGUCAACUUAGGGUGGACAACUGGUAUACCUGAAAGUAUUGUAGUAAAUUUAAUAAUAGAGUAAACUAAAUGUAUACAAUUGAUAAUUUCUCAUACUCAAUUGUUUAUGAUCCCACAAAUAUGGAUGGAUAUAAUUUUUUUUCCUCAAAUGUUAGUGGGAGCAAAAUUUUGACUUUAUCUCAGGAGAACUCUAGGUUGUUUAUAAUUAUAUUUAUAUUUUCAUUAAAUUUCAUAUUAAAGUAUUAGCAGUUAGUAACAAAUAUUUUUUUAAAAAAGAAAACUAAGCAGGCUUAGUUGAAUAAAUAAGUUUGUAAAUGUAAUUGGUUCUAUUAUUCAUUAGUUGAUAUUGCUUAUAAAGACCGACUCUCAUAUUUAUUGUACAUCGUACGAAUGAUUUCUUAUCUUAUGUGUAGAGAUAUAUUAUUUAUAACAUAAAAUUUCAUAUUCCCUAAAAUUUUAAGUUCUAGGUUUGGAAAAUAACGAAAAUUGGUCUUAGAACUUCCGAUUCCUCUCUUAUUAAGAGUAUUUUCAUUGAUAACUUCUGUUAGUAAUUAAUAAAUAAAAUUUUCCAUUUUAGCCACGAAUCCGUUGUAGUCUAGUUGGUCAGGAUAUUCGGCUCUCACCCGAAAGACCCGGGUUCAAGUCCCGGCAACGGAAUUGCGCUUUUCCAGUUUUAAUGAUUUUAUCGAACCUAUUUUGCCAACCUCAAUUUCAGACGUUGCCGUUUAAGCAAUUCCCACGAAAGUUCUUAUCCCCGAAUUCAAUCUAUCAAAUAUCCAAUACUCUGCGUGUUCAAUCAAAAUCUUCCCUUUUCGUCUCCAACAGGCACUGAAAUUGAAAUUAGGGUCUCAAAUUUGAAAAUAGGUACUCUUCUCUUUCUCACUCUCUUAUUUUAUCUAUCAGUGUUUGGUUGCUUCGAUUUUUUUAUUCGCCCUCCCCCCCCCCCCCCCCCCCCCCUCCUCUCUCGAUUUGCUUCCAGUUGUUGCUUUUUGAAUUUCAAUUUGGCAAAUUUUUUACGAAAAUUAUUUUUAUUAAUUAUUAUUAUUAUUAUUUUAUCGGAAGUACUUUAGUCUUCGAAUGAUCACAUGUAAUUGUUCGUGUUAUGUGUAGCUGAGUAACUUUGCCUGUAUCAUGCUUAAGUAGCAAAAUGGUAUUUUCGUAUUUUGUCACUUCCUAUGCUCUCAUUGAUUCCGAGAACAUCGUUAAUCCUGUUAAGUUUGGAUGCCUCAAAACCUUGCCAGGGUAACUGCUGCAGUGUUUCCUCUUGGUGUGUAUUGUGUCGCUUAUUUCAAUUAUCUAUUGGGCAUUAUGCUUCAGGCUCUUUUCUAUUAUGGGCUAAUGGAUUUUCAAUAGAAAAGUUCCCAGUUUAGGAUUUGUGUUUCUUUGUUAUUAUUGAGCUUGAAGUCUCGCUAACUUGCACGCGUAUGAAUGUUAGUGAGUUGUAGCCCCUGGUUUUCUGAAUAGAGACAAGGAGAGAACUUUUGACUUUUGAGAGAGGGCCCAUGCUGAAUGAUAUGAUAUGUUUAAUCUGGUUAUAUAGGUGGUAACUCUAACCCAAGCUUUCUGAAAGAAUGAAAAAUAUAAUGCAACAGGGUAGUAUGAUUUUCGUGGUUAUCAUUUGGGUUGAGGAUGAUUUGUCAUCUCGCCAGUGAGGCAUUUGCUUUUAAUCUAGUGAGACAUGAGAAGCUGUUAUCUGGAUGUCAGGCAUAGGAAAAUUACAUGCGGUCUGUGUGUACAUUUUAUUUUAAUGCAUUAUAGCCCUAUGAAUGGAGCUCAGAAAUAUUGAAAUGUUUAAGUAAAUAUGUCAGAGGUAUUACAUGUGACUGAUAUAUUUGGCCAACCUAUUUACAUUGCUUGUUCCGUAUGGUAUCCCUGCAUUAGAAUGCUUCUUGUGAAUAUUUUUGUGUUUUAUCUGUUGUUUCUAUUACGUGGACCCUGUGGUUUGUUUACUGGCCACGUUCAGUGGUAUACUUUGAUAAACCUCAUUGAUUUGCUGUAAUGUGAUUAGCUUGGAUCACUUCCAGCUGCCCAUUAGUAAUUAAUGAUGAGGUUCUAGUUAUUCUUUAUUUGUGUUCUUUUGAAACAAAAAUAAAGGUAAAAGUCUUACAAGUAAUGGCCGGGUUGAUGAACGUAACCUGUGUGUUUUUGUAAAAACAUUGAAUUUUGAUACACGACACUUCUUUAGUUUUGAUGAACAACAACAAUAAUAACAUGUGUUUUCUUCUUGAAUUGACAUUUUCCCCAUAAUUUUCAGCUAUGCCUGUAGAGGAUGAAAAGAUGGAAGGCUCUGUGUCUUCUCUUUUUACUGUAUCUUUUGAUUCAAACCUGAGUGGAGAUGUGCUUUCCGCUGAAGAUUUAGCCUGGGUUGAUUCUUGCCUGGUAAAAGAUCCUGAAGCACCAGAUGGUAACUGGGAUGCUCUGAGAGAUGCCUUACUAGAAAUUGUCGAUGCUCUGCCUGAAUCAGUUUCAUAUUCUUCAUCCGGAAUUGAUGGUCCAUCAGUUGGAACCGACAUUGAGAUGCACCGUCCUGAUGAAGAGGCAACUGCACAGUCACAAAAAAAUGAUCAUGAUGUUGUUCCAGCCAACGAAGAAUCAGAAACAAAUAAUGAUAGUUAUCCAACCAACAAGAGGACUGGCAUUCCAGUUUCAAAACUUUUUGAGGGUGUUGAUACCAUAGACUCUUUUAAGGGAAAUCCUUUUUUGCCGACUUACAAGGAAGGCGAGAGUGAGAGUGUGGGUGAAGCCAUUGCUUUAGGGGCUGAUUUGAAUUCCUUGGCAUUUGAGACCGAACCAUUGUCUGAGAGAAUCUUCAAGGUCUGGGAUUUGGGCGUUCCUGAUGAGGAAGAUGAGCUCAUUACACAAUUGAACAAGGCCCUCGCAGGAACUUCCUCUUGGUCAGGACCAUCAGGCUUUGAUGAUUCUGGGACAUGGAAAGAUAGGAAAGAUGAGUCACUCAAUAGCUUGAUUGCUGGCAUAGCUGAUCUCUCUUUGGAUCAAACUUCUUCCUAAUUAUGUAUUUGUCAUGCAAUUUUAGAAUUUGUCCUGCUCCAAACCUUUACUUUUUAGUGAUUUGUAAGCUUUACUGAGGCAUUUGAAUGUUUCAUCUGAACCAAAUGAGUAUGAUGUGUUUUGUAUAGCAAUUGUGAUGGGACCAUAGGAAAAACGGCAUCAAAACUCCGAAUAAUUGAAUCCUACAGCUGUCGGAACCCCAAGUAUGGCCUUAAGGCCGGGGACCGUGACAGCUUUAAAGGGUAUGUUGACAUCCCCAGAAUGCAAUACAAGCCUCUCUAUUGAUAUUUGCGAGAGUCAAAUGCAUUUCUUCUAGUCAGCUGGACAAAACACCCAAGCACAGAGGGCAGGAAGCUAGGUGAAUUGCUACUACUGGUUAGAGAAAACAUAGGAAUCGAGAUCACGCGUCAUUGCUAGCUGAUGAGUUCUGAAAUGGACCCCUUUGAUGAUUUGUCCAGAUUAUAGUCUAGGUGGAAUGGGAAAUCUCCAGUCAUCACAUGGAAUAGCUUCUGUGUCAAAUUUUCUACCGUUAACGAGCUCAUCAAAUCCUGUGAUUAAAACAUGGCCAUUAAUCAAAAUGAAGCCAGAAACAAAGAAGCGAAGUUACAUUACAUUAGAGCCUCAUACUUAUUUUCCAAAAUUUUCUCCCAAGAAGACUCUACACUAGGACUGAACUUGACACAUUUGUCUAUUUCUACUGACACUAGCAAAAAAUCAUGGUUUUUCUCAAAUCAAAUUGCCCAUAAUUUUCAUUUUUUACGAGGUGGGUAUGAAACCAUCUGUUUCAACCACGCAUGCAUGCUGCCAAGUAAGCAAAAAAUUAUCACCCACACGGCAAACUCUCGUUGGUUGAUUCAUGAGAGCCUCAAAUGAGACAUCCGAUGAUGCAGUGAGCAACUAUAAAUAUAGUGAAGUGAUUUGCAUGUGUGGUAAAGAGGCAGAAGAAAGAUAGUGAAGAUAAGAUUAUAAGUGCUAUAAGCUAAGGCCUCUCGAGCUCAGAACCCACAGCAAGAAGAAGCAAAGAGGAAAAUGGCCUCAGCCUCGGCAUCUUUACUCAAGUCAUCAUCCCCCGUUCUUGACAAGUCUGAGUGGGUUAAGGGCCAGGCCAUCCGCCAGUCUACUGUCUCAGUCCGCAGCCUCCCCAGUGGCCCCUCUUCCCUCACCAUCCGUGCUGGUUCCUAUGCCGAUGAGCUUGUCAAGACCGCGGUAUGUUUCAAUGUUUUACAUCAUUUUACAAGCUUGCAUGCCUUUAAAUAGAGUACCCUUAUGAUAAAAUAUAGGACAGUUGUUGGAAAGUUUAAGUUGUUUGUAUAGUUUGAUUGAUACCUAGAUGAAACCAUGAAUGAGUAUGUUGUACUUUUAUGACAAAACUUAAAUAAACUACUGCAAGUUUUAUACGAUAAGGUUGUUUGAGAGUUGUUGCAAUAAAAAGUAGCUUUGCACUUUUGCCGACAGACUAUCUUGAAAUAUAGUAAAAGUUGUAAAAGACCUUUGCAUGCAACCCUAUAGCUUGUAUCAAGAUGUAAAAUGUAGAUUAAAGUUGCAAAGAAUGAAAGAAGAUCAUUGUUCUUGGCUGCCAAUUAGUUGUCUUGUUAUAGCUACAUGAAAUAUUAAUUAAGUUAAUUUUGUUGGGCGAAUAGAAAACUGUUGCAUCACCAGGACGUGGAAUUUUGGCCAUGGAUGAGUCAAAUGCAACUUGUGGAAAACGCCUUGCCUCAAUUGGGUUAGAGAACACUGAGGCUAACCGCCAGGCAUACCGUACCCUCCUUGUUACAGCCCCUGGUCUUGGACAGUACAUCUCUGGUGCCAUCCUUUUUGAG